CCACCAAGAAAACUCUAAUCUCUCCUCUCCUCAUGUUUCUCAUCGCAACACUCUCACAACUCUCCGAUCUCUCCCAACUGAUACGCUGCCAGAGCCUAGCGGCGCCACGCAGUCCGACCCUAGCUGCGCCACACCGCCAACCCGCCACCGGUCAAACGUCGCUGGAAAACCCCUCAAUCUCCAAACUUUUGCCUUCAAACUCCUCGGUAAUUAACUUUUCACAUCGACGGUUCCUUUCUCAGAUCUAAAUCAAUUUCUCUUUGUAAAUAUAUAUUCUUGGUCUGGUUUGGAUAUUCGUUAGGUGAAUAUGUGGAUUCAAACAUGAUUCUGGGACUGUACAGUUAAAUGGGUUUUUGGAAUUAAGUUUUUAGUGAUCAAAAUCUAAAAAUUGUUGAGUUUUGAGCUUUCGCGGUUGAUUUGUGAAGUGGGAUUUUGCUUAUGUUGAGUUCUUAAUGCAUAUUGAACACAUAGUUCUAAUUUGAGUAAUAGAAAUUGUUGUAUUAUAGUUUUUGGUAGAAGUUACAGUAAUGAAAGUUUAAUUGAGGAGUCAGGUAUUGUAAGUUCUUUUGGGAUUUGGUUUGCUUUUUGAUUCAGUCCGUUACUCCCUUUCUUGUUAUAGGUUGGAUUAAUGGAGAGCUUUUGCUUAUGAGUGUUGAUGCUGAAAUCGGCUCGCCCUUUGCCCGACCAGAUUUUUACACCAACGUUCACGUUAUCAAUAAUGAAGAUAUCAAUUCUUUCUUGCUUCAACGAUUGCUCCAGCCGCUGAAGUUGGAAUUGUCCCUCUUUUUCUCACUAAGCCUGCGUUCACAAAAGUAGACCAGAGACGCCGGUGGUUUUGCCAGCGUAAACCCUCCGAUGUCUAAGUUAGCACAAGGUGUCUACGGGAAAACGGUGCAAUUAAGGUUCAAAUAAUUGCUUAGAAUUGGCUCACUCUCGGUAUUGAAAAGUGUCUGGAUACAAUUUGGCAGAGUUUUCCCUUCUCUCCAUUUUUUUCUAUCCCUUCUUCAUCGAUUUCUUCUUCUUUUAUAGCCGCUGUCCCACGUUCCCGUUUAGCCUUCAUCCCUCCUUUUUCGGGUGGUGGCAGCCCCUCAUGGGACUCUAAAUGCUACAUUAUGAGCAAACGUGGGAUCUCGCAUCUCCCGCAACGAUUCUGGGAAAAGCGCAACUACCGUGAUUCUGUGGGAUCGUGUUCCCGCUUUUUCGGGGGAUGGGUAUCGGCUCGGUAUAUACCUCUGGUCGGUAUACUCCCCUGGUUGGUACUCGUCUCUGGUCGGCUCAUAUUUGUCCCCGUGUUCUGCUCGUACCAUUUGGCUGAGGUGAUCCAUGCCGGGGCAGAAAUAGUAGCAUGGCCGACCUAGUGCUUUUAUUUACUUAACACCAGUCCCCCAGUUUUUGGUCUUGCGAGUGAAAUGAGUUAAGAGUAGAAACUAAUAGUCAAAUCUUACCAACCCAGGGGCUUCUCAUCUAGUCUUCUAUUUACCGGGACGGACCUGAGGUACCAUUUUUCUUCUGGAGAGGUUCCGACCUGAGCAUGGGCCUUAAUGAGCAUGUCCAUUGCAUAUCUGGGUUUGCAUCUAGCCUGGCCUCUUGUAAUGGUUAGUGACGUGGCAUCUCCAGACUCUUCGUAUUUGAAAUUUGAAACGACGGGCUAUUCGUCCUCGAUAUACGGUAAGUGAGCUGGCAUCCCCAUCACUUAAAUGCUUUCAUUUCCUUCUUUUCAUUUCAAAUCCCUAGACUUACAUCAUCAUUGUUUUGUUAUUCGUCUCUCCGUCGUUAACCUACCCCCUCUUUGAACUUUACUCACACUUUCCGCGUCCGGAGCAUCUACUUGCUGGGUUUUUCCUCAGUCACGGCAGCGCUAUCAGGGCCAGUUCAUUCCAGGUAUUGCUUUUAAUCUCUUCUCUAGUUGUUGUUGAUUGGGUUCUGUGUUGCCCCCUUUUGUAUCCGUAUACUCGAGUUUUCUUUGUUUUCUUUUGGGAUUCCGAUAUGUCAAAUCGGAAAAGGAAGUUAAUUGUUGAUGAGAGUGAUGAAGAAACAGGGGAUUCAGACCUUAAUGUGUCAAUACCCACCGAUUUCUUAGGUCCCUCCAGUAGUGUAGGUCCUUCUCAUGGCAGGGAUACCCUUGAAUACCCACACCCCCUGACCAUUUCGCCUUCCCUUGAAUUAGAGCUUAUGGGGAAUAGAGGUAGACCCGCAUCCGGCUUUGGUGAGGAUCACAGUUAUGGUGGGGUUGGGGUCCCUGAAGAAGUGGGUGAUGGCGAGGGAAGCAGUUCCGAGCCGAGUGAACCCUUUAGGAAAAGGAACCUUGGUCACAUGGUGGAGGCGGAUUCUUACCGUAUUGAUUUCAUAGCUUGUGCCACUACCCCCACUGAUCUGUUCAAGCUUAGGAACCUCUACAACAUUCCCGAGGAGGUUCUCCUUGUAGUUCCUGGGAAAGGUGAUGUACCUAGUCGGCCUCCGAAGGGGUACGUGACGAUGCACUUGGAGAGUUUCAGACUAGGAGCUCGGCUGCCCCUUCAACGUUAUUUUGCCAAGAUAUUGGGCGGUAUGCACCUGGCCCCAGGUCAGCUACACCCAAACGGGUGGAGGGUUAUCUCAGCUAUGUUUGUGAUGUGGGAGAGGUGCGGAUCGGAGGAGCCUUCCCUUGUUGAAGUGAAGCAUCUGUACCAGCUGCGGAGCAGCCCAAAGGAGGUGGGCUGGUACUACUUCAUGUCCAGUUCUGUAAAGAGGAAACCGAUCACUGGGUUUCCUUCUUCAUGUAAGAAUUGGAAGAACAAAUUCUUCUUUGCUGGAGGAAACUGGUGUCCAGCAGUCCGGUCGCUUGGUGGGGAUAUUUACCUUCCAACGCAUUUUGUCACCCUAGGUCGUUCAUUUUUGCCUAUAUUCUUAAUCAAAAUUGCCACUUAUUGGGUUUUUUAACCUUGUUUGUUUUUUCAGAAUCUUGGGGUUUGGUUAAGGACCUUGAAGACCGACCCUUGCUCCAGGUUGAAACUACUCUGGUGAACGCGUCUACCUGCCAAGACCUGCUGUCACUAAUAAACUUGGUCGGUUCGGGCUUAAUGGACAUUGUUGCCUGGAUGGAUAACAAUAUCCUCAGUGCAAUGAGCAGAAAGCGUGGUCGGGCUCCGAGCAGCUCCAGCAACCCUCCUCCUCCUCCGAAGAAAGUCAGUGUUAGCCCUUCUAAGGCUUCUGUUCCUGCUCUGCCCCCUCCUCCACCUAGUAAGAGUGUCGGGGAGAAAACUAUUGACAAGAGUUCUGAGGUCAGCACACGCUCUGGGGACCGAUCCUCCCCUCUUCCAGCUCGUGAUCAGGGUGACUACCUGAUCCUGUAUCAGAGGGACUAUGGGAAGUCAGUGGGACCGAAGAUGGUCCAGGACAUUGAGAGCAUGAAUCUCAAUGAAUUAGUUGGUUCUGUCCAAAGGGUCUCCUUCAAGUUGGCCACUAUAGUAUCUUGUUACAAGAAUAGGAUCACGCGCCAAGAGAGGAAGCUCCAAGCUGAGAACCAGGACUUGAAGAAGAGGGUUGAGUCUGCUGAUCGCUCGAAGGAGAAGCUGGCCGAGCUGAACAGGCAGAUUACAGAGCUAGAGGAGAAAGUUGCGGUUGCUGAGUCCACUUCCUCCAAACUUGAGGGUGAGUUGGGUGACCUGAAGUCUGAUCUUCAGGUUACUCAAAGUGAAAGAGAUACUCUGAGGACUGCCCUUGAGGGAGAAAUCAAAUCCUUGAGUGAGCAGCUGGCUGAGGAGAAAGGUAAAUCCGCUGACGUGGACGAUCGGCUGGAUGCCGAGUAUGACUCUGGGGUUGUUUUCUCCUAUAAGUGCAUCAUGUCUGUGCUUAAGGAAGAAUAUCCCGAGCUGGACAUGAGCAAGCUGGAGGCUGGAGUAUAUGGCGGAGAUCGGCCAGGCAGAUAAAGAGUAGGGUGAGCAGGAUCAAGUGGAGGCUCCUUUAGAUGGGGUGUAGGAGGGGGAAGUUGGGGGACAUGCUUUUGAAGUGGGACAAGGGUCCGUGCCUCCUCCUCCCGGUAUUGCUGAUCUUCCACCUCCAGAGAUAGCUGAUCCUUCACCUGCUAAAGCCGUUGACCCUCCUAAUCCUUAGGUCUAUUUUUGUAUAGACUCUAGAUUUUCAUUCGUUUUGUAAACAUUUAAAUGCUUAUAAAUUUUUAGAUGUUCUUUACUGGCUUUCUUGUCUGGUUUUUGCUCAUGGAUUGUUUCUGCAAAUUAAUUUGACAAUUUAUCUGAUUUUGCUUGUUGGUUCUUUAGUGGACCGAGUAGGAAUAUGCAUCCGCUUGCCUUAGUAAAUUUUUGCAAAAUUGCCUGUUGGUCGUUUGUUGACCGAUCAAGAGCAGGCACUUACUUGCCUUAGUAGAAUUUUCGUAAAAUUGGCUGCUGGUCUUUCGUUGACCGAGCAUAAGCAGGCACUUACUUGCCUUUGUAAAAAUUUAUUGAAAUUGCCUGCUGGUCUUCGUUGAUCGAGCAGGAACAGGCACUUGUUUGCCUUUGUGGAAAUUUCGUAAAAUCGCCUGCUGUUCUUUCGUGGGCCGAGCAGGACCAGGCACACACUUGCCUUGGUAAGAAUUUCAUAAAUUUAGCUGCUGGUCUUUCGUUGACUGAGCAGGAGCAGACACUUACUUGCCUUAGUAGAAUUUUCAUAAAUUUAGCUGCUGGUCUUUCAUUGACCGAGCAGAAGCAGACACUUACUUGCCUUAGUAGAAGUUUCGUAAAUUUAGCUGCUGGUCUUUUCGUUGACCGAGCAGAAGCAGGCACUUGCUUACCUUAGUAGAAUUUUCGUAAAUUUAGCUGUUGGUCUUUCGUUGACCGAGUAGAAGCAGACACUUACUUGCCUUAGUAGAAUUUUCGUAAAUUUAGCUGCUGGUCUUUCGUUGACCGAGCAGAAGCAGACACUUACUUGCCUUGGUAGAAUUUUUUUUUAUUGGGUUUGCUAGCAGGGGGAUUUCGUGCUGAAUUCAUCUUUAUUGAAAUUUGAAUGCAUUACAAGAACACAGAAUAUAUGUAUGUGCAACAAGCCAUCAUGCAUUUAAUAGAAAUAACUUAUGAAGACUUAGUAGAGCACUUUGCUUACUGGAAAUACUUCUUCAAGUGCUCGGCGUUCCACAACCUCUUUACGUCUCGUCCAUCUGUGUACACUAACUUAUAAGCUCCUGGUCCAGUUGCUCGUAUCACCCUGUACGGGCCUUCCCAUUUCGGGCCAAGAGCGCCAUGGUUGGGAUCCCUGGUGUUUUGGUUCACCUUCCUAAGCACCCAAUCUCCUGGUCGGAACUGCCUCACGCGUACGUUCUUGUUGUAAUAACGCGUGACCCUUUGCUGACAUUGGGCCACUUUCUGCGAGGCCCCUUCCCUUUUCUCCUCCAGCAGGUGCAGGCUCAAGAAGAUCUGCUCGCCAUUUUGCUCCUCAUUGAAGUAUUCCGUCCGAUGUAUUCGUACUCCAAUUUCUGCUGGGACUACCGCCUCAUGACCAAAAGCUAAGGCAAAUGGGGUUUCCCCUGUAGCGGUUUUGUGAGUUGUCCGGUAAGCCCACAGUACCCCUGGUAGCUCGUCAACCUAAGCUCCCUUCUUCUCUCCCAGUCUAGUCUUCAGGAGUUUCUUUAUCACUUUGUUGGCUGCUUCCACUUUUCUGUUUGCCUGGGGGUGUGCGGGGGUGCAGAACUUCAGGUCCACCCCUAGGUUCCGGCAAAAUUCUCUGAAGUUGUUGUUGUCAAAUUGCCUUCCAUUGUCGGUGAUGAUGGUAUAAGAGAUUCCGUAUCUGCAGAUGAUAUUCUUCCAAAUAAAAUCCGUUGUCUUUCUCUCCGUGAUUUGGCUAAGGACCCCCACUUCUAUCCACUUGGUGAAAUAGUCUAUUGCUACAAUUGCAUGGGUUGCCGCUCCUCGGCCUUUCAGUAACGGACCAAUCAGGUCGAUUCUCCAUUGAGCAAAAGGCCAUGGGGAUGUCAUAGUGGUGAGCUUUUCUGGGGGUUGUGCGGGAACCUCUGAGAAGCUUUGGCAGAUUUUGCAACUCUUUGCCAUCCUUUUCGCAUCCUGGUGCAUGGUCGGCCAAAAGUAUCCUUGCCGGAGUGCCUUGAAGGCUAAAGUUCUUUCUCCUGAAUGAUUUCCACAUAUUCCUUCAUGAAUCUCCCUUAGUACAUAGUCUGCCUCCUCAUCAUCCAAACAUCGCAAAAGGGACAAGGUGAAUUCUCGGCGAUAGAGCACCCUAUCGAGCAGUGCAUACCUCGCUGCUCGGCGUUUUAACUUUCUUGCUUGCCUUUUGUCCUCCGGUAAAAUGCCAUCGCGGAUGUAUGCGAGAAUCGAGUCCAUCCAGGAUUCUUCGAUGCUUAUUCUCAUUACCUCUACUUCCUCUCCUAUACUCGGCGAGGCCCUCAUCUUUAGUGGAACUGACUUAGGUAAUUUGGGAUCUACUGUUGCAGCCAUUCUUGCCAACAUGUCUGCUCGGUAAUUUUCAUUCCAGGAUAUCUGCUUCACCUCUACCUUUUUGAAGAGUUCAACCAUUUGUUUCGCCUUCUUCAAAUAAAGCCCCAAUUUCUCUUCCCUUACUUGGAAUUGAUCACUGAGCUGAUUACAUAUUAGCUGGGAAUCUGCUUGGAUUUCUACUCUUUCUGGGCUUCGGAUUAUAACUCCUGCUCCAGAUCCCUGUUCACUACGUGACCCAUCAACCAUUACCAGCCACACCCCCUUUGGAUCCUUCUGUUCCACUAGUUGUUCCUCCUGGACCUCUUCCCCUAGUUCAACACGGUCAACCAUAAAAUCAGCCAGGGCUUGGGCCUUGAUUGCUCCUCGGGGCCUAUAGGACAGGUCGAAUUCGCUCAGCUCCAUGGACCACUUUACUAACCGCCCUGAUGCAUCUGGUUUUUGGAGCAUUUUCCGGAGAGGUUGGUCGGUCAUCACAAUUAUCGGGUGGGCCUGAAAAUAUGGUCGCAGUUUUCGUGCUGCCGUUUUUAAAGCCAGUGCCCAUUUCUCCAUCAAUGGGUACCUAGUUUCUGCGUAUACCAGGGCUUUGCUAGUGUAAUACACAGGGUGUUGCUUCCUUUCUUUUUCUCGGACUAACACUGAGCUGGUGGCCCAUUUUGAGAUUGCCAAGUAUAAAAACAGUUGGUCACCUUCUCUCGGAGUUGAUAGUAAUGGGGCGUGAGCCAGAUAUUCCUUCAGCUGCCCAAACGCUUCCUCACAUUCUGAUGUCCACUCCAUCUUUCUCCCUUUCUUUAUGGUUUCGAAAAAAGGGUGGCAUUUAUCUGUGGCCCGCGAGAUGAAUCGGUUCAAUGCUGCCAAUUUCCCUGUAAGGCUCUGCACCUCCUUAACUGUUCGUGGGGACCUCAUUUCUGUUACCGCCCGUAUUUUUUCUGAGUUGGCCUCGAACCCUUGGUGGCUCACCAGGAAUCCCAAAAAUUUGCCCGAGCUGACCCCAAAUGUACAUUUCUCCGGGUUUAGCUUCAUUUUAUACUUCCUCAGCAAUUCAAAGGUUUCUUUCAAGUGUUUCAUGUGAUCCCUCGGUUCUUUGGACUUUGUGAUCAUAUCGUCCACAUAUACCUCUAUAGUAUGACCGAUCAAGGGCUUGAAGAUCUUGUUCACUAACCUUUGAUAGGUAGCUCCUGCAUUUUUCAGGCCAAAAGGCAUCACCCUGUAGCAAAACAAACCCAUGUUAGUUAUAAAGGUGGUGUUUUCCUCAUCCCGUUCGUCCAUGGGUAUCUGGUUGUAUCCCGAAAAGGCAUCCAUGAAGCUGAGCAGACUGUGACCCGCUGUUGAGUCCACCAAUUGAUCUAUCUUUGGUCAGGGAAAACUGUCCUUCGUGCAUGCCUUAUUAAGAUCUGUGAAAUCCACACACAUUCUUCAUUUUCCGUUGGCCUUCUUUACCAGUACUACAUUGGAAAUCCACUCCGGGUAUUUGGCCUCCCUUAUAUAUCCUACUUUCAACAGCUUCUCCACCUCGGCGUUUAUGGCCUCGUACCUUUGCUGGUUAAAGCAUCUCCUCUUCUGCUUCACCGGCCUCGCCCCCUUCUUGAUUGCCAAUUUGUGGCAAGCUACCCUGUGAUCAAUUCCUGGCAUGUCCUCGUGAAACCAGGCGAAUAUAUCUGCAUGUGACUGUAGGCACUUUACCAGCUCGCCUUUUACUGCCCCGACCAAUCCUGAUCCGAUCCUAACCACUCUGCUUGGGUUGUUUUUACUUACCACAAUCUCUUCUAGCUUCUCAAUAGGUUCUUGGCGACCCUUUUUAGAAUCUCCUCGGUUAUCAAGAGAAGUAACCUGUAGUGUCUCCUUGGCUGCUGUAGCAUGACAGCUCCUUGCCAUCCUCUGGUCGCCUUUUACUACACCAACCACUCCAUUUACUCUGUACUUCAGUGCCAAGUAAUGCGUGGAUAUAACGCAUUGGCUUAUCCUCAUGAAUGGUCUCCCCAGUAUCAUCUGGUAAGGGCUUCUUUCCUCUACCACGACAAAGUCCAGCAUCAUCGUUAUUUCAAACGGCAUUGUCCCCACAGUAAUCGGGAGUUCGAUGAUCCCCAUGGGAGUUAACCGCCCCCCUCCAAAUCCCUUUAAGGAUGUAUUUGUCCGUUCCAAUUUCAAGUCUGCAAUUCCCAUAUCAUCUAGGGCCGAUUUAAACAGGAUGUCAACCGAGCUGCCAUGUCUACCAGUAUUCGUCGCAAUUCUGUACCAGCCACCAUUGCCUUAAUCAUCAGUGCAUCCUCAUGAGGAUAUAAAAUACCCUCUUCAUCGUCAUCUGUCCACAUAAUGGGAACUUGCCGCACUUUUGCCUUCUUGGCUGCUGGCAAAUUGGAAAGCACUUCUUUGCUGGUCAUGGCGUAUCUCCCAUAGUUCUUAUGUGCCCUAUUCGAAUCCCCAACCAAGGUUGGCCCUCCUGCUAUCACACGGAUAGUCGGCUGCUCAAGUUCCAGGCCCCUCUCACCUCCUUCAUCCUGCGUGUACUGUGAUUCAAUGACGGGGGACACCCCAUCUACAUAUUCAUCCAAAUAACGGUUUCUCACCAAAUCCUCCACCUGAAUCUUAAAAGUCACGACAUUGGCUGAUAGUGUGACCGUGAGUGUCGUGAAAUUUGCAGAAUCUGCUCUUAUCCCGUCGGUGAGCAGGUUUUGUUAUAGGGGCUGGAGGGUACAACAGGCCUCGUCCCUCGAUUCUCUCAUACAACUCCUCCAUAGGGACUUUUAACGGGGUGUAUUGUCUGUACGCUGAGCUCUGGUCAAUCAGCUGGACUGCUCAGCUAUCAUGAAUAUCGUCCCGAGCGGAUAUUGAAGGUAGCUGACCUGAUCGUCCCGUUUUGGGGUUAGCUGUAUGUAGUGCUCUGGGAGCGUUGUGAUAACGAUGGUUAGCCAACUGCCGUAAUUCUCGUUGCCGCUCCAGGAAUGGGGGGCGCGGGGGCUGAUCCCAAUUGUGUUGGACCUGUGGCAGUCUCUGAGCCAUGGGGUAAGGGCGAGACCGAGCUGAUACUGCACCCAUCAUUAAGGACUCCCCAACUCGCUUUCCCGACCUGCUCCCACUUGGGGUUCUCCUUUCCUUUCGUCUCAGCUCCUCCAGCUGUUCACUCUUUAUCCUUGCCGAUUUUUCUUCUUCGAUUUCAAUGUCUCUCUUUGCUUGCUCAUACCCCGCUGAAUAAUUCUGCACCAGGGGGCUUCUCAGGUUAUACCAUAGCCGGCCUAUCCUCACACCCUCCUUUAAUCCCCUCAACGCCUGCGGGUGAUUGAAAGCUCCCAAAUCAAGCACGGCUCAGUGGUAUCGCUUUACAAAAUCUCGAAGGGGUUCUUGUUCCUCCUGCUUCAUCCCCAUUAGUUCCAUCAUAUCAUCCUCUGGAGCCACUGCUCCUCGGAACUGUUCGGCCAGCUCUCGGCACAUCUGCUCGUACCCUUUGAUACUUCCUCGUGACAGCUUGCAGUACCAUUCUCGGGCUCGUCCCUCCAGUGUCAAUGGGAACACCCUACACCUCUGAGCUGGUGUUAACCCCUGAACACCCGUCAUGUCGUUAAAACGUUCAAUAUGCACCAGUGGAUCACUUCUCCCGGAGUAUUUGAGGUCGGGGAAGUGGAAAUCUCUUGGGAUUACAAUACCCAUGAUCUCAGUUGAUAGUAGAGAUUCUUCAUCUAGCAUUAUCCUCCAGCUCGGGGGCUUCCUCUUGCCCUGUAUCUCCUCUAUCACUUGCGCUAAUCUGCGCACCUCUCCUUCUAAUUCUACAGCACGGUCAGGAUCACGCGCAGCUAUCUGAUCUCGCUCCUGCUCGGCAUUCUGCAACCGCUGUUUGAGCUCUCCUUCAUCAACAUUGCUUCUGUGGGGAUGCACCACAUUAGGUUGGUCUGCCGGCGGAGGGAUUUCCUCGACUCUACGUCUCCGGAGGCUGGGUUCUGCUCCAAUAUCAUCUCUCCCCGCGGGGGUUUCACAAUCCCUUCUCCGCUCAUCCCACAGCUCAUACAGUAUGGUCGCGAGAGUCUCCAUUUGUUUCUCCAUCCGCUCCAAUCGAUCUUGCAUCAUCCUCUACCGGGCUUCAUUUGUAAUUUCCCGAAGAGUGAUUGUCUCCACAGCCAGUGGCGGACCCAAGAAAUAAAUUCAGAAGGGGCUUAAUAUAAAUUGAUUAAAAAAAAUUCGACAAGAUAAUAAAAACCAACUAAAAAAUAAUAAGUAAAAUAUUCAAUUUUAUUGACAUAAUCAUUUUUAAAACUUCUUCAACUAUUCUCGACGUGUUUUCAUAUUUUGAAAACGUCGAAUAAUAUCUUCAUUGUCAAUACAAGCAAAUACAUCUUUUUCUAUGGAUACAACUAAGUUAUCAUUCAGCCAUUGAUCACCCAUCCGGUUUCGAAGUCGAUUUUUCACAAAAUUCAUGGCUGAAAAUACUCUUUCUACAGUGGCAGUAGCUACAGGUAGAAUUAAAGCUAAUGUAACCAAUUGGUAAACUAACGGGUACACCUUGUCCUUUUUAGUCUUAACCAUUGUCCUUGCAAGUUCACCAAUCCCUUUCAAUUCUGAAAAUUCUGACUAGAUCGUAAAUCCAUAAUGUAUACAUCAAGUUGCAUCUCAAGUGCUAUAAGAUCUAUUGCAGAAAAAUCUUUAGGAUAAAAUUCAGCAAGUUGCAGUAAUUUUUCCUUGUCAAAAGCUGCAAACAAAUCAUUUGGACAUAGACAAGCCAAACAAAUAAGCAACUCAGUAUUUGACUCAUUGAAACGAUUAUUUAGCUCUUGAAGUUGCAUGUCUAAGACAACAUAAAAUAACUCAACUCAAUACCGAUGUAAAUUUGUGAUCUCUCGAGCUUUAUGGCGUGAUCGCCCUGGAAUUAAAAACAAAUCAUCCAUAUCUAAAACAUUGAUAUCAUGCUUGCUACAGAAAGUAGAAACUUGAACAAAUAAAGAAUCCCAUCCACUAUCUCUCAACUUCUGAAGGUUAUGCUUAUAAACUUCAACCAAUGUUACAGCAUUCAAAAUAUCUUGAUCUUUCCUUUGUAGUGCUCGUGACAAUUCAUUUGCAUAGCCAAGAAUAUUUUUCAUUAAGAAUAAACAAAAUACGAAAUCAAAUGAUUGCAUCAACUUCAAUAGCGUAUUAGCUUGAAAUCUUUGUUCAGAAUUUCCUUCAACUUCAAUUACCUCAAGCACAUCAACCACAGAUGGAAAUAUAGAAAUUAUGCUCAUUAACGUACCAUAAUGAGAAGACCAGCGUGUAUCAGCAGGACGCUUUAAAGUAAUCUCCUGAUUCAAACCUUGUCCACUUGAAAGCUCGCCUUUACCUAAUGUUUCAAUAACUGCAAGAGCAUGUUUCUCAUGUAGAAUGUCACGACAUUUAGCUGACACGCCAACAACAUUAACUAGCAUUGAAACUAAAUUAAAUAAAGAAUUAACUUCCUCAUGCUUUUUUUCACGGAAUAAGAGCCAACUGAAGUUGAUGAGCAAAACAGUGAACAUAAUAAGCAGAUUCAUUCUCCUCUAAAAUGAGCGUUUUCAAACCAUUAAACUCACCCUGCAUAUUACUUGCCCCACCAUAACCUUGCCCACGUAACAUUGACAAACUCAAUCCAAACCUUGAAAACAUAUUAUCAAGAGAUUCUUUAAGUGAGGCAGCUGUAGUACUAGAAACAUGUUCAAUGCCUGCAAAACGUUCAACCACAUAUCCAUUCUUAUCCACAUAACGUAAUACAACAGCCAUUUGCUCUUUUGUAGAUAUAUCACGAGACUCAUCAAUUAGAACAGAAAAUAAUGCACCAUCCAUCUCUCUAAUAAUAGCAUUAGUAGUUUCAGUUGCAACACAACUUACAAUGUCUUUUUGGAUCUUUGGAGAUGUCAUUUGCAGAUUUAGAGGAGUAUUUUUUAAAGUAACAGCAUUAAUAUCUUCAUUAUGAUCAGCAAGGAAGUGUAAAAGCUCAAGAAAAUUCCCUCUGUUGCUUGAACCAUCAGACUCAUCAUGCCCACGAAAUGCUAGCCCUUGAUUUAAAAGAAAUCGAAUACAAUCAACAACAGCAUUCAAGCGAGUUUCAUAUUCACUUUGAGUUUUCUUGGAUUGUCUUUCAAAAAUGUUGCAAUAUGUUGUUUCUGAUUCAUCAACCUUUCACAUUUCUGCCUAGCUCGAUUAUGGGCACUAUUGACACCUCCUUCAUGAAUCUUUAAUUUUUCUUUUUUUUUUCCAAUUUUUAAAUCCUUUCCCAGUAAAAGUAUCACUGCCUACUUGAUCACCAUUAUCUUCUUUGAAAAGAUAACAAAAAAGACAAUAUGUAGACUCUUCUUUUAUACUAUAUUUCAGCCAAGAACCAAAUUCUUUGAACCAAUCCGAAACAAAUCGUCGUUGUUGAUUUCCAAAUUUCUCAAAUUUAAAAUUGUGCCCCUUAUGUUGAAAAGGACCCCUUUGUAAGUAUGUUCUUCGAACUUGAUCUCGAAUAUUACAAUUAUAACUAUCAAUACAAGGUCGUAAGCCAGGGUCAGCAGGCAAAUUUUGUAAAUUGACUUCAUAUGAACCAUGACUAGUUCCUUCUAAAGGAGAUGGGCGCUGUGGUUUCUUUUUAAAAAAAUUUUCCAUAUCUGUUUCAAAUCAAAUAAAACUAUUAAUUAUUAGAUUAAAUUUCACAAUAAGGCUAAAUCCUAACAAAAUAACGAACAAGAAUAAUUAAUUUAAUACAAAUUUGAUAUUAUAAAAACAUUAUUUGACAACAUACUCAAUGGGGGAAAGAUACAUGAUUGUAAAUUUUACUUUUUCAAUUGCUCAUUUAUUUGCAUUAACAAAGUGAUUGCUUUUAAUUAUAAUUUAUAUAAUAAAUUAUACACCACUUUCAUCAUUUCACAGAGCACCCACUAUCCCACCACUUUCCCUUUCAAUUUUAAUAUUAAAGAAUUGCUCACUUUUCACAAACCAACUUUUACUUUUGGAAUUUUGUAUAUAGCUAUCAGAAUAAGAAUUGAUGAACGAAGUUAGAGAGAUGCAGCACAUUCAUUCGGCCAGAAUCAUUAGUCAAACUUCAAAACAACAUUCAAGCACAAUACAUGUUUCAAUCUAUGGGCUAUGGCUGAUCUACCAAGGGACGAAAUCAUGAAAGGAUCAGCGAUCGCGGUGACAAAUAACAACGAGUUGGUGGCAGACUAGCAGCAAGAAUGGAAACGUUCGUCAGUGGCGGUGGCCAGUCUUUGUGAUUUGGUGAUUCACAGUUUCAUGAUUUUGGGGUUUGUUUUUUUAUUCCAUUAAUUUUUUUAUUAUUAAUAUAAAAUGAUGAGUUUUGUAAGUUAGUUUUAAAUUAGAAUUUGAUUAAAUUAAAAAGUUUUUAUUAUUUAAAUGGAUUUAAUUUCAAAGCCCAAAAUACUUUAUUUUUGUUGAGAAAAGUUAUUGGACUUAAUAAUUAGAAGGGGCUUUACGGGCUAAAUUUAAAAAAUUUUUAAGGCUCAGGGGGGGGCUUAAACCCCUCCUGGGCCUUAAUUGGGUCCGCCCAUGUCCACAGCCUCGUUAUCCUCCCUCAAAGCAUUAUUCCUUGGCACAUCCAUGUUUAAUCGUUCGCUGCUUCUCCGGUAAUUACUAAUUCGGUGGUAGCUUUUUAUUCAGCUCCCCAUAGACGGCGCCAAAAUGUUGAUGCUGAAAUCGGCUCGCCCUUUGCCCAACUAGAUUUUUACACCAACGUUCACGUUAUCAAUAAUGAAGAUAUCAAUUCUUUCUUGCUUCAACGAUUGCUCCAGCCGCUAAAGUUGGAAUUGUCCCUCUUUUUCUCACUAAGCAUGUGUUCACAAAAGUGGAUCAGAGACGUCGGUGGUUUUGCCAGCGUAAACCCUCCGAUGUCUAAGUUAGCACAAGGUGUCUACGGGAAAACCGUGCAAUUAAGGUUCAAAUAAUUGCUUAGAAUUGGCUCACUCUCGGUAUUGAAAAGUGUCUGGAUACAAUUUGGCAGAGUUUUCCCUUCUCUCCAUUUUUUUCUAUCUCUUCUUCAUCGAUUUCUUCUUCUUUUAUAGCCGCUGUUCCACGUUCCCGUUUAGCCUUCAUCCCUCCUUUUUCGGGUGGUGGCAGCCCCUCAUGGGACUCUAACUGCUACAUUAUGGGCAAACAUGGGAUCUCGCGUCUCCCGCAACGGUUUUGGGAAAAGCGCAACUACCGUGAUUCUGUGGAAUUGUGUUCCCGCUUUUUCGGGGGAUGGGUAUCGGCUCGGUAUAUACCUCUGGUCGGUAUACUCCCCUGGUUGGUACUCGUCUCUGGUCGGCUCAUAUUUGUUCCCGUGUUCUGCUCGUACCAUUUGGUUGAGGUGAUCCAAGCCGGGGCGGAAAUAGUAGCAUGGCCGACCUAGUGCUUUUAUUUACUUAACAAUGAGAAUUGUGUUUGUAAGGUUCAUGAGAAUUGUUUAUGUGAUGAUAGCUGUGUGAUUGAUAAGAGAUUGUGUGUUUUGGAUUUUAUCUCAUGGAUUUAGAGUUGGAUUGUGUUUGGAAUUCGAAUAAUGUGUUCAUGCACAUAUGAUAUUUGAUGAAAUUCCCAUAAGAUUAAUUCAAUUAUUUAUGUUUUUUAGUCUGAAUUAGGUAGAGCAAAAAUUUUAUUAUGAGUUGAUUUCUUGAGUUACUAGCUCAACUAGGUAAAGCAAAGAAGUUGUCUUUGUGCACUUUAACUCUUCCUCCUCCAUUUAAAAUAAAACGAUUAUUGAAGCUUUUGGAAGUGAUUUGUUCGUUUUGUUUGUGCUCUUAUUGAGAUGAUUUACUUUUGGUUAAGUAUGCUUUUUCAAUUUAAAUUGCAGUAUUUUGCUGCCACAUAACAGCAGAACAGGCUGUUUUAUUGUUGUUCAGCUGCUGUUAUGCAGCAAAACAGCACCUGGAAGUUCUAGGUGCUGUUUUCACUGUUGUUAAUUCAGAAACACAGCACCUGAAAGAGUCCAGGUGCUGUUUAAUUGUUGGUGUGCAGCAAAAAAAGCACCUGGAACUGCUUUUUUGCGGUAAAAAACUUUCAGGUGCUGUUUAACUGCUGUCAUCCAGUAAAAAGAGUAUCUGGAAGUUUUCAAAUACUGUUUAGCUGCUGUUUAUGUAGGAAAAACGCACCUAGACGUUUCCUUAGGACAUAUUUAAAGAAUUGUUAAUAUUUUUCUAAGAGCAUAAUACAAUUAUAUUUUUGUUUUCAAUUCAUAUGCGGGUUGUGAAGAUAAAAAAAUUUUGGCGCUGGCUGUGAAGAUCAAGAAUUUUUGGCAAAGUAUUGAAGGCAAAUUGAAGAUACAGUACUAGAUUUUUUUUUCUUUUUCUAAUUUUUUAUUAUUAGAAAAUAUACAAGCAUGACACAUGCAUACUUAUCAUUUUGUAUACAUUUUUAGGUAAUCGGAUUUUCAUAUAUGUUAAAGGUUUUGGGUAAAGCUAUCUUUUGUAUAUGAGACAUUUAAAUGAAAUUAAUAAGAAAUUGCAAUGGAACCAUAGGCUUGAAUUGGUUCUUGAAUUGCAACUUAUUGUUUAUAAUAUUUUUUUGGUAAUUAAUGACAAAAAAAUAACUGUUAUUAUGUAAACACUAUUGUAAAAAAUAUACAUUUAAUGACGGUUAUAAACAAAAAUUCUUAUAAUUUUUUUUAAAGAAGUGUAAUAAAUGAGCAUUAUUUAAAUAACGUCAUUAAAGGAAUCCUUUUAAUGACCUUUUUAAGAAAAAAAAAUCAUUGAAAGAUCUCUUUAAAGAUACCUUUAAUGACACUUUAAUGAUAAUUUUUGUAAAAAAACGUCAUUAAAAUUUAUGUAAAUACUACAAAUAAUGACUGUGUAAUAAAUAACCGUAAUUAUAAAUACACAUCUAAUUACGAACCGCCAUGAAAAGUGUAUCUCUUUCAACCGUAAUUUAAUUCAAAAUUUGAUUGGAACGUUGAUCAGGAUAGAGAAUAAAUAAGCAUAAAUAUUAUAGCAUCAAUGUCAUAUCAUCCAAUCCAUUAGUUUUCAACGAUUAUUUUAUUUUAAUCUAAAUUUAUAAGUGUUAGUUAUUUAAAAAAAAAAAGGUAGAGGAGGAGGCAAUAAAGCAAAAAUCAAAUCUUGAACCCUUAUCUCCCCAACAUUCAAAUCAUAACAAGUAAUUAAAAAAACUACUUAAAAAUCACUCAAGAAGACUUUAGGGGGCACCUAUUUUAAAAAAUGCAAGUGUGCUCAUAUAAAUAUAUUACUUAUCCCAUACCAUAUUCAAAAUUCAAAUUCAUAUUCAAUAAUAAUAAACUAAUAAUAGUAAGAGAAUGUAUAUUAAUUUUAAGUUUCACUUUAUAGUAUUAGAAUUUCUUUUAAUUCUCAACAACAACAAUAAUAAUAAAUUUUUCUUAAGGGUUAACAUAAUUGUUAACUUAGACUUAUAUAGAGUCAUAAAUCAUAGUUCACAAUAAUAUCAAUGCAUAUUUAUAAAAUCAUGAUAUUAAUUAUUUAUUUAAUAAAUUAUAAAAAUAAAUCAAUUAUAGUAUUUUUUUAACUAAGAAUUAAAUGAAUUUAAAAAACUCGCACUAAUAAAAUAUAUUAAAAUAUUCAAUUUCAAGUUAUUUGUAAAAUCAUAAAAUUUUAAGUUUACUUUCAUUAUAAAAGAGAAACGUUCUUAUUGCAGUAUUUUUCACGUGUUGUGCAUUAACUCAUCUUUAAUUAUGUCGUACUUUUAAGGUCUACGUUCCUAAAAUUCUAAGCCUGGCCUAACUCUUGUGCGUGUCGUGCAGUGCUGCGUGCUUCACCUAAAGGUGCUUGUGUUGUAUCGUGCUAGGCAGGGCUUCGAAUUGUAUUAGAUAUGUAACCCAAUUACAUACAAAAAAUAUGUCACACAUUAAAACUCUGUGAUAAAUAAUGCUAGGAAGUUUUGGUUCCCACCCAAAUUCUCUACAAAAUAUGUCAAAUAAGCAUAUAAACAAAAUAAAGGUGGAGAAUAAUAUCAAUCACAUAACAUAGAUUUUACGUGGAACACUUCACAAUCAAAGAAAAAAUGCAGCCAUCAAGAAUGACUAUAUAAUAUCCAUCACGUGUAAAAUUGUUAUAAUUAAACUACAUUCUCCUCAUGGUUUUUUUUUCUUAGAUCAUACCAAUUACAUACAAAGAAUUUCUCAAUCAUACAACAAUAUUCCACAAUCUCACAAAUUCUUUCUUCAAUUUUUUAACUAAAUUGAGAGACUUCAUGUUUUGUGCAUGUUAGGGUUGGCAAUGGGACGAGAUGGGAUGGGAUUUACCAAUCCCAGUCCCAUCCCGUAUAUGCAAGUGAGAUGAAAAAAUAUCUCACUCCCGUCCUUAUAUAUUUUUUUUUUUGGACAAAAAUAUGUCCCAAUAUCGUCCUAAAAGAGAUGGGAUCCUUGGAUCCCAUCCCAUUUAGAAAAAUUAUCAUUCUUGGUCGGCAAUGAAACAGGAUUGGACAGGAUUUGUCAAUCCCAGACCCGUCCCAUAUAUACAAGUGGGAUAAAAAAAUGUCUCACUCCCGUCCCUAUAUUUUUAUAUGGGACAAAAAUAUGUCUCAAUCCCAUCCCAAAUUGGAUGGGAUCCUCCGUCAAGAAAAAUUGUCAUCCCUAGUGCAUGUUAAGACUUGUCUUAAAUAUUGUUAUUGGUCACUUAUCCAUCAACUUCCGGGCCAAGCCAUUUAUCUAAUACAAUUCAGAGUCAUAGUCUCGAGUUAAUAAUGAUAUUAUUGUGAACUAUGAUCUAUGACUCUAUAUAAAUUCAAGUUAACAAUUAAGUUAACCCUUAAGAAAAAUUUAUUUUUAUUAUUGUUGUUAAAUAUUAAAAGAAAUUCUAAUACUAUAAGGUCAAACUUAAUAAUUAAUAUUACAUUCUCUUACUAUUAUUAGUUUAUUAUUAUUUAAUAUGGACUUGAAUUUCGAAUUUUGAAUUCUAUUAAAUUUGAAUAAAGGCAUAUAAACCUAAAAAUUAUAUAAACUUGAAAAAAGUACGCCAACAAUUUGGCAUGCACUUUUAAAUUUUUUUUUUUUAAAAAAAGAAGCUUAUUGGGCUUUUUUUCUUAGGCACGGCACGACACGACACGUGUGGGCAUGAUACAAGUAGGCAUGGCACAUGUGCCGGAUAGGGGCUAAGCAAAAAUAAUUAAGCAUGGCACAAAACACAUAGUGGGUAUAAUACGACACAACUUGGUACGAAACAUAUAGUGAGCACGGCACGAGCAUGCAUAGGCUGAGUGGGCUCAACAAUAUUUAUAGUAUGCGUCUUGAUGGCAGAGUGGAGCGUUUCUUCUAAGAUAAGCUUUUCUAUGGUAGAGUUUGGGUUUGGAAGUGGGUUCUGAUGGAGCAAGGAAGCCCGAGUGGGCUCAAAACUAUUAUUUAAGGCGUAAGUAACUAAAUCAGCCUUUGUCGAUCUCCAUGGGCUAUAAAUUCAACACUAGUUUCCCAAUAAGUUCAAAAAGAGCCAAUUGAUCACAUAUAAAUUGCAUUUUUGAAUGGAAAUAAAAAAGUACUUUAUCUAGGUUGAUGCAUUUGAUGCAGACUAUAUAACAAUUUGUACUGGUGCAGAAAUUAGUAGCUGUAUAUCGAUGAGCAAGAAAAUCCCACAAAGACUUAGCUAUAUCAAAUCAUCCAAAUUUUAAGUUGAUAGUUGGUACCGAUAUGUUUCGAAACCAAAUAAUUAUCUGAUAGUUUUGGCUAUCCCAAUCAUCUAGACUUAAAGGAAUUUAGAUCUAUCACAAAUAGAUGUAGGUAAUUAAAAACUAAAAAUUAAUUACUUAAUUAAUUUUCUGAAAGUACUGUUCACAGUUACUGUUCACAGUUACUGUUCACACACAUAAAAAAUAUUAAUUUUUUAAAAACAAAACAAAAUACAGAAAAUAAAUGACACAGAGAUUUUUACGUGGUUCGGAUUAAUCAAUCCUACAUCCACGAGGCCACACCUAGAUGACAAGGAAUUCACUAAGUUGAGAUGUUACAAACUAUGGAUUUUUUAUUUUUCCUGUUAGUCACAUUUUAUGUUAAAAAAAAACCAGCCAUAUGUCUCCCCUCUCCCCCCCCCCAAAGCCUUAAACGGCCUUAAUAGCCUCUCCGGCCACCGGUGAUGGCUGGUAGCCAUCACCGGUCUACACCCUAGGGUUGGUAGAAAAGCCCGGGCCGGCCCAGGCCCGCGGGCUUUAAGCCCGGCUCGCGGCUUGAAAUUAUGGAUAAGGGCUUAUAAUUGACAAAACCCAUAAUAUAUGGGCUCAGUCAAGGGCCUGAAUGAAAAGCUCGGGCUUUAUAAUAAAUAAUAUAUAUAUAUAUAUUUUUUAAAAAAACUGUAUAAUAUAUUAAUAUAUCAUAAAAUUGAAAUAAAAAAAAACUAAAACAAAACAAUUAAAAAUCCCUCCCCGUGACCGUGAGUCUGUAAGUGUAAGUGUGGAACAUAGCAAAACAAUUUAUAAUAUUGACAGAAUCCCUAAAUCGUAUAUCCCUCAUUCCCUCACUUCUCACUCACCUCUCAGUUCUCACUCACUAUCAGUCUGUCACGGCGUCACCGUGCCGGCGUCUCACUGUUCUCGUCGUCGGCAGCCAGUAGCAGCGAGCAUCUCUAGAUUCCAGCAGCGUCCAGCUAGCAUCAGCCAUCAGCGAGCCACCGUCCAAUAGCAGCAGCAUCAGCCACCGCCCAACCACCCACCGUCCAGCCACCCAGCAAGGCAGCAACAACAUCUCCUGCGUGUCCAGCAGCGCCUCCCACCCACCAGCACAGCCGCGCGAUUAUCUAAUUUUUACAGAAAGUUCGUAAGGUUUUUGUGUUCUUAUUUCAAAUUUUUACUUCUUCAGAUCUUGCUAUGUAUGAAAGAAGUUGUUCAAUGUGGUUAAACUUUGAUUUGUGCUUAAAUCAUAUAUGUUUAGCGAAGCAAUAACAUGUGCACUAGUUUUCGGGGAAACAAAAUAAAUGAGCCAUUACUUAAUUAACUUAGCAUAUUCCUUUCUCAAGUCACCAGUGGAGAGUGGAGACUGGAGGCUGUAUCAAAGCUGCUUCAUAAAUGUAGACAGAAAGAAGAGAUAUUCUAAUUCGAUAUCUUACAAGUUUGUAUUGAAUAUAGUACCUAAUUUAUUGGAAAUGGUGGUGUUAUAAUUUUUCACUCUUUUUUUUAUUUUUGUUCUGUCAAAGUUUUAAGUUACUGAAAUGGAAUGAUUUGGAUCAACACAUAUCUUUACAUGCUUGAUUUUAUUUAAUUUUUUUUGAAAAUUCGUAAAAGCCCAGGCCCGCCCCGCCCAAAGCCUGCCCAGUUUGGAUGGGCUUUAAGAGGGCCUGGACUUUUUAAACAUUAUAUGGGCCUGGUCCUGGGCUUGGCAAAGCCCGGCCCAGGCCCUUAAAUUGCCAACCCUACUACACCCUGUCCGCCGAAGAACGAAUUAUCAGGAGUAUGAACCCUCCUAAGAAAUCAUUUUGACGACCCCCAAAAUUCACUAAUAAACCACCGUCAGACGUCCAAUUGCCAUCCCCGUGAAUCAAACGAAACCACUCUCAUACAGACCCUCCAUCUCAAAUCCAACCCCAUGCAAACCAACCACUAACGUCCAAUGCCGCUAUCCUCUCGAAACUUCAGCAACCUUCACUCACAUCUAAUACCGUAAGUGAACAAAAAGAAAUGGCAAUCAAUGGUGACACCAAUGACCAUGAAUGUUGCCGUGAGAUAGCGAAAUCUCCCCUCCAUUCACUUGAAGAAGGGGAAGAAAGCAUUGCUCGAGACAAGCCAAUUCUCAUCUUGCUAAUCGACGAUAAUGGCAGACAUCCACCACCAGUUCAUCUCCUCACUUCCAGAAAUGAACCUCCUUUUCUUAGGAGAUCCCAAAGGCAAACUCGAUCGAAAUACAAGAGUCAAACGCUAGCCCAAUCCCAACAGCCCCCAACUUCCACAAACACACUGCCAUUGUCAUCCCUUCAACAACCAUCUCCAACCGCCAUCGCCACCCAUUCAACAGCCAACUCCAAGCUUUCAUCUCAAGCCAACCAGCCACCAUCCUCCAGCCCACAACCAACACAAGCCACACACCAUUCGGGAGAGCACCAUGCUGUCACACCAUGUUUGGUGAAUGGAUUUUCAACUCAAGCCAACCAGCCACCAUCCUCCAGCCCACAACCAACACAAGCCACACACCAUUCGGGAGAGCACCAUGCUGUCACACCAUGUUUGGUGAAUGGAUUUUCAACUCAAGCCAACCAGCCACCAGCCUCCAGCCUGCAACCAAUGCAAGCUACUAGACCAUUUGGGAGAUCAUCUUGCUGUCACAACCACUAUACACCAUCAAAACUAGCCUGUACUCCAUGGCCAUUUGCCUCAAGAUUCGGUUCAAGCUACAACCACCAACCAGCCACAAUCACCACCUACACAAACAACUCCCACAUGACAAAAAACUACAUGUAAAUCACAAGCAAGCACUCGAAACAGUGCUCACGGCCAGCUGUAGCUGUCAAUCGAAAGCUAGCUGCAGCUGUCAACCGAAAGCCAGCUGCAUACAACCACCACCGAAGCCAGCCAAAGUCAGCAAACAUCCAACCAACACCAACUCAAAAGUCUGCACGCGUGUGGUAAUUCCCAUGCCAAUGGAACACUUUCAGCAACACAAGAAUUGUGUUCCCCAUGUAUGUCUCCCACUAGCACUUCCCAUGCCCCACUAGCUUUUCCCACUAGUCAAACCCAAGCCCAAUCCAUUUCCAAAAUAAAUCCCAACACUUAUAUAUUCUUUUUUUUNNNNNNNNNNNNNNNNNNNNNNNNNNNNNNNNNNNNNNNNNNNNNNNNNNNNNNNNNNNNNNNNNNNNNCUAUACCUCGAUUUUGAAAUUCGUCCCCAAUCUGAAUCAAAAUAAACCCACUAAAUAAUCUUUGGUGGAUAUUAUGAAUGGCCCAUCCAACUCGGCGAUUCUGAUCAAGACCGUCACUUCGUUCGAGGGAGAGCCUAACGUACAAUUUUCCACUGCAGAAAUUCAAGUAAUGACCAUUCCUUUCAAGCUGACAUUGGUAGGUAAAUUUUCCUAUAAUAUACCCAGUAUGGAAUUAAUUCGUAAAUUUUUUAAUACUUUAAGAUUGAAGGGAACUUUCAAGGUGUCCCUUUUAGAUAAUCGACAUGUGUUAAUUCAAUUGGAUGUUGAGGAGGAGUACUCCCGCCUAUGGGUUAGGAAAACAUGGUACAUCAAUGGGAGUGCCAUGAGAAUUUUUAAAUGGACCACCGAUUUUUUAUGUUUCUAGGAGUCCCCAAUAGUCCCAGUUUGGAUUUCAUUUCCUUACUUGCCUGUCCACUUCAUGCACUAUAAGGAAGCAUUAUUUUCUAUUACAUCAGCUAUUGGUAAGCCAUUGCGAAUUGACCAAGUUAUUGCCUCUUUAGCUCACCCUUCUGUAGCUAGGGUAUUAGUGGAGUAUGAUGUCACUCAACCUCCAUUGCCACAUAUACGAAUCGAAGUAGGAGAUUAUGAAUUUUGGCAGAGUAUAAUUUUUGAAAAAAUCCCACUCUACUGUGCUACCUGCAAGCACCUUGACCAUACCAUUGAGACGUGUUAUGUGGCCAAUUCGGGACACCGUCCCCAGUGACCCAGUGACCCAGUGGGAAUUGGCAGACCAGAAUAAAUAAUAAGAAGUUAGAAGUUUUGCCCACUGAUACUCUUCAACCCUUGGAUACUUCAUGACCUGAGUCGUCCAUCACUAAGCAGAUUGCAGAUGCGGGGUCUCUGAUUGUACAUACGAAGAACUGAGCUAAUGCUACAAACUCUACCUCCAUUCAGGAGCUGAUUGGCUAGGAUGUCACGACUCAUGAUUCUAGGAUCCGAGAACCAGGUGAGUAUAAUACACAUCUUCAUCGAGCAUCCAACACAUAUUUUAGGCUUUACAAUUGUUAUACUGAUAAUGAUGAUAGUUCUGAUGAUCAAUUGGCAAAUAAUGACCAUUUUUGUCUGCUCCUGAGAAUUCUAAGAGAAUUGACUCUAGCCCUAAUUUAACGUUGUCGGUCAUUCAAAAAAGGGCAUUAAAUUACUUGCUGACCGCAAGUAUUGUAAGAGAUAUUAUCACCGUUUGCAUUAGUCUUUUUCUUCUUAUGUUAGGCUAUGGCUAAAUCAUUUCGUUUACUGUUAUAUUUAUUUCUCUUGAUUGGAGGUUUUGGUUUAUGUCCCCCUCCUCAUGUAUUUUCAUUAUCUGUUCUAAAUAAUAGGUAGGGGUCCUACCUAACCCCCCACCAUAGAGUGGUAUUGACUUAAAAAAAAAAACCUAUGGAUUUACCAAACUUAAGACUCUCACUUACAGUUUAUCACCAUAUAGUUUAUCAACCUUAGACUGAAUCUACUUCUCUUGAAUAAUUACUACCCCUCUUGAUCCACGAUCAUCAAGGCACUUCGCAAAGUGAUCAAUAACAAUUCUUCAAUUUUUCAACGUCUAGUGAUCGAAGAUCCACAUAGACUCUCCACAGAGAUGAAAAGAAGAUAAGAAAAUAAAUCAACACAACAUGGUGCGCCAAAUCUGGAUUCUCUAGGAAUGAAGCCAAAUUUUGCUUCUCUGCUUUAUGCUAUGUGUUGUGCGAUCAAAACUUCAAUUGUGAAAAUACCUCUCUUUAUAUAGAAACUAGAGUUUCACCAAAAUAGCAAGUCUUGAAAGACUUGGAUUCUUUCCAAAUAAGAGUUUCUUUCCUCUUAUAAUUCCUAUGAAUCUGAAUAGGAAUAAAUCUGAUCUUUUUGUCUUGCUUGUCUCCCAAGAAAUAUCUAGAGCAUUUACUGACUUCCUGUUUGAACCAACUUCUUGCUCUUAAAUAGAUCUCAUGUGCCAAUUAUAGAAUCCCGCCAUUAAUUGACUUGCUAAAUUAGACAUCUAAUUAAAUUAGGACACAAAUAUUCCUAAUAAAUUGGAAUCUCACUAAAUUAGGGAAUUAAUAAAUUAAUCCCUAUUACAAGAUAUGCAAUAAAUAAACUUACAAUUUAACUAGACUUGCCAUAAAAUGCCAAGUCUAUAAAUAAUGACCUUAACAAAGACAAUUAACAAAUUUCUCAUCAUCUUCAUUGUCAAUAGGUUUUACAAUAUAGCAACAAAACACCAAAGUUUUCAUCCCUUAAGAAACUAAGCAUAGCCUGUGCCCAUAAAACAUAAUUGUGCCCAUCUAAUAUGGCUUGAAUCGGCUGUGGGACAUCUAAUUAUUCCAUAAUAACAACCAAUGAAAGGAAAAAGAGACAAGAAAUAAAAAGAAAGCAAACCAGAGAGACACAAAUCAACCUCUCUCUAAUACCAAGUGAGAGAAUCAAUAGAAAAUCUAUAUUUCACUGUUCUUGUAUGUACAACGCAGGGCCUUUAUAUAAGGGUUACCAGGAGCUUUCAUAGGAAUAGGAAAGAAAUAAUACAAUUAUAGGAAAGAGAUUAUAUAAAUAAUAAAUAUAAUUAUACACACAUAUAUUGAGGAUUCUAGAAUCGUGAUCUUGGGAAUUCACAAAAAUCAUUUCACAACGACACAGUGGUGGAAAGGUGCAAAAUAAUAUAACUUCAAGCGGAGUUCAGUUUAAAAAAAAUUAAGAAUUGUGUAUGUUUUUAAAAAAUACGAAAAAAACAAGUGGCCGGUGGAUAAUUUGUCUUUUACAUUUGAGGGUAAAAAAGUUAGUUAUACAAUAUUCUGUUAGUUUUCUUACGGUCUCCAACGGAAGUGGAAAGUGAAAGAAAUGUAACUUCAGGUGAUUCCAGUAAAAAAAAAGUUUAUGUAUUUUUUUUUAAAUUGGAAAAACCAGGUGGACGGUGGAUAAUUUUCCAUAAAAUAAAGGCGGAGAACAGCAUUACUUAGACAACACAAAUUUUAUAUGGAAACUUUCUCUAUUAAAGAAAAAAAUAUGGCCAAAAAAUAUGACUGUCAUGAACAACUAGAUUGAAUUCACUAUCUAAUGAAUUAUUACAGCCAAACCACAUUCUCUUAGUAUUUUUAUCUUUGAUCCAGAUCCCAAUUACAUUAAAAAAAUAUGUUACUCAUAAAAACUCCGUGAUAAAUAAUGUUAGGAAGUUUUGAUUCCCACCCAAAUUCUCUGCAAAAUAUGUCAAACAAGCAUCUAAAUACAAUAAAGGUGGAGAAUAAUAUCAAUCACAUAACACAAAUUUUACGUGAAAAACUUCUUUAUCAAAGAAAAAAUGUAUCCAUCAAGAAUGACUAAAUAAUAUCCAUCAUGUGUAAAAUUGUUAUAACUAAACUACAUUCUCCUAAUGGUUUUCUUUUUCUUAUACCAUCCAAAUUACAUACAAAACAUUUCUCAAUCAUACAACAAUAUUACACAAUCUCACAAAUUCUUUAUUUAAGUUUUUGACUAAAUUGAACAACUUUAUAUUUUGUGCAUGUUAAGACUUGCUUAAAUAUUGUCAUUGGGCACUUAUCUAUCAGCUUUUGGGCCACGCCGUUUAUCCAAUACAAUUCGAAGUCAAAAGUCAAAAGUUCGAUUUCCUCAAUGUUCUGGUCCGACGAUUCUAUUAUUAGGCUCUUACCUUAUGUUAUUAGGCUCUUACCUUAUGUUAUUAGGCUCUUACAUUGAGAAUGUUCUAGUUACACAAUCCUGUUAUUAGGAUCUUACUUUAUGCUUGUGAGACAAGUAGUUUCUCUAUCUGUGCACAACUUUAUUUGCCAAUCUCAUAUUAAGCUAUUAGGCUCUUACUCUAGGACUCUUAUACCUUGAGAAAGUUUUAGUAAAACAAUACUAUUAUUACGCUCUUACUUUAGCCUCUUUAGAUAAACAAUUUCUCUAUCCGUACGUAACUUCAUUAGUGACACCAGACACAAUAGAUGAGAAAGCACAACGUCACACACCCAAGAAAUUACAAGCUCACCACCACAGCUAACAACAAAAGGAUACAGACAAAUAUUCACAACCUAAAGUUGUUAAGUUAAGGAUACAGAGCUUAAAACACUUACCACUCAAUGGAAUCCACCAAAGAGAUACAGAGUUUGAUAAUAGCUCAAAGUUCAUUUAAUUUCCAAAAUUAAUCUCUUUAUUUUGGUUACAACUACAUAAGCUUAAAUAACUUUCUUGGAACAAUCCUCCAAGCAUAGAUAUACUACAAAGAAACCCUUCAAAUGUCUUGACUUUAAAGACCAACAUUAAAGCUAGACAUUAAUAAAACAUUGGUAUGCUUAAAACACAGCAAAGAGCAUUAAAAAAAAGUCCAAGUCCAGAAAUAUUCUUCUUGACUCAAAACUGAACAGCCUGUACUUAAUUGAUCAUAACUUAUUGUAGAAAGCUCCAAAUUUAGAUUAGUAAAAUUCAUUGGAAAGCUAACAGAAAUAUCUUUCCAAUGAUGUAUGGCUCGAAAAUUAAUUUGACCUCAUACAAGACAGUUUAAUUCCCAAAGAUGCCCCUUCGGAACAGAAAUUCUGCUCACUUGAUUAAUGUAAGAACUUGAACUGUACUUGGUAUAACUUGAAUACCAAAUAUUUCAAACACCCCUGUGUUAAUUAGCUAAUUUAAUCUGACAAAUUACAUUUUAACAAUUACAUUUCUGCAAUAUAUCUUGCUUCCAUUUCUAUUAAUUCAUUAUUUAAAGAUGUCGUUGGUGUGGACAAAAUCAUACAAUUGCCAAAUUAGCUAGCUUGAUGACUUGGACUGAUAUUGUAUAUACCAUGCAAAAAACUCAAUAUGACCCUGCAUGCAUAUUGUUUUACGCAAGAAAGACAAAACCAUCGCGCAAACAUUUAAUGGAUAAUCGCACAAUUUCAACUGCUGAAAUAGGAAAAAAAUCAUCCUCACUUGCAAAACUAGUACUGAUUAAAUAAGAUUUAUUAAAAGAUAUAUAUAACGAUCCUUUGUUAUAUUCAAAGUUAUACAUAUUUUGCUUAAAAUAUUAAUCCACUCAAAAGUGAUUAAACAAGCUGAAUAAUUAGAUAGAUGCUAAUAAAUUAUAAGAAGAGAUAAUAUAGUUCGGAACCCUCAUUUUUUUUUCAUGUGAACAAACUUUUAAGUCGUGCAAUUUAAUAGAGUCAGUUUUUAAUGCUAUUAAACUGCAUGACUUUAUAGUUUAUUGAAGAUGAACUCUGUUAAGUUGUGUGUCUACAUAAAAAAAAGGGAAAUUAUCAUUCCUAUACCCUAAAUUUGUAUUUUUAUCAAAAAUACUACAAUACUUUAAGGGUGUAUCAAUCGUCCACUCUAAAUUGACAAAAGGUAUCCGUCGUCCACUAAACCGUUACCUGCCAUUUGAAAGUUAACGGAACAAUAACGAAUUGAUGAUUUUACCCUUGAAAAUUAUCACUUGUAUACCCUUAAAAUCUCUCAUUAUCACUUAUAUACCCUUAAAUUAUCACUUGUAACAUAUGAAAAGACUAGAUUAUCCCUCUGACGUCAUCAUAUUUAAAUGGCAACUAACGGUUUGGUGGACGACAGAUAUAUUUUGUCAACUUAGGGUGGAUGACUGAUAUACCUUGAAAGUGUUGUAGUAAAUUUGAUAAUGGAGUAAACUAAGGGUAUACGAUUGAUAAUUUUCCUAAAAAAAAAUGAGAGCGCCCACGCCUGAGAAUAAUUACACACACAUGUACACACACAUAUAACUAAGCACAAAGCGCUUUAUAUAUUGGCUACGAACUAUAGUAUAGAACUAGAUGGCAACAAGGACAGCAUGAAGGGGUUGAGGCUUCUGUACGGUGAGGCCAAAUUUAUCUUCCAUGUCCAUGUUGUGGUCAUCAAGCUUCCAAUCAAAAGAGUUAAUAAGUGAACCCAACAUUAGAUGUAACAUUCUGAUUGCCAAUGGUAAACCAGGACAAAUUCGUCGCCCAGCUCCGAAGGGAAUUAGCUCAAAAUGCUGGCCUUUGAAAUCAGCAUUUGACCCUAAGAACCUUUCGGGAAUAAAAGUGUGAGGGUUGUCCCAUGUGCUUUCAUCUCUGCCAAUAGCCCAUACAUUGACAAAAACUUGUGCACCUUUUGGCACCGUGAAGCCUGCAAUUUCAACAUCUUUUGUGGCUUUGUGGGGAAGUAAUAAGGGAGCUGCAGGGUGCAAUCUCAAAGUUUCUUUAACAGCAGCUUGUAGAUAAGGUAGCCAAGUGAUGUCAGAUUCCUCAAUUGGGUUACACUUGCCAACUGUUUGUUCUAGCUCCAAUUUUGCUUUCAAUAAAGCCUCAGGGUUGUGGAGUAGUUCUGCCAUUGCCCAUUCCAUUGUACUUGAAGUUGUGUCAUUCCCCGCAAUAAACAAAUCCUGGUAUACGAACACUGUUAUUUAACUUGUAAUUUGUACUAGAAAUUAAGAAAAAGGAAAAGAAAUAUUACCGCAAAAAAGUGCUUGAGAUGUUUUGUUUCAAUCUCAACACUCUUCUCUUGGAUAAUAUUGAGAAGAGUAUCUAAUAUAUCUUUACAUUCGGUGCUAAUACUGCAACCAUGUUCUUGUCUAUGCUUCAAUCGUUGAUCAACCAAGCGAUCAAACACCUCGAGCAUCUUGGCACUAUAAACUGUGAUGCGGCACUUUAUCCCCUGCAGAUCAAACUUUUUGAGAAGAGGAAAAUGGUCGGACAAGUUAAGCUUUCCUGCUUCUUCCAAGAUACCAGAAACUGUAUCCUUAAACUCUCGCUCGUUGGGAUUAACCAAAUCAAUAGAAAAAUUUGUGUUGGAUCACAAAUUAAGUGAAGUAUUGAAAGCAGCUUGGCCAACAUCUAUUGCUUUACCCGCACGGAAAUUGUCUUCAACAUGAGCAAGAAGGUCUUUGAUUUUCUUGCGCCGGAGCUCUUGAUUGGCAUCGAGUUUCUGACUAGUGAAAAUAUGCAUGUUGCUUAUUUUUCGAAGAUUUUUCCACAUUGUUGAAACUGGAAGCCAGGCCAAACUGAAUUCAUGGUGUGGGAAGGGCAGUGACAAGACUGCUUCAGGGACCUUUCGAUCACAGAAUGAUAAAUCAUGAUUUUGAAGGAUGGCUUUGGCCAUGCUUGGAGAAGAAACCACUACUGUGAUCACCUGGCCAAGUCUUAGACUCAUUAUGGGCCCAUGAAUCUUGGCAAGCUUGGUCAGUGACUUGUGAGGUUUAGCACCCAGCUCCAGAAGGUUUCCGAUCACUGGAUAAGGCUUCGGUCCCGGUGGAAGUUGUUUGUGUCGCCCUCUGGAAACGAAACUUAAAGCCAUCACCCAAACCAAUGUGAAUACAAGCCACAGUAUGCAGUUAAUUAACAAAUCCAUCUUUGAAUUGAAAUUGAUAUUUUGAUUUCUCUUUAUUUGAAACUCUCUUCAAUACCGUCCCUGCACUUUCUUUUAUAGUAGUACCUGGACUCUGGAAGUUGCUUUCACUACUGUUUCACUUCUAUUUCAAACACAUAACUAAAUAAAGUUUUUUGAGUCACGUCACUUUCAUAUUGCUGGUUCCUUGGGUAAUUUGGUCUUCCUAAGACAAGCAUUUAUUUUGAGUAGAAAGGUCCAAUGAGCUUGAUCGCAAGAGAUUUGAGUUGGAGUUGUUUCCGAUCCCCAGGAUGUCAAAAAUAUCCAUCCUCAGUAAUAACCAACCUCCGGAUGAGGCAUACUUGAACUGGACUUCACUUGAUAAGCUUGGAUUUAGUCUGGAAUUCAAAUUUUAUAAAAAAUAUAUAAAAUAUGUAUUAUUUAAAAUAAUUAUAUUUAUUUGGUGGACCCAAUUACAUAUAUCUAGGGAUGGCAAUUUUUCCCGAUGGGAUGGGAUCCUGCGGGAUCCCAUCCCAUUUGGGACGAGAUUGGGACAUAUUUUUGUCCCAUAAAAAAAUUUAGGGACGGGAUUGGGACAUUUUUUUAUCCCAAUUACAUAUGCGGGACGGGAGUGGGAUUGACAAAUUCCGUCCCAUCCCGUCUCAUUACUGAUUAAGAAUGAAAAUUUUUCCAAUUGGGAUGGGAUCCCGCAGGAUCCCAUCUCUUUUGGGACGGGAUUGAGACAUAUUUUUGUCCCAAAAAAAAUAUGGGGACGGGAUUAGGACGUUUUUUCAUCUCAUUUGCAUAUACGGGAUGGGACUGGGAUUGGUAAAUCCCAUCCCAUCCCGUCCCAUUGCCAAUAUCUUGAGAUCGAGUUUACCUUUAUUUGAAUUUAAUUUUGUUUUAAGACUAAUAUGAGCUUGUUUUGUUUGUUUGUUGUUCUCUAUUCAGUUAUGUCUGUUGUUCUCUAUUCAGUUAUGUCUGUUGUUAGUAUUACUGCUAACAUUAAUUCUAUUCCUAUGCUAAAUGACUCUAACUUCAAGUCAUGGCAAGAGAACCUCUUAAUAGUUCUCACAGUCAUGGAUCUUGACAUUGUAUUAAGGGUUGAUUUUCCCCCACCUCUUGCGGAUGAAAGUACCCUUGAUGACAAGAAGGAUAUUGAAAGGUGUGAGAGAUCAAAUCGCAUGUGUGAUGAUCAUAAAGAAGACCAUUCUGGAAGCAUUUUGGGGUUUAAUGUUUGAAAAGCAACUACAACUAAGGAGUUCCUUGCAAAACUUGAACAAAGGUUUGUUAAGAACGAAAAGACUAAAAUUGAUAUGCUCUUAACAAGCCUAAUUUCAAUAAGGUAUAAAGGCAAGGACAAAAGUAAGAAAAAGAACAAGAAUAAGAAAGCUGCAGAUACAACACCUCAAAAGAAACAGCAAAAGAAAUCGGAUGAUUCAAAAGCUGUUAAUUAAUUUUUUUACAGAGUUGAAGGUCACAGUUUGGUUUGUUUUGACAUUGAUUUAACUUCAGUACUUAGACACACGUGGUGGAUAGAUUCUGGUGCAACAACUCACAUCAGUAUGUUUAUGCAGGAUUGUUUGAUUUAUUGAAAGCUUGGUGAUGGUGAAAGAUACAUUUAUGUGGGCGAUGCAAGACUGUUGAAGUUGAAGCAAUUGAAAAAUUCAUAUUAUUAUUGAAGACCGGAUUUUAUUUGGAUCUCGAUGAAACAUUUAUUGUUCCGUCUGUUAGAUGGAAUUUGAUUUACAUUUCUGCUUUGAACAAAUCUCGUUAUUCUUGUUUAUUCGAAAAUAGAAAAUUCAGUUUCUUUCAUGAUUCAAAACUGGUUGGUUCUAGUUCUUUGUCAAGGAAUGAUAAUCUUUAUCUGGUUGAUACAAUUGCUUCAUUUAAUGAAUCCUUGUAAUUUAUUACAUGAAGUUUAAAGAGAAAAAUAACCAAUGAGAAUUCGGUUGUGUUAUGGCACAAGAGAUUGGGUCAUAUAUCUAGACGGAGAAUAGAGAGACUUGUGUCAGAUGAAAUUCUUGAACCCUUAGAUUUCAUAGAGCUUGAUAUUUGUGUUAACUGUAUCAAGGGAAAAAAAGUAAAAGGAAAUUUGAAGUUGAUAGGACUUUAGAUGUCUUAGAACUCAUACAUACGGACAUUUGUGGGCCAUUCCCUGUGGCUGCUUGGAAUGGUCAACAAUAUUUAAUAACGGCCAUAGAUAAUUUUUCUAGAUACGGCUACAAAUGUCUCCUUUAUAGAAAGUCACAGUCCUUGGAUAUGUUCCAAAAUUUUGAGGUUGAAGUUAAGAAUCAACUUAGCCAAAGAAUUAAAAGCAUUAGAUCUUACCGUGGUGGUGAAUAUUAUGGCAGAUAUGAUAGUUCAAGUGAACAACUAUAGGACCGUUUGCUAACUUCCUAGAGGAAUGCAGUAUCAUCCUACAGUAUAAUAUGUUAAGUUCACCCAGUAUGAAUGAUGUUGUUGAAAGACGAAACAUGAUGCUUAAGGAUAUGGUGAGGAGUAUGAUAAGGUGCUGUUGGAAGACAAAAGAUGAAAUAAGACACUUAAAGAUAUGGUGAGGAGUAUGAUUUGUCGUUCUACCUUACCAGAAUCACUCUAGGGAGAAGCACUUAAGACUCAAGCGUAUAUCUUUAAUAGGGUUCAAACUAGAACAACUACCAAAAUCCCUUAUGAGUUUUGGACGAGUAAGAAGCCUAGUCUAAAGCACAUGCAUGUUUGGGGAUGUCUAGCUGAGGCAAGCCUUAUAGGCCUAAUGAGAAGAAACUAGACUCAAGGAUGAUGAGUUGUUAUUUUAUUGGAUACUCUAAAUGAUUUAGUUGGUACAAGUUUUAUGAUUCCAGGACAAAGCUAAUUUUCGAGUCGGGAAAUGCAUCGUUCUUUAAGGAUGUAGAGCUUGUAGAGAGGAGAUACGGCUAGGGACUUUGUCUUUGAAAAGGAAUAUGUUGAUAUUCCCAUAUGUAUUAUUGGCAUUGAUUAAGGUCUCAUUCCUGACUUUACUGAAGACACAACAAAUCAAGACAAUGUUAAAGAACCCCCAUACAAGAAGUUGUUUCAGAAGAACAAAGUCUAACACCUCAAAAACCUAUGCCAUUAAGGAGAUCCACUAGAGAAAUGAGAAGUGCAGUGUUAGAAGGCUACAUUGUAUUUCUCCAAGAACAUGAGGUAGACAUCAAUGUGAUGGAAGAUGAUCCGAUUAAUUUCUGUCAAGCCAUAGAAAGUUCUAACUCUCAGAAGUGAAUUGAUGCCAUGAAUGAGGAGAUGAAAUCCAUAAAGGACAAUGAUGUAUGGGAUAUCGUCCCAUUGCCAAAAGGUACGAAACCUAUUAAUUGCAAAUGGAUAUUUAAAACCAAGAGGGAUUCAAAAGGCAAUGUAGAAAGGCACAAGCCGUGGUUUAUCGCAAAGGGCUUUACGUAGAGAGAAGGCAUCGACUAUAAAGAGACUUUCUGUCCGGUUUCUUUGAAAGACUCUUUCAGGAUUAUAGUGACAUUGGCGGCGCAUUUUAAUCUUAAGUUACAUUAGAUGGAUGAUAAGACAAUGUUUCUCAAUGAUGAUAUUGAUGAGAUAAUUUAUAUGAUUCAACUAGAAAACUUUGUGUCCGGAGACCCAAAGAAUAUGGUUUAUAAAUUUAAAAAAUCCAUCUAUGGGCUCAAGCAAGCAUUCGACACUGGUAUUUCAAGUUUAAUCAAGUGAUCAUCUUAUUCGGUUUUGAAAUGAAUUUGGUCGAUAAUUACAUAUGCCACAAGUUCUGUAGGAGCAAUUAUAUUUUUUUAGUUUUAUGUGUUGAUGACAUUUUUUUUACCAGCAGUGAUAUAGGAUUAUUGCACAAAACCUAGAGAUUUCUAUCUAAGAACUUUGAAAUUAAAUAUCUUAGUGACACAUCUUUUGUAUUAGGCAUACAGAUACAUCGGGAUCACUCCGGAGGUAUUCUUGGAUUAUCACAAAAGAAGUAUAUCAAAACUGUUCUCAAGAGAUAUAACAUACAAUUUUACAAAUCAGGUGAUACCCUUUUGGCUAAGGGAGACAAGUUUAGUUUUAAUUGGUGCUCUAAGAAUAAUUUUGAGGAAGAAAAAUACAGAAGAUUCCUUAUGUGUCAACAGUAGAAAGUUGGAUGUUUACUAGUUUUGUACGCGACCAGAUAUUACGUACAUUACAAGGAUGUUAGGCAAAUAUCUAAGUAAUCCAAGAGUAGACCAUUGGAAAUCAGCCAAAUAGGUCUUGCGAUACGUAUAGAGAACAAAAGACUACACAGUCACAUAUCAGAGGUCAGAUCAGCUUGAGAUCGUUAGGUAUACUAACUCCGAUUUUGCUGGGUGCCAAGAUAAUAUGAAAUCCACUUCGAGCUACACUUAUCUACUAGCUGAGGUGUUGUCUCCUGGAAGAGUGCUAAACAAUGUCUUAUAGCCUCUUCUACGAUGGCAGAAGAGUUCUUAGCAUGUUAUGAGCCAUCCAAUCAUGAAAUAUGACUGCAAAAUUUUGUCACGGGAGUUUGUAUAGUAGUUGGUGUUGAUAGACCACUCAGAUUAUUUUGUGACAAUAAGUCAACAGUGCUUUAUUCCAAUAAGAAUAAGAGAUUGACAAAGACGAAGUAUAUAGACAUUAGAUUUCUAGUUGUUAAAGAAAGCGUUUAGAGUAAACAAUUUUCUAUUGAGUAUAUCGGCACAAACUCCAUGAUUAUGAAUCUACUUACUAAAGGAUCGCCACCCAAAAUGUUUCAUGAGCAUGUUGCUCAUAUGAGUGUCAUGUCAUUAAAAGAUAUUCAUUUUAGCGGGAGUUUGUGAUUUUAGAUGCUCUUAUAAUAUAGAAAUUUUUUAGUCAUUUCAGUUUAUAGAUGUUUCAGGUUAUUUUCUGCAUAAAUAAAGUUUUAGUUUAUUCAUACUCUGAUUUUAGUUUAGUUUAAUCUCACUAAGGUUUAAAGGUGGACCAAUUGGAAAUAGGCAUGUGAAGAUCAUAAUGCAUGAAAUUUUCAUGCUGCACAUCCACAUCAUGAUCCAUGUCAUUAAAUGGUAUUGGCAUAAUGGCCAUUGAUGGGUCGAGUUACGAUAAUUAUAACGAAGGUCAUUUUGAUCCUAUAUUAGUAUGAUUGAUGGACCGAAUUGGUUGUAGAUACAUUUCAGUAUUGACAAUAAGGUUGAGCUCAUACGGUUAUUUUUUGCAAAGCAUCAUUAUAAAGUUACAUAUAGAGUCCAAGUGGGAGAUUGCUAAAUUUUUAAAUCUAGCAUUAUUCGAUUCUUAAUCCAACAUUAGGCUUAUAUGUGAAUAAUUAUGUGUUGCAGACUAUCAUAUAAGGUUAAGCCUAAUUAAAAGUUAUCUAUUAAGGUUUUUGAUAUUAUGGGCUUUAAUGUAUCUAAUAAGGUGUGAGCCUUUAAUGUAUAAAAACCUAAUGAUAUUCUAAUUCUAUGAUGGAUAGAAUUAUGAAUACCUAAUGACACCAGGAAACAGCUGUCUAUAUAAGUGGUUAUGGUCCCCAAGUGAUAACUCCAUGAAUGAGAGUUAUCAUUGUUGUGCAAAUUUUAUUGAACUCGCAAGUGCACGAAUCUAUUGUAGUAUAGAUCAAUGGUGACAAGUGUCGAUCUCACGAGGAGGUGGAUUUUAAUUAUAUGUAGAAUUAAUUUUGUAAAUGGGUGGUUGGAUGUGGUGAAAAUGAUUUGGAUUAUCCUCAAAUUGGAAUUGAAAUGGCGAGAAUAAAUUGAAGAGUAAUCUAUUGAGAUGACGUACUUGGGUAUCUGGAUCCGUAUCAACAUGCAUCAUGGACUAAAUAAUCCUUAUUAAUGCCAAUUAAAUCAUGAGGGGGGAAUCCACACCUCAUGAAUCACGCUCUAAUCAAUAUGGUGCGAAGGGCUUAUCGUGCCAAAUAAUAAUAACCUUGUACUAGGGGGCCGGUGAAACCAAGGCGGUACUAGACAAGAUUAGUAUUAUUUGUCGACGAGAAGUCAAAACAUCCACAAAAAUUAGAGGGGAAAAGAAAGUAAAUUUACCAAAUAAAGCCCAUGACACAUGUUGAGACUUCACCUUCAACCCAAGCUUGAAAGAAAAUUAGCUACUUAUAAUUGAACUAGGGGUAAAAUGGAAAUUUAUUAAAAUACGUAGAAAAUACAAGAUGGAGAAGGAAUUACAGAAAAUGGAUCCCAAAAAUGGAUUCAGAGAUAUCAAAUUAGGGGGGAGAGGCCCCAUUUUUAUAGAUACAUGGAGUAAAUCAUGGCCAUCGGAUUAAAAACAGUUUGGACGCUCAGGAUUGCGCCACGUCAUCAGUCAAUAGUACGCGGUUUGACCACGCGGAUGAACAGUAACACGGUUUGACCCGGGUUGAACAGUGACGCGGUUUGGUUGAAAAUAAUCCUGUGUGAUGCAUGUACCGUAUGCGAGAUUUUUCGUCCACUGAUAUGCUGCCACGUCACCAUCAACAGUACAUAAGAAUUUUAGCCCAACAGGAUCGUGACACCUCAUCAGUCAAUGCCACAUCAUCGGUCAAUGUCACGUCAUCGAUCCGUCUAUGUGAACAGUGUCAUGAACAAUACCGUAGACAGUACCGUACAUGUGAAUAGUGUCAUUUUUCCUUUUAUGCUCCUCCUAAGGUUUUCGACCUUCCUGAGUUCAAAAGUGAUGUCUGUUUUUCCGUCUGAUCUCUCGUUUAUUGUGAAAUGACCAUGAUGCCCUAAAAUACAUAAAAUACUUAAUUAAAAUAAAACACACAUAAUUAAAUUACAAGAAGCUUAAAUACAUAAAAGUAAGGGUUGUUAGUAAGACUUGAAAUGUAAAAUGACGAUUUUUUCCUUUAUAAAUAUGCAUUUUCUAACACUCAACAAUCAUAACAUUUCUAGACCUAAAUUAAUAUUACUUGGAGAGUUAAUGGUGAAUUUUUAUCCCAUUCUUAUUAAAUUUUGCAUGAGUAUAAUAAUUUGAUGUGUUUUAGAUCAUUUUUAGCUUUGAUUAAAUGUGAUAUUGUAGGUGACCAAAAAGCUCAUGCUUUGUUGAUGGAUGAUGUAGAAGAGCGACUACAUUGUUGCAGUAAUGAGCUUGUAGGAAACAACAAAAGACUUAUCUGUAUAUGAGCAAAAACAAGCCUAAGCUAGAGAAAAUGUUAGAGCACAUGCUGCAGCAAUCCAGGAUUGAGUACAGACAAAACUGUCUAGGCUAUUCACGCGAUAUUUGACAGAUUCUGCUGCGGCCAUUACUGCACUACCACUGUCAAGUGCAGACAAAAUAAUGGUAGGCAUGAUAGGUAAUAUAAAAAGAAAUUUGGCCCUAGAAUGCGAAGAAUGGACAAGUGUCCUCAUGACUUUUUGGAUUGCCCUAAUCCCAAGUUAUAAAGGAGCACAUUUUAAGGAAACACAUUAGAGAUAUAUCCAUUGCCGUCACACACACACACAAGAAAAAAAAAAGGAUUUCAAAGCUGUAACAAAGGGUAUCUCAUGGAGAAUGAGAGAAACUUAAAGACUAAAGCGUGACACUUUGGUCCUUUUUAUAUCUCAACUUUAUUCUUAUAUUUUUCUUGUAUUUUCACUUUGAUGAUGUAUUUCUUGGCAAACACUUAUGUUUUUAUUGUUUUAAAGCUCAUCAUGAGUCAAACUCUAAUAAUAGGCAUGCUUUUGUUGAGAUAAAUACUACACCUUCUAAUAAAAUUUUAAUAACUAGCAGGCUGAAUUCAAGGUUUGAUCACCAUUGACAAAUUUUGAUAUUUAUCCUUUUUCUGGUUGGGGGGGCGGGGGUAGAAACAACUCAUUUGCUUAAAGAAUGAUAAACACAACUUUUUUCUCAUAGCCUAAAACUUUGUUUGGUGACAAACAUUGCGUGGGUAAACUAAACGUUUUUCACCACAAAGUUUGGUGUCUUAUAUUGAAGUCAAUUCCAAUAUUUUCCAAAACGUGCAAACUUUUGGCCGCAAAAUCUAUAUCAUGGCUAGAAAAUUGUGGCAAAAACACCAUAUUCUCAAAUGAAUUAAACUUCUUGCAAAAUGCACGCAUAUGGCACGCAACGUAUGGUAGCACCAUUGAAAUAUCCUAUUAUCACAAAAGUUAAAAUAGGAAAUAAAUCAUCCAGGACCUGCAAAACUAUUAAUUUUGAAAGAUAAAAAACUAAGGAUUAAAGAAUUUUGAGGAAGAACAAAGAAAGAUAUGUGGGAAUGCAGAACUAGAAAUUCUUUUUUUUUAUGCAUUAAGCUUACAAUAUAUAAUAAAAAUUGAGAAACUAAGUGACCGAGAAUCAAGCCAUAAGCUGAUACAUGUUGAACAAACUAACAACUUCCUAAAGACUAGGACAAAGUUAAUUUAUUAACAACUGAAACAUAAAAUAAUUAUCCAAAACGUGAAUAGCUUUGUAGUCCCAAGUGCAGCUAACUAACACUCCUCCAUGCACUAGGAGCUGCAAACUCCAAGUCUUUGCCUAAGAAGUUGGAACUUGUUUGCUGGCAAAGAUUUUGUGAAAAUGUCUGCAAGCUGAUCUUCAGAUCUGCAAUAAAUGAGGCUCACUUCUCCUUCAUUCUACACUUCCCUUAAAAAAAAGAGUUUGAUCUUGAAAUGCUUAGUUUUUCCAUGAAAAAAUGGAUUUUGAGAGAUUGCAAUUGCUGCCUGAUUGUCCAUAAAUACCUUUGUAUCAUUCAAUUGCUUCAAGUUUAAAUCACAUAACAGUUUCCUUAGCCACAAUGCUUGAUUCACUGCUAGUAGUGUCGUUAAGGUGCACCAAAUUUAAAACCUUACCACUAAUAUAAAUAAUUAGUACAGAGCGAGUAAGGAUCGAUCCCACAGAGACUAUGCUAGUUAUGUUUAUAUCAACUCUAAAGCAAGAUUUAAAAUAAAAUAAUAGUAGUAAUGCCAAUUAUAAAUAAAAGGGCGUUUAUGAAUUUUUAACUAAAUAGUAAGAAAUAAAGAAAUUAAAACUACGAACAAGAAUUUAAUAAAAACUCUAAUUAAAGGAGAAAGAAAUAAUAAUGAUGAAAACUUUGAUUAAAGGAUCAUUCGCCACUACCAAACAUGCACAUAAUAUAUCAAUUUUAUCAUCAAUUUAUAUUGAAACUAUCAAUCAUAGACAACAAUAAGCUCUGUUAGUCUCAAUCUUUCCUUAGUGUGUUGUUAGGCAAAACAAGCUCUUCACCUAAUCUCUAACCAUUAAAUAAUUUAAAACAAACUCUUUAAAUUUAAGAUAAUGGAAGCAUUAAACAAAGAAAGAUAUUAGGUUGAUCUAGGCAAUAAACACACAAACUCGGAUUAUUUAACCUAAGUUAUGUUCUCCAAUCGAAAUCACUGAUUCCAACCUGCUAUUAAUGAUUAAAAUAUCAAGACAAUUACGGAUCAAGAAUUUUAAUCUAGCAAUAAAAUUUAUUCAAGUCCUAUCUAGUUGGCCACUCAAAUAAAACAAGAAUAAACCAUGAACAUUAAUUAUAGAAGAACAUAAACAAUCUCAAUUAAAUAAAUUGAAUGAUAGAAUUUAAAUUUAAUUGCAUAGCAUGUUUAGGGUUUUGAAUUCACCCUCAACCAAAGUAAAAAUCUAGCCUAACAUAAUUGAAUUGGGAAUAAGAGAACUGAUAAAACCAGUCAUGGAGAUUAAUUCAAGCGGCUGCAAAUUGUUCAGUUUCUCUUGGUUGCCGAUUCUCCUCUGCCCGAAUUGCGUCUGCACUCUUCUGCCCGAAUUGCGUCUGCACUCCUCUUUUUAUUCAAAAGCAAAACUCCCUUUUAUAUUGCUUGGCCACCGAAUCCUAUUGUGAUUCUAAUAACUAAACCAACUUUUACAAGCUAAAGCCCUAAGCUUGCCACAUAAUUGAAAACAAUAAAAGCCAAAAGCUAUUGAUUUCCUUCCUUUAUUCUACUUUGACUUUCCAUUCAAAGGCUUAAUUAAGAGCUUUGUUUUAUGUGCUGCCCACUUUAGUUUUAAUCUUCUUCUUUGUUUGCACGAACAUGGAGAAUUCAAUUUAUUGGCUUCGGUUUCUUCGAACAGAAUUUCUUGCACAUCUCCUUAAUUACUUCCACAAAUUGAUUUGAUCUUCAAUGUUGUCCAAUUGUUAUUCUUUACGUACUUUUUAUCCAUAAUCUCCAAUUAAUUCCCUAUGCAAUAAAAUAAUUCAAUUAAUUAAAAAUAACAAAUAAAAAUAACUAGUAAUUAUAUAAUUAAGGGUAAAAUAUGUAUAUAAAUUAUGCUCAUUAACUGUUGUUGUGGCAGUAACAAAUUCGGCCUCUGCAGUAGUCUGAGCUACAAUCUCUUAUUUCUUGCAGCACCAUGAGAAAACUCCUGAUCCAAGACUGAAACAAUAGCCAGAUUUACUCUUCAUGUCAUUUACAGAUCCACCCCAACCAUUGUCAGAAAAUCUCAACAACUUGAAGUUUUGACACUUCUUGAAUUUUACACCAAAGUCGAUAAUUCCUUUGAUGUACCUAAUAACUCUUUUUACUGCUCUAAGAUGCACUUCACUAGCACAAUGCAUGAAAUGAGAGAGAAUACUCACAGGAAAAACAAUAUUUGGCCUGGUUGUAGUUAGGUACAUUAAACACCCAACCAUGUUUCUAAAAUAGCCUUCAAUUUUGUCUAUGCCGUCCUCCUUACUUAAGCUUUCCUUGUGAUUCAUUAGAGUAGUUAACCCCGAGAUACCAACCGUGGGGUUGUGCAAGCCUGAGGCAGAGGCAUCACAUUUAUCAAACCCCUGGAAACAAUGUCCCUGUAGCUCAUUGUUUACCACAUAGUCCUCUUGAAAUGCCAUUAUUGUGCCAGGAUGCAGGCCUUGGACAUCAGGCUGAGGUUUCAUCUCUGUAAAUCCAGCUAAUGGACUGGUGGCAUCGUCUUGCUCAUCGCUAAUUGUAGCAGACGGUGUAUGUCAUUGGGAAAUAAUCCAAGACUACCACCUAGUAAUGAAGCUGGGGAUGGAGUUCUUUGAGGACCCGAUACAUCUGUGUGGACAAACUGCAACUUGCGAGUGGUUCUCCAGGUUGACUUCAGGAAUGGUCUCCUUUUUUGUUUACUGUACUGACAAGGUUGACAAUUUGGUAAGUGAUCUCCAAAGUUUGUAAGCCAACUGUGAGCUCCUUUGUCUUCAUGAGCUGCAUCCUUUGCAAGUGACAAUGACCAAGUCUCUUGUGCCAUAUCUCAGUCUUGCUAGCUUUGGUGGAAAAUGCAACAAGUUCUUCCUUGAUGGGAUAAAAAAAAACUUUUUCCUCUCAUUCUCACUUUGACAAUUUCUUGACCAGUGACAUCUUGAAUACGACAGAAACUAUAUUCAAAGAUCACUUUAAAGCCUUUUUCAAUCAAUUGACCUACACUCAACAAAUUUUGGUCAAUUUUUGGUACGUAGAGGACAUCAGAGAUUCUUUUUGUACCUUCAGCACUAGUUAUGGCGAUUGUGCCUAUCCCUUUGACAGAAAUGUAAUCACCAUUUUUGAUUUUGACUUUAGUAAGGUCAGUUGGCCUCAAAUCUAUGAAGAGUUCCUUGUCAUUUGUCAUAUGGUUGGUACAACCACUAUCAAUUAACCAACUUUCAGUUGAACUACUACUUGCAAAACAAGACGCCGUAGAAAAGCUGAUCUUCAUCCUCUUGAUCUGCAACUUGGGCUUUAACUUCCUGCUGCUGAGGUUUUUCUUUGCAAAUUGGUGCUUCAUAUCCAAUCUGAUUGCAUUUGGAACAUUUUGCAUCGGGUUUCCUCGGUGGCCUUUUCUUCCACAGUGAUGGCAAGGAGGGUAUUUGCCCUUGAGAUUUUCAUUUUUGCUUUUGUUGUUACUCGAAGUAGGAGAAACUGAAUUUCCUUCUUGGCCUUUCUUCUUUUCCUUUUUGUUUUUGUCAGCUCCGUGAUGUUUGGCAGCUAAGGCUCCUUUAGUAUUGACAUCUUGCCUCAUAAGUCUCCUCUGCUCCGGUGCUUGCAAGGAAUUAAGUAAUUCUGCCAAGGAAAUUUUUAACAUAUCCUUGGUAUUUUCCAAGGUUGUAAUGUCGCUUCAUACCUCUCCGGCACAGUGACAGGGAUCUUUUCUACAAUCCUUGAAUCACUAAAUUCAGACCCGAGUAACCUCACUUUGUUUGCAAUUCCAAGAAGUCUAUCUGAAUACUCUUUAAUUGUUUCAGAUUCCUUCAUCUUUUGCAACUCGAAUUCCCUUAUUAAAUUCAAAACCUGCAUUCCUUUUAUCUUUUCAUCUCCUGCAUAUUCUUUCUUGAGAUAAUCCCACAUAGACUUGGUUGUCUUAAAGGACAUAAUUCUUGUGAAAAUUGUCGAUGACACCACAGUAAACAAGCAUCCUUUGGCCCUCGACUUCUUCAUCUUCUUUUCUUUCUGUGCUUUUAUUUAUACCAUGGUGGGAUUGUUUGGAAGUGCAGGAAUUUCAUAGUCUUCUUCCACUGCUUCCCAAAGAUCCAAAGCAUCUAAGUAUGUCUCCAUGUGUACUGCCCACAUUUGGUAGUUGUCUCCAUCGAACACCGGUGGAGCAAUAGAAGAGAAACUGGCUUCGGCUUCCAUGAUACGUCAAACUCACACACAGAUCCCUUAAGAAGGGAGCUCUGAUUCCAAUUGUUAAUUUUGAAGGAUAAAAAACUGAGGAUUGAAGAAUUUUGAGGAAGACCAAAGAAAGAUAUGCGGGAAUGCAGAACUGGAAAUUCUUUUUUCUUUUAUGCAUUAAGCUUACAAUAUAUAAUAAAAAUUGAGAAACUAAGUGACCGAGAAUCAAGCCAUAAGCUGAUACAUGUUGAACAAACUAACAACUUCCUAAAGACUAGGACAAAGUUAAUUUAUUAACAACUGAAACAUAAAAUAAUUAUCCAAAAUGUGAAUAGCUUUGCAGUCCCAAGUGCAGCUAACUAACAAAAACUAGUGUUCAUACAUAAGAUUUAUUAAAUGAUUUAUAAUGGUCCUUUAUUUUUCAAAGUUUUACAUAUUAUUUGCUUACGAUCUAUAUUAAUCCGCUCAAAAGUGGAUUAAGUUGGUCAACUAGAUAGUUGCUAAGAAGAAUGAUGAAUAUAUAUAGUUAUAUAACCAAUGACAAAGUGCUUUAUUGGCUACAACAUGCUGGAAAUUCACUCCUCCGGGGAAGAAACAAAAUUAUGGUAUGGGACUAAAUGGCAAAAGGCACAAUAUGAAGUGGUUGAGCCUCCUGUAUGGCUAGGCCGAAUUUUUCUACCAUGUCCAUAUGGCAAAUCAAGCUUCCAAUCAAAAGAAUUACUGAGUGAACCUCGCAGUGGAUAUAACAUUGUGAUAUCCAAUGGCAAAUCAGGGCAAAUUCGCCGCCCAGCUCCAAAGGGGAUCGACUUAAAAUUUCGGCCUAUGAAAUCAACUUCUGAUCCUAAGAACCUUUUGGGCAUAAAAGAGUGAGCGUGGUCCCAUGUACUUUCAUCUCUGCUAGUAGCCUAAACAUUGACCAAAACUCUUGCAUCUUUCGGUACUAUGAAGCCUAUGAUUUCUCCAUCUUCUGAGGCUUUGCAAGGAAGUAACAAGGGAAUUAGUGGGUGCAACCUGAAGGUUUCUUUGAUAACUACUUGUAGAUAAGGUAACCAAUUAAGUGAUGUCUGAUUCCUUAAUUGCUUUGCCUUUGCCAACUAUUUGUUAUAACUACAAUUUUACUUUAGAUAAAGCCUCUGGGUUUUGGAGUAGUUCUGCCAUUGCCCAUUUUGUUGUAAUUGAAGUUGUAUUAUUCCUCGCAUCAAACAAAUCCUAUUAUAUCAGCUGUCCUAAUUAACUUGUAAAAUCUACUAGAAAAUAAGAAAAAGAAAUAAGGUAAAAGCUUGUUUAGUUUCUAUAUUUUGAGUUUAGUGUCUGUUUAAUCCCUAUAUUUUUAAAAUACCACAAAACAUCCUUGCUAUUAAAUUGUUGGCACCCAUGCCAUCACUUUUUAUUCCUCUUGGCUUAACUUUCACAAUAUUACUCUCUUACAAUAAUAUUUAUUUUUUGGACAUUAAUAAAAAAACUAAAUUACCAAUUUAACACCACAAAAUAAAAUAGAAACAAAACAAAUAUAUAUUAAUAUUUGUGGAACACUCUACUAAGGAGUUAGUAUAUUAAUUUUUUUUAAUGUCCAAAAAAAUUGGUAAUUUAAUUUUUUACAAUAUUAAUCUUUUUUAAAAAAUACUUCUUACAUUAUAUCAAACUAUUUCCUUAAAACUCUCAUUCAUUGGGAUCAACCAAAUCAAUAGAAAAAAAAAUUGUUGGAUGACAAGUUAAGUAUUGAAAGCAGUUUUGCAAAAAUCUAUUGCUUUAUCCGCACGACAAUGUUCUUCAGCAUAACCAAUAAGAUCUUUGAUUUUCUUGCGCCGGAGGUCUUCAUUGGCAUCGAGUUUCUGACAAGUAAAAAUAUGCAUAUUGCAUAUUUUGCUAAGAUGUUUCCACGGUGUUGAGAUUGGCAGCCAAACUAAAUUCGUAGCGCUGGUAGGACAUGUUGAGAAUGUCAAAUAAAAUAGCAUUGAAGGAAGUUUUCAAAGACAUAAUCCGCACUUGUCAAAGGGAUGAUCUGCACUUGUCAAAGACACGAUCCGCGCUGAAUGGAUCGACGCAUUUCCUUCCGUAUUCACAUAUGUAAUCUUUGAAAAAAUGUAGCCUCUGCAUCUAUAAAUAACGCUCAAUGUAUAAUGUUUUAUUUAAGAAAUGAAAACAAGUUUCUUCGAUAUGGGCAUCUCAACUUUGGAGGAUUGGAGCUACUAUUCAAGAAGAACAUGGUGAAAGGCUUACCAUACAUCAAUCACCCUGAUCAACUUUGUGAAGGAUGUUUACUUGGCAAGCAGUUCAGAAAGCGUUUUCCAAAGGAGUCAAACUCAAGAGCUCAGAAGCCACUCAAGCUCAUUCAUAUUGAUGUGUGCGGUCCAUUCAAACCAAGCUCCCUUGGUAAAAGUAACUACUUCUUUCUCUUCAUAAAUGAUUUUUCAAGAAAAACUUGGGUGUAUUUUUUGAAGCAGAAAUUAGAAGUCUUUGAAGCCUUCAAGAAGUUUAAAGUGGCAAUGGAAAAAGAAAGUGGAUACCAGAUUAAAGCCAUGAGAUCUGAUCGAGGUAGAGAGUUCACUUCCAAAGAAUUCGUAAAGCUUUGUGAAGCAAAUGGAAUUCGACGCCCUUUGACAGUUCCAAGAUCCCCCCAACAAAAUGGCAAGAAGCAUGCUCAAGAGUAAGAGGCUACCUAUAGAAUUUUGGGCCCAAGCUGUUGCAUGUGCAGUCUACUUAUCCAAUCGAUCUCCAACAAGAAGCGUGUGGGGCAAGACGCCAUAAGAAGCUUGGAGUGGAAGAAAGCCCGGUAUCACCCAUCUAAGAGUUUUCAGAAGUAUUGCCCAUGUACAUGUACCAAACAAAAGCAGAGCCAAGAUGGAUGACAAAAGUGAGAAGUUCAUCUUCAUUGGCUAUGACAACAACUCCAAAGGAUACAAGCUUUAUAAUCCAAACAAUGUGAAGAUCAUGAUCAGUCGAGAUGUAGUUUUUGAUAAAGAAGGAGAAUGAGAUUUUAGGUCUGGUUUGGAUGGCUUCAACUUCUUUCCCAUUGAAGAUGAUGAUCAUACACAGAUAAAACAAGUAGAAGAACAAUAAGAGCCAGUUACUCUACCUAUCUCACCAGUAUCAACCACAUGUGGAGAUUCACAGCCAUCUUUUUUUAAAUAAAAGAACCGAAGAACGUACAAUGAGUCUUCAAGAUCUCUAUGAGGUAACUAAGAGACGUGAUAAUCUCACUCUCUUUUCCCUCUUUGCUGAUUGUGAGCCAGUCAACUUCCAAGAAGUUGUACUAGAUGAAAAGUGGAGAAUUGCAAUGGAUGAAGAAAUCAAAGCUAUUGUGAAGAAUGAUACUUGAGAGCUUACUACUCUUCCCAAAGGUCACAAGGCGAUCAGUGUCAAAUGGGUGUACAAAAAAAAAAGAAAUGCAAAGGGAGAAAUUGAAAGGCACAAGGCAAGGCUAAUUGCAAAAGGCUACAGUCAAAAGGCUGGCAUAUACUAUGAUGAGGUAUUUGCUCCUGUAGCUCGACUUGAAACUAUUAGACUUAUUAUUUCUUUGGCUGCUCAGAACAAAUGGAAGAUUUUUCAAAUGGAUGUGAAGUAUGGAUGUGAAGUCUGCUUUCUUGAAUGGAUUCCUUGAAGAAGAAGUUUACAUCGAACAACCAUUGGGCUAUGUGGUGAAAGUUUUGAGAUUGAAGAAAGCUCUUUAUGGGUUAAAUCAAGCACCAAGGGCAUGGAAUAGCAUAAUUGACAAAUAUUUUCAAGAGAUUUUCAAGAGAACGGCUUCACUAAAUGCCCAUAUGAACAUGCUCUCUACGUCAAAGAAAAAGAUGGAGACAUUUUGAUUGUGUGCCUGUAUGUGGAUGAUCUCAUCUUCACUGGAAGUAAUCCAAGCUUGUUUGAAGAAUUCAAGAGAGUGAUGAUCAAAGAGUUCGAGAUGACUGACAUCGGACUGAUGGCAAAUUACCUCGGCAUUGAAGUCAAACAAAAGGAAGAAGACAUAUUUAUCUCCCAAGAAAGCUAUGCAAAGGAGAUUUUAAAAAAGUUCAAGAUGAAUGAUUGCAAACCUAUAAGCAUGCCAGUGGAAUACGGAGUCAAGUUAUCCAAACACGAUGAAGGCGAAGAUAUAGAUUCAACAUUUUUCAAAAGUUUGGUUGGAAGCCUAUGUUAUUUGACAUGCACAAGACCAGAUAUUCUUUAUGUUGUUGGACUUGUGAGUUGAUACAUGGAGAAUCCAAAGACCAUUCAUUUUAAAGUUGCAAAAAGAAUCCUUCGCUAUAUCAAAGGUAUAAUUAAUUUCGGCUUAUUAUACUCAUUUUCUAAUUACUACAAGCUUGUUGGAUAUAGCGAUAGUGAUUGGGGUGGAGAUGUAGAUGAUCAAAAGAGCAUCACAGGAUUUGUGUUCUUCAUGGGAGAUACUACUUUUACAUGGAUGUCAAAUAAGCAACCAAUUGUCACGCUAUCCACCUGUGAAGCUGAGUAUGUAGCUGCCACAUCAAGUGUUUGUCAUGCAAUUUGGCUCAGAAAUUUGUUGAAGGAGUUGGGUUUACCACAAGAAGAGUCAACCGAGAUUUGUGUUGAUAACAAAUUAGCAAUUGCCCUAUCCAAGAAUCCAGUCUUUCAUGAUCGAAGCAAACACAUAGACACUCGCUAUCAUUUCAUAAGAGAGUGUAUUGCAAGAAAAGAAGUGCAAAUCAAGUAUGUAAAAUCACAAGAUCAAGCAGCUGAUAUCUUCACUAAGCCGCUCAAGCAAGAAGACUUUGUAAAAUUCAGAAGUUUGCUUGGUGUCACAGGAUCAAGUUUAAGGGGGUUGUUGGAUCAUAAACUUGAUCCAAGAUGAAUAAAUUCAAACCCAACUCAUGGAAGGUUCCAUGAGCAGGUAUGGUUGGUGAGGUUUGAAUUAUUUGUGUUAGGUGUGGUAAGUGUGGUUGGUGAAGUAGGUGAGUGAUAGGUUUUAAUGGAUGAUGAGGAUUUGUGUAUUAGUUGAAUAAAUGAAUGGUUGUGAUUAGUUUGUUACAUGUAUAAAUACCUCCUCUCCCCUUUGAUUUAUGUAUCAAGUGAAGUAACAAAAUCUCUCAGUUGUAGAGAGUGAAAAAUAAGAAUUGUAAUUGGUGAGGAGUGUUGUUGAAGAAAUAAAAUAGUGUGUUUUUUGAGUGUUUUAUUUAUUAAUUCUCCAACAUUUAGUUCUCUCUACUGUUUGCAUCAUUAUCCACGGGUAAUGUUUAGAUGGUAGAAAAUAUAGUCAUGCAGGUUUGUUUUUGUUUCAGUUUAAGGUUAUGUUCUAAAAUGAAUAUUUAUUGGAUGGAUGGUCUUGAAUGGUAAAGAACAAUAGGUGAUUGAGUUGUUCCAUAAUAAGUUUCUAAGGGAAUCUAUAAAGAAGGUUGAAACAUAAGUGUGUAUACUUGUGUAUAAAACUAUAAAUGCAGAAAUUUAACCACAUACGUAGUUUUGACUUUUUUUUUUCCUUUUACCUUGUUUCGGAGUACCAUGAGGUGGAUACGGAGGACAGAGAUUUGAAGGAGGUUCAUGGAUGUGAUAAAGCAAUACCUUGUGUUCAUUAGCACGAUUUGGUCUUUGGUUUUCGACUAUUUUCUCAUCCCUUAUUCUUUUCAGGCGAUGAUAGUACCUGCAUGCAAACUUUGAAGUAAAAUAAUCAAAUCAAAUUUCUAUACAUUUUCGUCCACGAGGCCUUGGGUUAUAUUAUUUGAAUCUAAGAACAAAUUUAUUUAAAUAUACAAAUUGAAUCCGAGUUUUAGUUAAGAAAUGCUAUUUUCACUCUUAAUUAUGCUCAUGUUAACAUCAUUGGCUCAUCACAUACAGAUCUACCAUAUUUACUUUCACGAGCAUGCAUAGCAUGCAACACCUUAAAUUUUGACUGAAAACACUCUGCCGUUGGUUAAUAAAUUUAAGGGAAAGAAAAGGAGGUAGGGUUGCUACAUGCAAUUCUCUACUACCAAAAAUGUGCCUCUGAAUUGCUGCAGAAUAUUAAUGAAAAUGUGUGUGAAAUGCCGCAGACUUUCCUGGUUUAAGCUUGCACCCUGAUUGUAUACAGAAGGUUGUUGAUGAACAUGAAUUUUGGACUGAACAAGUUGCCUGCCUUCAUUUUAUAUAAUGCUUCUAUUCUUGUUCUGGAUCAUGCAAUAUAGAUUUCAGAGCAAUUCCUUUGGAUUAACCUUCAUGUAUUUGGAAGUCAUUUACUGGUCCUUCCAACUAAUUGAUUGCAAUUUUGCAAGUACAUUUGUCAAGGGUGAGGUACCUAGGUUUAGUUAUUGUUUUCUUAUGGUGUUUGCUGCAUGGACAUGGUUCGUGGCAAAACUGCUGUUACUAAUAAUUUCUAACCAGUUAAGUGUUUGUUUAAGCUGCUUAUGAGAUGUUUUGAUUUCUUUAUCUGCUAGAUCUAUUCAUACGAAACAAAUAAAAUAGGACCAUCUAGACAGAAAUUUAUCAUUCUAGACCUUCUUCAAUCUUUUUUUGUAAAGAGUUUCAUUCUGUUCUUUAAUUAUUUUGCAAUAGAGGCUACAAAAUGUACACAUAUCUUUAAAGCUUAUUGGCUAUUAUUUAUUCUAGAUGAAGCAUGCAGUUUUUAUUUUUUUUCUGAACUUGACCUUUUUUCUCUUUCUUUUAUUUUUAAUAAAUUUAAAGGAUACAUCAAGGAUUUUCAGGUGUAUGAUCCACAUAGGGUGGGCAAGAUCAAAGUUGAACUACUAGGCAGGGUAAAUGAUUGUUGAGCUCUCACUUAUAGGCAGGAUGUCAAGGCAAGGGAAAUUGAAGGGUACACGGUGCGUGCUCUUCCAACUAGACAGGUUUGUUCAAAUCUCUUUUAAGUCCUUUUAUAUAUGCUUGCCCAUUUGAAGUAAGUGGGGUUUCACUGGCAGGAAUGGUUGUGUAGUAUGUAUGUUUAUGAAUCCAACAUUUUUCACCCAAAAAAAAAAAGCAAUAAAUGACAUAAUAUUUGGAACUUAUUUUUUGUGCUUUUCAUUCUGAUUUUGCAAUGCAGUGGGGCUAUGUUGUGCUAACAACUCCGGAUGGUGUUUUGGAUCAUGAAGAGGCCCUCAGGCGGACUGUGGGUGGCCAAGUUCUCGGUUAUUUUCAUUAGAUAUCUUUGCCAUCCAAACACUUUGGAAAGGAAGGGAAGAGUUCUUUAAUGGAGUCGCAGCCUGCAAGAAUGUCAAACUUUUAAGUAGAGACCAUUUGAAUUUUGUAGUAUUUUAAUGAUAGAACAGGAGGUUGUUUCACCUCUCUUCAUGAAGUGUUUUGUAUCAUCACGGAACAGUUGUGAUUGAUUAUAAUUUAAAAGUGCAGCAUUGUUUCAACUACAAAUGCCAGUAGCAGAAACUAAUAUGCACAAUAGUUAAAUUUUCCAGAUUGUUCAAUGUAGAUGCUACAAGAGUAUAUAACCUCAAAAAGGAAGUUCCUAAGAGCUUUCUUCCAAAUAAAAAUAAUGAAAAUUGAAGGCCUAUGAAACUUUGGCAAGAAUGACGAUGAAAACUGAGAAGGGAUUUAUUAGCUCAUAGUUUUCUGUGCCAAUGACUAUGAAAUUUGAUCAUAGCACAUUGUUUAAGUAGAUACUAUCAUAUAAGAAAGUUCAUAAUGUAAAAGGCUUCAUGCUAGAACACCACUGUUAAUUUCCGAAAACAGAUAUAAGAAUGUAGCAAUCGCGAAACAAAAUUGCUGACAGCAAAACAUAGCUAUUAAAUUGAACAUCAGUUUACAAGAAUGCUUGAAAACUGAAGAUUGUUCAAUGAUCAGGGGAGAUAAUCAUCUUCAGGCAGCCUACGCCAGAGGAAAUAACAAGCAUCCAUCCACCUUGGACGUAACAGGAACUUCUACUCUGCCCAUAGACAAUCCUCAGGUUCUGUAGAGACCGAAUGAAUUUUUGUUUCUUUUCUUCAAACUUAAAACUUCUUCUUUACUGUAUACUAAUCCUGGCAGAAUAUAAUUAAAAGAUAAACCAAAGGAAUCAUCCAUGGCUUAGUUGCAAAAAAUGCACCUUCUGUCCCGAACAGUAGAGUAUGUGCAUGACAAAAGCGGGUCAAAAGAACAAGAAUCUACACCACCAGCAAACCAAUGUUUUUGAAUACCAUGGCACCUCAUCCAUUUUAAAUUUAACCAAUGUAAAUGAAAAAUUAAAUUUCAACAUCAAUCCAACACAAAUUCUUGAAUUUAAGUAUAAAAUACAAAAAUCUAUUAGAAAAAACCCACAAACUAGUAUCUAAAAAUAACAAUUAUAUUUCAUAUUAUCAUCCAACACAAGCUCCAAGAGAAGAUCUUCAUUUCAUUCACCAUCAUUAGCACCCAUCCAAUAUGAUGCCUACAAUAAUGAUUAAGAUUAAUAUUUUCUAAAGAAUAAUGCUUUUCAAAUAUUAACUAGAAGAAAAAAAUUAUAAUAAUGAAAUAAUUCAUGCAUUGAGUUAAAGAAAAAUAGACCAUACAAAAAUACUUUGGUUAUUUGGCACUUUGCAUAAUUGCAUUAUUUUCUUUAUAUAUUUUUUAGAUUUAAAUAUUUUUUCAAUUAAAAUUAAAUUAAAAAUAUUUUUAAAAAACAUUACAGGUCUAGCGGAUAUUCAUGCGAGUAUUUGCCGGAUAUUGGGCUAAUACUAAACCCACCCGCAUCCAAGUGCGGGUUUUAAAUUGUAAUACCAAACUCACCCGCAACCCACAAAAUUGUCAGCAGCAGGCAGGUUUGGGCAGAUUUGCGGACACAAUUGCUAUCCCUAUAUAAAUCCUGAAAUGUUGAAAUAGAAAACCAAUAUUGCACUGUAAUCUGAUUAAUUCAAGUGCUAUCUACACACAUACGCUAACUCUCAUCCUUCUUUGGCACCAACAAAGCUAGUACAACACAUGAACUCAUGCUCUUACGAAUAAACCCUUUCUACAAUAAUUCAUCAACCAGUCCUUGUAAAAUCGCAUGCUUAUGAGGACUCAUGCGAUUAUGAGGCAAGUUAGGUAAACUUACACUAGGGACUAAAUCUAUAUGAUGCUGGAUAUCUUGUAAAGUAGGCAGCCCAUCAAGUAUCUUUAAUGGUGUAAUGUCGGUGAACUCAGCUGCCAAUGGUGUACUUCUAAAGGAAUAGAAUUAACCUCAAACUCAUCUUCCUUUUACAACUUCUUGCAACCGUCACAGUCUUCUUCUAAAUGUCCCUUCACAAUAGCAAAAAAAAUUCUUCGUUUCAGCUUUAAGAUUCUUCUUCUUGUCUGUUAAAGACAGUAAAUGAAUCUUCUUGAUAUUCCACCAAAACUUGUACACACUAUCCCCUCGUCUAUGCACUGUAUCAACAUCAAACUGCCGAGGUCUACCUAAUAAUAGAUGGCAAACAUCUAUAUCUACUACCUCACAUACCACAUUCAACCUAAUAACAGAUGACACAUAUCUGCAUCUACUACAUCACAUGCCAUAUCACUCUUAUAAAUCUUUCUAAUGGAGAAACAAAAACGACACACUUAUGUCACUCGCGUUUCUGCCCCUUUCUUGAUAUACCCUAUUCUGUAAAGUAUGGGAUGUAUUUCUGUCGAAAGUCCUAUCACAUCAACCAGUACCUUUGAAACUAUGUUCUCAUUACCACCACUAUCAAUUAUCAUGUUACACAACUUAUUAUUGAUGGUGCCACGUGUUCUGAAAAUUUUAUUACGUUGGAUAUUCUCUUUAAAUUUCGACGCCAAUAAAAUUUUCUGCACAAUGCAGUUUAGCAACUUUGUUUCAACUGUUUCCAACUCCAAGGCCUCUUCGUCAUCCCAUCCUCAACGUCAUCCACCUCUUCUUUGCCGACUACAGCCUCUACCAAAUUUAAAUUUUUAGAACGAUAAUCACUCGAUCUAUGCCUUGGUGCUACAAAUUCAAACACUUAUUCGGCAUAGCUUUGCAUAAGGAUUAUUUUGUUGUCUUGGUGGCUUUUGCGAUCUAGGCGAUUGCUACCUCAACUAUUGCUACGCUGGUUGUUGUGCCUGGCCACUAUCAGCCCAUGUUUUUUGCUUGUUUUCAAUCCUAACAGUUCAAUGAUGAUACACAUAAGGCAUGCCAAACAAUUAGAAAGCUUAAAAUCUAGAACACGGCAGAAAAGUUUGUCAUCACCUUACAAAGUCUCAAUCCUUUUUGUGUGGUCCUUGUUGCCAUUUUGUUUUCUAUCCAGUGGCGGUCAAGGAGUCCAGUGUAAUAGAGGUUAAGUUCAAACAAUAAUAUAUAUAUAUUUUUUUAAAAUUAAUAAAUAACAAGUACCAAAAUUUAAAUUCAUUAAAACAUUUCACAAUAUGUUUACAAUUGUCUCAAUGUGUAUUUUUUUAUGUUUAUAAAGUUUAAGGAUAAACUCAUGAUCAACAAUAUGACAUGAGAGUUCAAAAUUUUUCAAAAAUAUAACGUUAAUUCUUUUAUCGAAGAGAAAUUUCAAAAAGAUAAAAGAAGUGAUAGUUAAUGAAGAGGGCUUACUAACUAAUUAGAGUAGCAAAUCAAUAGUAAACUUCUUGAGGUGGUUUACUUUUUUAGAGAUAAAAGAGGAGCGAAGUGUGAAGAAUCGUGGAAAAAAGCAACGAAGAAUUGGAAAAGAAAAACUUCAUUAGUCCAAAAUGUGUGCUAACUGUUAAGCUUGAGACAUGAAGCAUUCUUUUAAUAUACGACACUUAUAUUCUUUAAAUUUACUAAAGAGGGACUUUAAAAUUUACUAAGAGGGACUUUUUUGAUGUUUCAUAUUAAUGAUGGGGCAAUGCUGAAAAUGCACAUAAAAAUUUUCAGAAGUCCAACAGGGGCUGCUGUGGGGCACUACAAGGCCUCGCCCAUUGUAGCCAAUAUAUGUAAGCAAUCAUCAAUACGUCAUUUCUGUCUAUUUCUCCUUAUUAUUCAUUAGCAAUUAUCGUGGAAUAGUGUAAGCAAAUAAUAUGUAAAUCUUUUCAUUAAAAUAAAAUUUGUAAAUUAAGCUUUUUUUUUAAUAAAUUUAAAAUAAGGUAAAUUUUAAUUUACUCCUUACUUAGAAUGAUAAUCUUUAAUUUAUCCUCAAAAGUAUGAAAAUUCAAAUUUAUCCUCAUUUUUUUCAGAAGAAGAUGGUAAAUGGAGGAGGGGGCACAUUGAUGAUUUUUUCUUUUAUUCUUCUUGAUAGUAAUUGAGAGUAAAUUGAUGUUUUCAUACUUUUAUAAGAUAAAUUGAUGAUUGUUAUUCUAUCUAGGGGACAAAUUGAAGUUUAUCCUUUAAAUAAUGACAGCUCAAUCUUCGCUCCGGGGAGUUGAAUCCCAGACCUCUUAACUUUGUAGUUAGAAAUAUUUUGCUGUUGGGUGAGGAGGAGAUUAAGGACAUGAAUAAAAUUCGUUGCUUUUUCAUUUUAAAUAUAAGUUUAAUUGUUAGAUUCGUUGUUUUAUUAUAAGCCUAAAACAUGGCUAGAAGCAUUAUAUUGGAUGUAUUUACCAGUUUCAUAUGAAAAGGUUCGUGUAGCAUUAAAUGUUUCAUACGAAGGUAUGUUGGAAGAAAGUCUUUAGUAUCCACUAUAAAUGAUUGAAGAAAGUCUCCGUCGGAUUGUUUAACGCUGUAUUAAUUCAUGAAAGUAUUGGGAAAAUAUGCUCUUUAAAAGCAUAUGUGUUUAUUUAAUUGUAAUAAAUAAUUUUUUUGAUUAAUAAAAUAAAUGAGGUAUUUUAUUCAAGUAUCUUAAUUGCAUUAAUAUUUUGAGUAAAGUCCAUUUAAUCAUAUUAUAUGUAUUUAUCUAAUCACCAUGUGGAUUCACAGAAGACAUAAAUAUAAGUUAUCUUAUGAUUAAAUAAAUUAAGUUCGCAGUUGAUAAAUAAAGUUGGACACUUUAUUUAGGUAUAGACUGUAAUAAAUUUAUUAAAUGAUUUGUCUAAAUUAUGUAUGAAUUUAUUGAUGUAGUACGACUACAUUGAAUAAGAUCACAAAUGAGAUUUAAUUAACGUUGAAAUAUCUGUCAGACUUAUUAAAUCUUAUAGUCAUUAAUUUUACUAUAAUCUUAAUCUUGAGUUAGUUAUGAUUUCAUGAUUGUAAUUGUCAUUUCAUUUGAGUUAUCAAUAGGCAUGACACACAUUUGUAGUCAAGAUUACCGGGUAUCUUGGUGAGAGCAAUUAUGAGUAUUGGAGUUAGAGACUAACAAUAUAGAAUUUGUACAACACAUCUCUUGAUGGAUUUUCAGUACUUGAUCAUAAAAUUCUCUGGCCAAAGUGUGUCAACAUAUUUAGUAUGUUGAAAUGAUCAUUAGAGAAAACCAGUAAGUAUCAUGGAGCAAGAUGUAAUAAAAUUGAUUGGACAGUUGAGAUAUCGAUUUAAUCAACGAUGUGGUACAAAGAAUUAUGCAGUAAAGAAAUCAAUGUGUCAUGGGUCGAAUUAUUAUUCGAAAAUACUAUCCUAGAUAGCAUACAAUUAUGGAGGUAAAUUCCAAUCUUUCAGUGGAGUAAAUUUGGAAUUAAAUAAUUGGGCUAGUUUAAUUACAGACUUAAUUAUUGUAGCCACUAUUGUAUGUACCCAUAUGAUCUCCGGGUUAGCUCAUUUAAUUGACUACGCUGCUACUAGAUUAAUAAGCAAGAUAACUAGUUAUUUGGGUUAAAAGCAUAAAUAUAUUAUUUAGUGGGAGAUUUCAUUUAAUAUGCUUAUGUGUAAGGGGCCUUGUGUUAUUUUACUAGGUGGGCCCCUAUAACAUAAUAAUAAGUAAUGCCACUUUUGGUUUUGUUAUUUUUUAAUUUAAAUCAAAUUUGAUUUAAUAGAAUUAAAAAAUAUAUAAAUAUGGAGUCUAGGGUUUCCACUAAAGAGAGAAAGAAAAAGACUUGUUUUCUCAAAAGGAAAAGUAGGAGCCACAAUAUACAUAUCAGAAAAAAAGAUUUUUUCUCUCUAAUUUUGAGAGGAAUAUUUUCUCUUGCUAGUUGCUUUUAGUGGUGAUAAAGGCGUCCACACGUCAAGUGCAGAACAAACUUAAGUCAUAACCUGGAAGAUCAUUGGUGACGGAUCGUGAUCUAACAAAAUUGGUGGUGACGAAUCGUGAUCUAAUAGAAGUGGUGGUGAUAGAUCGUGAUCUAAGAGUCUAAAUUAAUUCAGCGAAAAAGAAAAAUCGGAUUGUCAAGGUAUGAUAUUCUAGAUUACGAAUUCUUGUGUAAUGUAUGAGAUCGGUACUAAAAGUUUUUAUAUAAAAAAAAAACUGAUUUUUAACCAAUAAAAAGCUCCCAUGUGGAUCUUUAUAGCAUUAUAUUCAAAAGGGCGGCAUGGACUUUGUGUUGUAGGUAGUAGGAAAAUUCUAAUUACAAAUAAUAUCUUAUGUUGACGAAACUUUUUUAGUUGAAAUAAACUCUGAUCAAUUAUUUGGAGUCCAGCUAUUGUGCACCUGGUCCAUGAUGGUAGCCUAAUUUUUUCAUAUAUAAGGUGCCCAUUUGUUUCUAUUGAAAAGGGCAGUAAGGUCAUUGAGCCGUAAGUAAGUAGGAAAAAUCUAAUUAUGAGCUCAUAUCCUAUGUUGACGAAUCGUUUCUAUUUGAAAAGAUUAUAUGAUCACAGUCAAGAUGAAGCAAACGCCGGGCUGUUGACGCCGGCCACUUAAUCAUUUCCAUAAUUUUAAUUGCUGUUGACUUCAAAGGAAAGCAUUUCCUCACUUGUCAUAAUUCGUUCGGUGACUUUUGGUGCACUGAACUAUGGCCCCUCUUUGGUGUUGAGGUACCGGCAGGACCACCUACCACUAGUCUUUGGCCAGAGGGGUUUAUUGCACAAACAUACUCGGACGCAUGCUCCCAAAGAAUGUUUCCCCCAUUUUCCUUUUUAUGCCACUCCAUUUCUAUGAAAGAAAUUGAUUGUCAGCCUUGGCAGGAUGGCCUUAGUCAAAAGGUACUCACCAAAAGAUUGAACUAUGAAAUAAAAGUAUAAAAUCAAAUCAAUUUAGUUUUCAAUUUAUGACAGUUAGUGUUUACCAAACAUUUUAGUGCUGUAACUUUUAAAUUACAGCUAUCCAAUUUUAAUUUAAACGAGGUCUAUAUUGGACUGUAUUAAAAAUUACAUUGUAUCAUAUUGUUAAUACAAUUUUAUAUUUAGUGUAAUUAUGGGUUGGCUUGUGUAUUUUAAAUAAUAUUAAAUUGUUAUUGUUUAAUUUAUUAGUAAAAAUUAAAGCAACCACUAACGACCACCUUUGACCACCACCAAUCAACUUCGAAAGAUGAUAAAUGAUGUCCGUUUAAGUCAAUUUAGUACUAUUAGAAUUCUCCUUUUGAGCUCUAUGCAAUAGAAACUAAUAUUAUCGACAUAAAGGAUCCGUUCACUGUAGAUUUUCAAUUUGUUGCAUAAUGCAAAUAGAUUUGCACUGUUCAUACCUGCCCGAACCUGAGUGCCAGAAACGUACCUAGCGAUGUCAAUGGGGCGGGGAUCAUGAUCACCUUAACCCGAUUUGGAAGUUAUCCCCCGAACCCGUUCCAUACCCAAAAAAUUGUAAUGGGGGAUAAUUUGUGUAACGUCACAAAUUCCCAUACAUAUUAAAUUAUGGAAAUUGGGCUUUCAUUGAGAAUUAUGGGUGGCCUAUAACCCUUAUUAAGAAAGGGGUACUAAUUAAAUAGAGGUUAUUUAUGAGAUAAUUUUGAAAAAGGGUUAUUUUUCCUUAUUAAAUAGGGUUUCUUAAGAUCUCCUAUAAAUGCAUACUUUUUCCCCUUCCAUAACCCUAAGUUCACAACGUUUAUUCUUCUUCUCUGCUGCUCUUUACGCUCCUACCCAAAUCUUAGGAUUCAAACCUUUGUUUAGGAGAGAAUCAAAGCGACGGGUAAGUUAUUCUCCCUGUUCUCAACAGAUUUCUAAUCACUCUAUCUAGCUAGGGUUUAUAUUGGCACGAUUCUAGAAGGUUAUAGAUCUUAAUGCAUGAUUUAGAAUAUAUUUAGGCUUUGCUUAGGGUUUUGAUUUAUUAUGAGUUUAGUUAAUCAAUCCUUGACGUAUUAAGCACAGGAUAAUUCUGGACAGCAUGAGUAUCUCGAAUUUAAAACUAUAUUUUCUGAACGAAUUUUCUUAUAAAAUUUAUAUUUCUGGAAACUAGACAUGUAGGGCUUCUUGAUUAAAUUUUAUUUCAUUAAAUUCGACUUCGUUUUCAAUUUUAUACAUAUUUUGGAAAUAGAAACCACUGCACUGGAAAACUGCGAUUCCAGUAUUGUGAUCAGAUUCAAAAGACUAUUUGUACCACCAACUGAACUCGGAAAAUUCUGAAAGUUUAUAUGUAUGUUAAUAUAUGUGUCUAGGAUUCCCAGUUUUAAUUUCAUAAUUUUCUGAUUAGUAUUGUAUUUUAUAAAAAUCACGGAACUCGUUCUGUUUAGUUUAGAUUAUGUGAAAACAGUUUCGAAUUUACUGAGAAGUAAAUAGUUUUUAAAAUGUUUUUGAUAUCGGAUCCUCUUGUAAAUUUUACAUGGGGUACUCAUGGAUGUCCAGAAUAGUUCCAUAGGAUAUUAUAUCAUUCUGAGUCUUAGAUUAAGAGUUAAAAUUCUGAGAAUCAGACCUGUACGGGUAUGAAUUAGAAAAUCAGAUUCUUAGAAUAAGUUAUUAAUUGUCAUAUCUUGUAUUUGUUUAAGGUAUUGAAGGUGAUUGAGGCUCUUAGAAGCUUAGAGGUGUGUUUAUUCAUUCAUUUUUCGAGGUAAGUAACUUCAUUCCUAAUGUACUGGAUAUGUAUAAGUAUUUUGAUAUUAUUAUUAUAAGUAUAAAUGUUUUUAUACUACUUAAAGGAUUAAUUGAUUUUGAUAACAAAAUUAAUUUUAUGUAAAUGUUUUCAAACCUAAAUUCUUUUUAACAAAGUAUUUUAUAAAUGCUUUUUAAUAUGUAAAUGAUUUUAUGACAUGACAACCUUUUAUGAUAUUAUCUUUAAAAUGUUAUGCAAGCCUAAAUUAUUGAUAUGAACUUUUAUGAAACUGAUACGAAUGUUUUGUACCUAUGUUUGAUUUCAAUUAUUGAUGAUUGUAUGGGAUUCUUAAUGUUUUGGCUCAUUGUCCAUAGUUAUUCUGAUUCUGAUUCUGAUCGUAAUAUACGAUAUAUCUGUCUGGACCAGUACUGGGUUUCUGUUUGAGUGUGCACACGAUAUUCUGAUUCUGUUUCUGGCCGGGUCACUGGGACUAUAGGUGACACUAUGUGACAUGAGCUAACCUUUUGUUUUCUGUAUACGUAUUAUAUGAUUUGCUUCGUAAGUAAAUAUGCUUUUGAAUAUUCUGAAUUAUUAAGAAUUUAUGUUAUGUUAUCGUGAUAUAUCGUUUUAUGAAAUUUAUGGAUUAUGAUAUAUGUUUUAAACAAAAGAAGGCUUGCAAUAUUUUUUUUAUAUCGAUGGGCCUAGUAUGUUAUAAAUGACUUUACUUACCGAGUUGACGGCUCACCCCUCGUCAUUACUUUUUGCAAAUUAAGUUUCUUUGAGAGGGGCGCUUAGCUUUGGAGUUAGUAAUUUUCUGUUUCCGUUGCUAUUCGAAUAAGAGGAGGAAUAGACUCGUGUUUCUAUUUAGUUAUUUCUAUUAUGAACGUGUAAUUUGGAGUUUGAGACAUUUGUUAUUAUUUUUUAUGUCCGAGAGAGAGAUUAAUUAGUAUUAGACGUUUGAAUUUGUGGAUUUAUUUGAAUAAGAAUUGGAGGUAUUUCAGUUUGAAACUUAUGAAUAAAGAUUAUGAUUUGUGAGUAACCUCCUUCACGUGCUCCGCAUGUAUUAGAUUUGUGGUGUUACAGUUUGGGUAUGUCCCCGAAAAUCCUCGAAUUGAGUGGGGAUUAAAACAGGGACCCGAUCCUCAUUUUUUUAAAUAAUAAUUUCUGAAUAUUUUAGUUUCUUUUUUAAAAAAAAAAUAAUUCUAACAACCUCCAUAUUUAGAAAUAAAAUUACAAAUGAUCAAAUUCCAUAUUAAAAAUAAAAUUAUGAGUGAUCAAAUUUUAACAACCUCCACAAAAAUAAAAACAAAAUAAUUCUAAGUUUUCAACAUAAUUACAAAUGAUCAAAUUUUAUAUCACAAAUCAAAAUAAUUUUACAUUUUCAACAUAAACUUUUCAUUAAUAAAGACUUGAUUAAGUGUUCUCACCAGCAAUAAAAAUCCAUUAUUUAUUAUUCAAAGAAAACCUCCUGAAACAAAAAAACUCAAUCUAUCUUUAUUCUCUUCUCUCUCUAGAGCUCUGCCGGUAUUUUAUAAAUGGCGGCUAAAUCUCAGCUGCAUUCAUCAAACCCAUCGUGUUUCUUAAACUGAUUAAAAAAAAAGCUUAUAAUGUAAAGUGUACAUGAUAAUAAAGCCCAUCAAAUGGCAUCACAACAAAGCUUAUCAUUCUCAUACAACUUAGGAAGGAGGCAACAGCAGCGUCGUAAAGUGUACGGAAGAAGGGAUAGAGAGAGGGAUCCUGAUAGGAGGAGGGGAAUCAAGAGAAUCAAAACAUAACUUACCCAAAGCAUGGCUGUCAGUAACUCAAAUCAUGGCUGCAACCUCUGUUUCUGUGAGCUCUCCAUGGCUGCAGUUUGUACUUCAGGCUAUGUGACUGAGAAUGAAAUCAGAAGAAGAUGAAUGAAAACACACAAAAUGUAAAAUUGACUUAAAUCAAUGAAACCAGAUGCAAUUUGAAAUAAAUAAAUAAAGAAAGAAAAAUAGAAAAAGCAAAAAGCUUGCAGCAGAAGAACCGAUAGCGUGACUGAGUGUUGGUCGGAGACGACGAAUGGUAGCGGCUGACCAGCUGUUAGCAACGGUGGUGACUGACGAGCUGUUAGGGUUUCUUUUGGGAAAUAACGAUCGAUUCAAUGCAAAGGAUGGGUGUUAGAAUUUUUAAUUUACAAAUUUAAAAUAUUAAGUAAUAUUUUUUUUCUUUUUAGAUUUUAUUUUUGGUCAGGUUAGGGGACCCGAUAAAAUCCCCAAAUCCAAACUCGAAUUUUGUUUGGGGCUAAGACCCAUACCCGAAACUGACCUGAAUUUAUUUUCACAUUUUUCUAGGGCCCCAUACCUGCCCCAAAUUAAUUGGGGCCCGCGGGUAUUGCUGCCAACUCUAAACGUACCCUUAAUUAUACUUUUUCUCUAGAGAGAGAGAGAGAAUAGAUUUGUUAUAAAAAUAAUGAAAUACAAAGUUUUAAAGACAAGCAAAAUAAUUAACAAAAUACGGGAGCAAUCUAUAAAUUUUGUGAGUUAACUCAAAUAAGAGAAAAUAAUGAAUUAAAUAAUUAUCUAAAUAUGACAAUAACAAAAUAAGAAACGCUUUCUAAGUUAAUGAAAUUCUAAUUUUAUCUUACAUGAAGCAGAUGGGAUAGCUCACGUGUUUGAACUUUUACAAAGGAAAUAAUUCAUAGGUCAAGAGUUUAAAAAUCCAAAGGAAUACAUUAAAAUUUGAGGUGGGAUAGAACGAGGUAAAUGAUAAGAAAUAGUUGUAUAUGAGCACUUUUACAUAUUUUAAUAUAUGUGCCUCCAAAAAUUUAGUUGAGUGAUUUUUAAGUAGUUUUAUUUAUUUGGCCACCAUUAUUAGAAUUCUAGGGAGUUAGGGGUUAAAAAAUUGAUUUGUGCUUUUGUCCUUCCUUUACUUAAAAGAAGAAAAAAAAAGGAACUAAGACACACUUAUAUUUAUAUUGAAACAAAAUUAAUGGCUUAGUUCUAAUGGAUUAGAUAAUAUGACACAUUAAUUUCCAUACAUUGAUACUAUAACAUUUAUUUGUUUUUAACCCUCUCUCCUCAUCAUCGUUCUUAUAAAAUUUUGAGUUAAAAUUUUGUAAGCUAACUCAAAUAAGACAAAACAAUCCUACUAAAAAAAAGAAUUAAAAAUAAUAAUCUAAAUACAACUCUAACAAAGUAAAGAAUAUGAACGCUUUCUAAGAUAAUUAAAUGCUAAUUAUAUCCUAGCUCGUAUGUGAGGACAUAAGAAUUAAGAAAUUAAUUUACCUUUUUAAAAAAAAUAACAUACACAAAAAAAAGAUUAAAAAAAAGGACUAUUAAGAUCUAAUAGAUUAGAUGAUAUCACACACUAAUUUUAAUACAUUAAAGCUAUAAUAUUUGAUUUUCACUAUCCUCUCUUCUCCUUAUCAACAUUCUUGUAAAAUUUUGAGUUAAAUUUUUUAAGUUAGCCUAAAUAGGUAAACACAAUCAUACUCAACAAAAAAUAAUAAUAAUACAAUAAAAUUGGCUUUCUAUGGCACAAUAUCGACCACAUGAUAUAAUUGUUGGAGAAUUAAUAAAUAAAACACACACAAAAAAAUACUAUUUUAUUUCUUCAACAACACUCCUCACCAAUUACAACUCUUAUUUUUCACUCUCUACACCUUAGAGAUUUUGUUACUUCACUUGAUGCUUAAACCAAAGGGGAGAGGGGGUAUUUAUACAUGAAACAAACUAAUCACAACCAUUCAUUUAUUCAACUAAUACACAAAUCCUCACCAUCCAUCAAAACCUACCACUCAACUACUUCACCAACCACACCUACCACACCUACUACAAGUAAUUCAAAUCUCACCAACCAUACCUACUCAUGGAACCUUCCAUGAGUUGGGCUUGAAUUUAUUUAUCUUGGAUCAAGUUUAUGAUCCAACACCCCCCCCUAAACUUGAUCCUAUGACACCAAGCAAACUUCUGAAUUUUACAAAGUCUUCUUUCUUGAGCGGCUUGGUGAAGAUAUCAGCUGCUUGAUCUUGAGAUUUUACAUACUUGAUUUGCACUUUUUUUUCUUGCAAUAUACUCUCUUAUGAAAUGACAGCGAGGGUCUAUGUGUUUGCUUCAAUCAUAAAAGACUGGAUUCUUGGAUAGGGCAAUUGCUGAUUUGUUAUUAACACAAAUCUCGAUUGGCUCUUCUUGUGGCAAGCCCAACUCCUUCAGUAAAUUUCUGAGCCAAAUUGCAUGACAAACACUUGAUGUGGCAGCUACAUACUUAGCUUCACAAGUGGAUAGUGUGACAAUAGGUUGCUUCUUUGACAUCCAUGUGAAAGCAGUAUCUCCCAUGAAAAACAAAAAUCUUGUGGUGCUUUUUCGAUCAUCUACAUCUCUACCCCAAUCACUAUCGCUAUAUCACACAAGCUUGUAGUCAUUAGAAAAUGAGUAUAACAAGCCGAAAUUAAUUGUACCUUUGAUGUAGCGAAGGAUUCUUUUUGCAGCUUUAAAUUGAGUGGUCUUUGGAUUCUCCAUGUAUCGACUCACAAGUCCAAUAGCAUAAAGGAUAUCUGGUCUCGUGCAUGUCAAAUAACGUAGGCUUCCAACCAAACUUUUAAAGAAUGUUGGAUCUAUAUCUUCGCCUUCAUCAUGUUUCGAUAACUUGACUCUGCAUUCCACUGGCGUGCUUAUAGGCUUGCAAUCAUUCAUCUUGAACCUUUUAAGAAUCUCUUUUGCAUAGCUUUCUUGGGAGAUAAAUAUGCCUUCUUCAUUUUGCUUGACUUCAAUGCCGAGGUAAUAUGCCAUCAGUCCAAUCUCAGUCAUCUCGAACUCUUUGAUCAUCACUCUCUUGAACUCUUCAAACAAGCUUGGAUUACUUCCAGUGAAGAUGAGAUCAUCCACAUACAAGCACACAAUUAAAAUGUCUCCAUCAUUUUCUUUGACGUAGAGAGCAUGUUCAUAUGGGCAUUUGAUGAAGCCUUUCUCUUGAAAAUACUUGUCAAUUCUUCUAUUCCAUUCCCUUGGUGCUUGCUUUAACCCGUAAAGAGCUUUCUUCAAUCUCAAAACUUUGUCUUCAUGUCCUUUCACCACAUAGUCUAAUGGUUGUUUGAUGUAAAAUUCUUCUUCAAGGAAUCCAUUCAAGAAAACAGACUUUGUUAACAUGAAUAUCUUAAUAAUAUUGAUUUUGAUGAUAACAAACUUUAAAUGGUUUUUGAUUAAAAUGUUGGAGCUAUUCCUUAAUAAACAAAAGCCUUAUAAUCAUUCCAAUCAUAUUCAUAAAAUAUGGACUUUCAAAUUAGAAAAUGAUUCUCUGCAAAAUUUGGUUUAAAAUGUGAUUCUGGAAAUAAACGGUGAACCGUUUUCUUUCAAACGGUUAACCGAUUAAAACCAGAGAGCUACAUAUUGCCUAAGCUCUAACCGAUUAAGAAAAAUGGAAAACACAAAAUGCUGGGAAGGCUACUGGAAUUUAACGGUGAACCGUUUAUUUAAAUGGUUAACCGAUAACAUCCAGAAUAGAAGGUUGUACUCCUCUGGCACCGUUUAACAAAACUGGAUAAGGCUAAAUUGUUUUGCAGGUUACUGGAAACAAACGGCGAACCGUUUAUUACAAACAGUUAACCGAUACUAUCCAGAGAGGUCACUUCAUGCAAAUCCUUAACCGUUUAAUGUAAACGGAUAAUUGAUGUUCAUCUUGCAGGUUUCUGGAAUUUAACGGUGAAAGGGUAAGCCUAAACGGCAAACCGUUUAUUUGAAACUUGGCCCAACGGUAACUUUUGACCAACCUAAAUAAUUAACCGUUAAUGGUUAACGGCGAACCGUUUUCUGGCAGACAUUUUGUAACAGCUAGUUUUUCAGCUCCAACUAUAAAUAAGCUCAUUCAAAUUCAAACAAAGGUGAUCACAACACGACUAUUGAGCUUAUACUCAAGAAUACAAUCUUCAUAGAGCUUUGAACACAUUCUUGCUUCAUCUAUUCACAUAUUGGGCAUCAUUUUGUAAUCUUAAAUAUUGUGAGAGGCAAAACAAAUUUGUAAUCUUUUGUUUUUGAGUGAUUGUAAGUGUUGGGAUACACUUGGGUUAAGAGAUUGGGAUAAUCUCUUGUUGUAAAGGUUAUUGACACCUUGGAAGUCAAGUGUAAGCAUUUGAAGCCUUGGAGGCUUGCUUAGUGGAAUCCUCAAGCUCGGAAAGCUUGGAGGCGUGGACGUAGGCGAGGUUGGCCGAACCACGUAAAAAUCUCUGUGUUUGAAUCUCUCUUCCCUUAUCUUUUUAUAUUGUGAUCAACUUAUUUAUUAUUACUUUGAAUUUGGUUUAUAUUUGCAUUAAGUUUUUCUUUAUAAAUUGAAUAAUUUUUAGAAUUCCAAUUCACCCCCCUCUUGGGUUGCAUAACUAGAAUUUCAUUUGGUAUCAGAGCUUAGUUCUCUUGUUAGGACUUAACCGUCUAGAGUAAGAGAUCCAUGGCAACCCAAAUGACUCAACCUUUAGGGAAGGACAGUCCACAACUAGACCACCGUUUUUUGACGGAAAUGACUAUCCAUAUUGGAAAACUAGGAUGAGAAUUUAUUUACAAGCACUAGAUUAUAAAAUUUGGAAAGUUGCAUGUGAUGGUCCAUUCUUGCCCCUAACUAAAAAUGAAUUCGGGGAAGAUAUUCCAAAACCUUUAAGGGAAUGGAAUGAAUUCGAAAGAGAAAAGCUUCUCUAAAUUCCAAAGCUAUGAAUGCUUUAUUUUGUGCAAUUGAUAAGAAAGAAUUUCAUCGAGUAUGUAGUUGUGAAAGUGCAAAUGAAAUUUGGCACAAACUUGAAGUAGUUUAUGAAGGCACAAAUCAAGUGAAAGAGUCGAAAAUUAGUAGGUACACUCGACAAUAUGAGUUGUUCUAAAUGGAACAAAAUGAGAGUGUGUACUCUAUGUAUACGAGAUUUACGGACAUAGUAAACACCCUAGGAGCCCUAGGAAAGACCUUCUCAAAUAGUGAAAAAAUUAAGAAAAUCAUUAGGUCACUUUCAAAAGAAUGGAGACCCAAAAGAACCGCUAUUGAAGAGGCCAAAGAUUUAAAUACUUUACCUCUUGAUGAUUUAAUUGGUUCUCUCAUUUCAUAUGAAGAAGAUUUGGCAGCAAAAAAAGGGCAUGAGGAGAAGAAGAAAAGCAUUACUCUCAAAGCUUCAAAAUAUAAGAGUGAUGGGGAGAGUGAACCGGAUGAUGAAGAGUUAGCCAUGCUAGCAAGGAAGUUCAGAAGAUUCUUUAAGAAAAUCGGAGAGCGAAGAAAUUUCAGAAACUUCAAGAACCAAAGGGAGAAGAAAGAGGUAAUCACAUGCUAUGAAUGCAAGAAGCCUGGCCAUAUAAGAUCGGAGUGCCCACUUAUCAACAAACUCAAGAAGAAAGCAAUGGUUGCAACUUGGGAUGAUAGCGAAGAAGAUUCAAGUGAUGAAGAAGGAUCGCAAGAAGUAUCAAACCUAGCACUUAUGGCAAUAGGAGGGGAUGAUGAUCUCAAUGAGGUAAGUGAUCCCACCUAUGAUGAAUUGUAUGAUGCUUUUAAAGAAUUGCAUAAUGAGUUGAUAAAGAUUGGUAAAAAGAAUGUAUGUCUUAAAAAAGAAAUGGCAAAGCUUAAAAAUGAAAAUGAAUCUGUAAAUGAAAGAAUUGCAUGCCUAGAAGUAGAUAACAAAACAUUGCAUGAUGAAAUUGCAUUAUCAAAUGAGAAACCUAGCAUCUCACAUGAGCAUUUAGAAUCACACAUAGAUGAUUUGAAAAAUGAAAACCAAAUGCUUAAGAAAAAGAGCAAUGAGUUGAAUGAGAUUGUUUUGAAAUUUACAAAUGGGCAAAAGAUGUUGGAUAAUAUGCUUAACUCACAAAAAUGUGUUUUUGAUAAAGGAGGACUUGGGUAUAAGCCUAACUUGAAGCAAAAGUAUUAUAAGAAUUAUUUUGUUAAAGCUACCUCCACAAGUGAUCAUAAGAUUGUUUGCCAUUAUUGUAAUCAAAAUAGUCACAUGAAAUAUAGAUGUCCCAUGAAAAGGAAUGCAUAUUAUGGUGUCAAAUGUAUUUGGGUUCCAAAAGGAACCGUUGCUAACUCUCAAGAACCCAAAAAGCUUUAGGUACCUAAAACUUGAGAUUUUCCUUGUAGGGCUUAAAGAAGAAGAAAAAUAAAUGGUACUUGGACAGUGGUUGUUCAAGGCACAUGACCGGAAAUUAUGCAUGGUUCUCAAGCUUCACCAAAAUUGAAAAUGGUGGAGACGUAUCUUUUAGAGACAACUCAAAAGGAAAAAUUCUUGGAAUUGGAAAUGUUGGUAAAGUUUCUUCAACUGUAAUUGAGAAUGUAUGUUUGGUUGAGAACUUGAAACACAACUUAAUUAGUAUUAGUCAACUAUGUGACAAAGGUUAUAAAGUUAUCUUUGAUAAAUUUAGUUGUGUUAUUGAGAAUUCAUGCGAUGGCAAGAUCUUAUUUGUUGGGAAUAGAUGUGGUAAUGCUUAUAUCAUUGACAUAGAAUGUGCAUCUACUCUUGAUAAAUAUUUUUCGGCAUUGCAUGAUGAUAGUUGGUUAUGGCAUAGAAGGUUAGGACAUGCAAGUAUGGAUUUGAUUUCAAAAAUUUUGAAAAAUGAUUUAGUUAAAGGUCUUCCAAAAAUUGGUUUUCAAAAAGAUAAGAUUUGUGAAGCUUGUCAAUUUGGAAAACAAAUCAAAACAUCUUUCAAAAAUAAAAAUCAUAUUUCUACUUCAAAACCACUUCAACUUCUUCACAUAGAUUUAUUUGGGCCCUCUAGAUAUGCUAGUUUAAAUGGAAAAUAUUAUGCAUUUAUGAUAGUGGAUGAUUAUUCUAGAUAUACUUGGGUAUUAUUCUUAGCCAAUAAGGAUGAUGCUCUUGAUGCCUUUAAAGUGCUUUGUAAGAAAAUACAAAAUGAAAAAGGGUAUGGUAUUGCAUGCAUUAGGAGUGAUCAUGGAGGAGAGUUUGAAAAUAAUGCAUUUGAGAUUUUUUGUAAUGAUUUUGGCAUUGAGCAUCAAUUUUCAUCACCUAGAACUCCACAACAAAAUGAAGUUGUUGAGAGAAAGAAUAGAUCCAUUCAAGAAAUGGCUAGGACUAUGUUGACUAAAAAUUCAUUGCCUAAGUAUUUUUGGGCCGAGGCCGUCAACACCGCUUGUUAUAUUUUAAAUCGUGUGUUGAUUAGACCUAACCUUAACAAAACUCCAUAUGAGCUUUGGAAACAUAGAAAACCCAACAUUGGUUAUUUCAAAGUGUUUGGAUGCAAAUGUUUUAUUUUGAACACAAAAGACAAUCUUGGCAAAUUUGAUCCAAAAUCUAAUGUUGGUAUUUUUCUUGGAUAUUCAAACUCAAGCAAAACUUAUAGAGCUUAUAACAAAAAUACAUUAGUUGUAGAAGAAUCUAUGCAUGUUACUUUUGAUGAGUCUAACCCCUCCUCUACGGAGAAAGUUGUUGUUGAUAACGAUGUAGAUGAAGACUUACAAAAAGAAUCAUCAAAAGAUAACCAAAAGGAUGCGUCUCAUGGGAAUCAAGAUGAGCAACAUGAAGAAAUGAAUGUAGAGCAAAAUGAAAGUGUAUCUCAAUCACUCCCCAAGGAGUGGAGGUAUGUUUCUUCUCACCCUAAGGAUGUAAUUUUAGGAGAUCGCUCACGAGGUGUUACAACCAGAUCAUCACUUAGAAAUACUUGUGAGCAUAAUGCAUUUAUUUCUCAAAUUGAACCCAAAUCCUUUGCGGAUGCGGAAAAUGAUGAAUCUUGGAUUAUGGCAAUGUAAGAGGAGUUAAAUCAAUUUGAAAGAAACAAUGUAUGGGAAUUAGUUCCUAAACCGGAACAUCAAUCCGUCAUAGGUACUAAAUGGAUAUUUAGAAAUAAGAUGGAUUAAUCCGGUGUGGUUGUAAGGAAUAAAGCUAGAUUAGUGGCUCAAGGUUACAACCAAGAAGAAGGAAUUGAUUUUGAUGAAACAUUUGCACCCGUAGCUAGACUAGAAUCAAUUAGAAUGUUGUUGGUAUUUGCAUGUCAUAAAGAUUUCAUUUUAUUUCAAAUGGAUGUGAAAAGUGCCUUUUUGAAUGGUUUUAUAGUGGAAGAAGUGUAUGUAAAACAACCCUCUGGUUUUGAAAAUGAAAGAUUUCCAAAUCAUGUUUAUAAGUUAUUUAAAGCUUUGUAUGGCUUAAAACAAGCACCUAGAGCAUGGUAUGAUAGACUUAAGAAUUUCUUGUUAGAAAAUGAUUUUUCAAUGGGUAAAGCGGAUACUACUCUAUUUGUCAAACAUAAGGACGAAGACAUACUUGCUGUUCAAAUUUAUGUUGAUGAUAUUAUUUUUGGUUCAACUAAUGAAUUGUUGUGUAAAGAAUUUUCAUCUUGCAUGAGUAACGAAUUUGAAAUGAAUAUGAUGGGAGAGUUGAAGUACUUCCUUGGGCUGCAAAUAAAACAAAAUGAGGAAGGAAUUUUCAUAAAUCAAGCCAAGUAUGUAAAAGAUCUACUCAAAAGAUUCGGCGUUGAUGACUCAAAGACCAAAAACACUCCAACGAGCACAACUACCAAACUUGACAAAGAUGAAAAAGGCAAGGAAGUGGAUAUCAAAAUGUAUCGAGGUAUGAUCGGAUCUUUACUUUAUUUAACUGCAGUAGACCCGAUAUCAUGUUUAGUGUUUGCUUGUGCGCAAGAUUUCAAUCUUGUCCCAAGGAAUCUCAUUUUCUUGCUGUUAAAAGAAUUUUCCGUUAUUUGAGUGGAAUCAUAAAUAUUGGCCUUUGGUUUCCUAGGGGAACUCAUAUAGAUUUAACAUGUUAUUUGGAUGCAGAUUUUGCCGGUUAUAAAGUUGAUAGGAAAAGCACUAGUGGAACAUGCUAUAUCCUAGGUCACUCACUUGUUUUAUGGUUUAGCAAGAAACAAAAUUCUGUUGCACUCUCAACUACCGAGGCCGAAUAUAUAGCUGCAGGAAGUUGUUGUGCACAAGCUUUUUGGAUGAAACAAACACUUAGAGACUACGGUAUUAACCUAGAACAAAUUCCUAUUAAGUGUGAUAAUACUAGUGCUAUAAAUCUUUCAAAGAAUCCCAUUCAACACUCUCGAACCAAGCAUAUAGAAAUAAGACAUCAUUUCUUGAGAGAUCAUGUUCAAAAGGGGGAUAUUGCAUUAGAGUUUAUUUCUAUAGAAAAGCAACUCGCCGAUAUUUUUACCAAACCUCUUGGCAAAGAACAAUUUUUAAAGAUUCGGCAUGAACUUGGAAUAAUGAAAUUUUCACAUUAACGUUACUAUUCAUGCUACUGAGUGUAUUAAAUUGAUUGACUUAUUGGUGAAUUGAUGAUUUAAAUGCUUAAGCUUGAUAUUCAAAAUGAUGUGCUUGCUUUGUUAAUUCUUGAUUGAUUAUAUGAAUUAAUUGCUUGAAUACAUGUUCAUGAAUCAUGCAUUAAAAUGGCUCAUGAAACAUUUUUAGAUCAAUUAAAUGAUCUUGGAAUGUAUUAUUUGCUGGCCAAAAAUUAAAUCAAAUGUGCGAAAUUAUUGAUAAAAUAAACGGCUAACCGUUUCCAAUAAAAGGUGUACCGUUUUAUUCCAGAAACUCGAUUAUGUUCACUGCCUUUUAACCCUUUUACCGUUUGAUGCAAUCGGUAAACCAUUUAAAAUCAGAGAGCUCGUUAGCAGUUACUCCUCAGCCGUUAAGAGUUUAACCUUUAACCGUUUCCCAUUCUUUAGCCUCUGGAAGUUACCCCUUGACUGUUUAAAUAAACGGUUAACCGUUUUCGUGAUUAUAAAAUUGUUCAAAGGUUUUUUCUUCUCCUUCUCCAGUUGCCCCUUCACUGUUUCGGCCAUUGUUGCGCAGCCGAAACCUCCUCUGCCCUCAAACCUUCAUUUUUCUUGUUUUUCUUGCCAAAUCAAACCUAUAACAUCAUUUCUUAUCACCUUUAGAAUACUUUCACCGAUCCAAAUCCUCAAAUCAAGCCCAAAAUUGAAAAAUCCCAAAUCUAAACCCUAACUGCAGCCGUUCAGGUUUCUUCAUUUUUAACCCGAUUCUUCCCCUUCUUCAACCAAAUUGAGCAUCUAAAUCACAUCUUUUACUCAUUCCUAAGAAAAUAAUCGGUUCAUCUUCUUCUCAUCACAUCUCUCCCGUAAUUUUUCAAAAUCCUUUGUUCUUCACCAUGGCUGCACCCCCUCGGAGAAAUCUCAGGCGAAAAUCUGUGCCUCCAAGGAACCCUAUACCACCACGGGAAGUCUUUGAAUUUGUAAGAAUUCAUUUCCCCAUGCCUUCCUUGGCCAAGCAGUUCGAGGAUCGCUUCAAUGGUCAAAAGGUACUUGACUCUUCUUAUGUUGAUAUAGAUGAUUUCAGUACCUUAGUUGUAUGUGGCAGAAGCAUUAGGGAUAUGCUUCAGCCUUAAGAGUCUGCCAUUGACUUUGAUGACCGAGUUUAUCCCAACUUAGUGCGAGUCUUUUAUUCGAACAUGGAAAUCUCCGCAACUCGCCUAAAUAGGAUAGUUACUCAAGUCAGCGGUGUGCUUAUUGAAUUUGAUGAUGCGGAUCUAGCUGACUUUCUUGGUAUCUCUAGUGAGGGUCAUGAUAUUUACACCUCUAGGAAAGCCCUUUUCUUUGACAGUUUUUGUCAUACUGAUGGAGUCCGUAACAUUUGUCGUCGUCGAGACUUGUCUGAUGAGAUCUGUCUUCUACCUUUUCAGUCUCAACUUUUACCUCUCCAAGUUUGCAUUCUUCACACUAUUUUACAGCACAUAGUGACACCUAGGAAGGGUCACUCGGAUGAGGUUACGAGGUUGGACGUUGGCCUAUUAGAUAGCCUCAUUUCAAGUCGUCCCAUUAACCUCGGCUAUGUUAUUGUGCGGCACAUGUUGAGUACUCCCCCGGUUAACCACCACUGGCUUCCAUAUGGUAGUAUCAUUACUAAGAUACUGCGACGCUUUGAGGUGCCUCUUCUUGAUACUAGUUAUAUGGAGACUAGACGGAUUGGUCCCGAGGCCAUGACUAGUAUCGAUUUUACUAGGAAGAAUGGUGAGUGGAUAAAGACAAACAACUCCAAAAACCGGGAUACCUUGAUUGCUCUAGAGGACGAUCGGAUGCUCAACGAUGUCUAUCCUCCCGAUAAGCUUCCAGAUUUUAGAUUAGGAGCUCAUCCUCAUCCUCUGCGUCGCCGUUUUGUCCCUCGGCCUCCAGCUGACUCUGACUCUGAGGAGCAUACGAUGGAUCCUGACAUUCCCUCCUCUUCCGAGCUGCCUCUAGCUCCCGAGCAGCCUCCUGCUCCUGAGCUAUCUGCUGUUCUUGAGCAGCCAUCUGCCCCUGAGCCACCUCCAGCUCCAGUUCAGCCCCCUGCUUCAGACGUUGUGCAGCAGUUGAUUGCUGAUGUUCACCGGAUUUCGGAGCGCCAGUAGCUGAUUCUUGAUCGGGUAGACACUUUUUCCCGUGAUUUCGGAGCGCCAGUAGCUGAUUCUUGAUCGGGUGGACACUUUUUCCCGUGACCACCAGCAGCUACGUUCUGACAACGCACUCUUCUCCGCUAUUUCGACUAUGAUCUGGGGAGCACAUCUUCUCCACCUCCAUAGUUUCUGAGUUUUAUUUUCGCACAUACAUUUCAUAUUUUGGUUGUUUGUGUGUUGCCAUUUAUAUUUUUAUAAUACAUUUCAUAUUUUGGUUGUUUGUGUGUUGCCAUUUAUAUUUUUAUAUACACUGCCACCUCUAUAUGCUCUUUAUGGAUUUUGAUUAUAUGUUUGUGUGAUGUUCUUGAUAUUGGAUGACUUGAUAUUGGUUGAUGAAAUUGUUGGUUUAUUGGUUAAUGGAGUUGUUGGUUUGUUUAUUCAUGGUGUUGUUGGUUUGUUGGAUGAUGGAGUUGUUGUUAAUAUAUUUUGGAAGUGUUUUAAUCUCAUUUUGUAUUAGUGGUUUUGCUCCAUUUUAAGGGGAAACUCUGCCAAAAUUUUCGCUAGCCAAAACCGGGUAACUUCUUUAACGGAUUUGCGGUUUUCCUUUCUCUCUUUUCUUUUUGAUGAUGAAGGGGGAGAUAAUUAUGGGGAGAUUUAAAAUGAAUUUAAAAAUAUUUUCUUGAGCAAAAAUCUUUUUAUUGGACAUUUUUUAAUUUGGCCAUACAUUUAGGGGGAGCAUAUAUUAAGGGGGAGCAAAAUAUUGAAUAAAGUUUGUCAUCAUCAAAAAGGAGGAGAUUGUUAACAUGAAUAUGUUAAUAAUAUUGAUUUUGAUGAUAACAAACUUUAAAUGGUUUUUGAUUAAAAUGUUGGAGCUAUUCCUUAAUAAACGAAAGCCUUAUAAUCAUUCCAAUCAUAUUCAUAAAAGAUGGAAUUUCAAAUUAGAAAAUGAUUCUUUGCAAAAUUUGGUUUAAAAUGUGAUUCUGGAAAUAAACGGUGAACCGUUUUCUUUCAAAUGGUUAACCGAUUAAAACCAGAGAGCUACAUAUUGCUUAAGCUCUAAUCGAUUAAGAAAAACGGAAAACACAAAAAACUGGGAAGGCUACUGGAAUUUAAUAGUGAACCGUUUAUUUAAACGGUUAACCGAUAACAUCCAGAAUAGAAGGUUGUACUCUUCUGGCACCGUUUAACAAAACCGGAUAAGGCUAAAUUGUUUUGCAGGUUACUGGAAACAAACGGCGAACCGUUUAUUACAAACGGUUAACCGAUACUAUCCAGAGAGGUCACUUCAUGCAAAUCCUUAACCGUUUAAUGUAAACGGAUAAUUGAUGUUCAUCUUGCAGGUCUCUGGAAUUUAAUGGUGAAAGGGUAAGCCUAAACGACAAACCGUUUAUUUGAAACUUAGCCCAACGGUAACUUUUGACCAGCCUAAACGGUUAAUCGUAAAUGGUUAACGGCGAACCGUUUUCUGGCAGACAUUUUGUAACGGCUAGUUUUUCAGCUCCAACUAUAAAUAAGCUCAUUCAAAUUCAAACAAAGCUGAUCACAACACGACUAUUGAGCUUAUACUCGAGAAUACAAUCUUCAUAGAGCUUUGAACACAUUCUUGCUUCAUCUAUUCACAUAUUGGACAUCAUUUUGUAAUCUUAAAUAUUGUGAGAGGCAAAACAAAUUUGUAAUCUUUUGUUUUUGAGUGAUUGUAAGUGUUGGGAUACACUUGGGUUAAGAGAUUGGGAUAAUCUCUUGUUGUAAAGGUUAUUGACACCUUGGAAGUCAAGUGUAAGCAUUUAAAGCCUUGGAGGCUUGCUUAGUGAAAUCCUCAAGCCCGGAAAGCUUGGAAGCGUGGACGUAGGCGAGGUUGGCCGAACCACGUAAAAAUCUCUGUGUUUGAAUCUCUCUUCCCUUAUCUUUUUAUAUUGUGAUCAACUUAUUUAUUAUUGCUUUGAAUUUGGUUUAUAUUUGCAUUAAGUUUUUCUUUAUAAAUUGAAUAAUUUUUAGAAUUCCAAUUCACCCCCCCUCUUGGGUUGCAAAACUAGAAUUUCAGACUUUACAUCCAUUUGAAAAAUCCUCCAUUUAUUCUGAGCAGCCAAAGAAAUAAUAAGUCUAAUAGUUUCAAGUCUGGCUACAGGAGCAAAUACCUCAUCGUAGUCUAUGCCAGCCUUUUGACUAUAGCCUUUUGCAACUAGCCUCGCCUUGUGCCUUUCAAUUUCUCUAUUCGCAUUUCUUUUUGUUUUGUACACCCAUUUGACACCAAUCGCCUUGUGACCUUUAGGAAGAGUAGUAAGCUCCCAAGUAUCAUUCUUCACAAUGACUUUGAUUUCCUCAUCCAUUGCAAUUCUCCACUUCUCAUCUAGUGCAGUUUCUUGGAAGUCGACUGGCUCACAAUCAACAAAGAGGCAAAAGAGAGUGAGAUUAUCAUGUCUCUCAGUUACCUCAUUGAGAUCUUGAAGACUCCUUGUACGUUCUUCAGUUCUUUCAUUUAAAAAAGAUGGUGGUGAAUCUCCACAUGUGUUUAAUGCUGGUGACAUAGGUGGAGUAGUUGGCUCUUGUUGUUCUUCUACUCAUUUUAUCUGUGUAUGAUAAUCUUCUUCAAUGGGAAAGAAGUUGAAGUCAUCCAUACCAGAGCCAAAAUCUCAUUCUCCUUUUUCAUCAAAAACUACAUCUCGACUGAUCAUGAUCUUCCUGUUGUUUGAAUUGUAAAGUUUGUAUCCUUUAGAGUUGUUGUCGUAGCCGAUGACGAUGAACUUCCCACUUUUUUCAUCCAGCUUGGCUCUACUCUCGUCCGGUACAUGUACAUGGGCAAUGCUUCCGAAAACUCUUAGAUGGGUGAUGCCGGGUUUUCUUCCACUCCAAGCUUCUUGUGGCAUCUUGCCCCACAUGCUUCUUGUUGGAGAUCGAUUGGAUAACUAGACUGCACAUGCAAUAGCUUCAGCCCAUAUUCUUUAGAUAGCCUCUUACUCUUGAGCAUGCUUCUUGCCAUAUUGAGGAUGGUUCUGUUUUUCCUUUCUGCAACACCAUUUUGUUGAGGGGAUCUUGGAACUGUCAAAGGGUGUCGAAUUCCAUUUGCUUCACAAAACUCUAAACAUUCUUUGGAAGUGAACUCUCCACCUCGAUUAGAUCUCAUGGCUUUAAUUAGGUAUCCACUUUCCUUUUCCAUUGCAGCUUUAAAUUUCUUGAAAGCUUCAAAGCCUUCCGAUUUCUACUUUAAAAAAUACACCCAAGUUUUUCUUGAAAAAUCAUCUAUGAAGAGAAGGAAAUAGUUACUUUUACCAAGGGAGUUUGGCUUGAAUGGACCGCACACAUCAGUAUGAAUGAGCUCGAGUGGCUUCUAAGCUCUUGAGUUUGACUCCUUUGGAAAGCUCUUUCUGUUUGGAAAGCUCUUUCUGAACUGCUUGCCAAGUAAACAUCCUUCACAAAGUUGAUCAAGGUGAUUGAUGUAUGUUAAGCCUUUCAUCAUGUUCUUCUUGAAUAGUAGAUCCAAUCCUCCAAAGUUGAGAUGCCCAUAUCGAAGAUGCCAAAUCCAGGAUGGAUCUUUGUGAAAGGCUUUGAGACAUUUUCUAACAUCAUUUUGAAUAUUUAAAGGAAACAUUCUAUUCUUCGACAUUUUCACCUUUGUAAUUAGAUUUCCUUUGUCAUCUCUUAGGAAAAGACUAUAAUCUUUUAAGUGAAUAUCAUAGCCUUUUUCUAAAAGUUGACCCAAACUAAGGAUGUUGCCUUUCAUAUUGGGCACAUAGUAAACAUUCGAAAUUAUUUGGUGACUACCAUCUUUUAUACGAAAAAGAAUGUUACCUCUACCCUUCACUGGUACUUUUGAAUCAUCUCCAAAAGCAACACUGCCAUUCACAGAUUCACUUAGUUGCACGAACAUGCUUUUGUUUCCACUCAUAUGAUUGCUAGCACCUAUGUCAAGAUACCAUGUAUUUUCUUGACCUCCACUUGUGUCAUUGCGUGCUAGUAAAAGGGUGCCAUUUUUACCAUUUUUCUCUUCAACAUAAUUCACUCUCUCAUCAACUCUGGUACUUGGAGCUCUACAUUCUGAAGCAUAAUGCCCAAACUUUUGACAAUUAUAGCAUUGUACUUGGAAUUUGUCACACCUCGAUCUUGGAUUACUUCUACCUCGUCCUCUGGUUGAGCUUUCUCUUUUGGCAUAAUUGGGGUUGUUGUUGUUAUUGAAAUUCCAACCUCGUCCAUGACCACGACUUCUACCUCGUCCUCGACCUCUACCUCGGACAUAGUGCCUUCUCUCAUUGUCGAAGCUAUCUUCUCUUUUCUUUGGAUUGACUUCUAUCUUGAGAAGUUGUUCUUCGAUUCCUUACUUCUUUUUUAGUUUUUCUUCAUAGGCUUCAACCUUCCUUGAAGUUGCUCGAUCAUCAUAUCCUUUAGAUCUCUUGUUUUCUCAAUUGUCACAACAAUAUGGUCAAACUUCGAGUCUACUGAUCGAAGUAUCUUUUCAAUGAUCCUUACCUCUUUUAACUACUUGUCAUUUCUUUUUAAUUCAUUAGAAACGGUCACAACCCGAGUGAAGUAGUCAGAAAUUGACUCCGACGCCUUCAUGUGUAAGGACUCAAAUUCUCCUCGUAAUGUUUGGAGAUGAACCUUCUUAACUUGCUCCGCUCAUUUGUAGGAGGUCUCUAGUUUCUCCCAUGCUUCUUUUGAGGAGGUUGUACUAGCAAUCUUUUCAAAAGAAUCUUCAUCUAAUGAUUGAAAGAUGAGAUACUUUGCUUUAUUCUCUUUUUUCUUCAAGUCUUUUAAAUUCUCCUUUUGUGCCGCAGUUAAAGUGGCUUCAUUUUCUGGCACAAUAAAGCCUUUCUCCACAACAUCCCAUACAUCAUGUGCACCCAAUAGAGCCUUCAUUUUAAUACUCCAAUUGUUAAACUUACUUCCUUUUAAUUGUGGAACUUGAAACGACAUCAUACCACCAUUUGCCAUAACUCACAAAUUGAGUGAGAUUUUUGAUAUUCUGAAUGCACGAAUGGAUCCAGCACGUCAAAAAACCUUGGGAAGGACCCGAGUCAACUUUCGAUCAAUGGUCAACAUCAGUAAACGGUCAAUGUCGGUCAACGAUCAACGUCGGCUUAGUAGUCUUGGUUCGGUCCAGCUUGGUUUGGAUGGAGUUGGCUCGGUUCGACUUGAUUCGGUUCAGCUCGGCUCGGCUUGGUUCGGUUCGGCUCAGCUCAGCUUGGUUCAACUCGGUGAGUCGACUCAGCUUCAAGACAGAAAAUUUCCGGUGGCGAGUGUGGGCGCAUCCAGUCUUGUAUUGGGAUGAUUUUUGCUGCGUCACGUUCCUCUCGUCGAGAUCUUCGAUUUGAUAUGAUAUAUGACAAUAUAUAGCAUCGAACACUAGCUCUGAUACCACUUUGUUGGAUAAUUAAUAAAUAAAACACACACAAAAAUACUAUUUUAUUUCUUCAACAACACUCCUCACCAAUUACAACUCUUAUUUUUCACUCUCUACACCUUAGAGAUUUUGUUACUUCACUUGAUGCUUAAACCAAAGGGGAGAGGGGGUAUUUAUACAUGAAACAAACUAAUCACAACCAUUCAUUUAUUCAACGAAUACACAAAUCCUCACCAUCCAUCAAAACCUACGGCUUACCUACUUCACCAACGACAUCUACCACACCCACUACAAGUAAUUCAAAUCUCACAAACUAUACCUACUCAUGGAACCUUCCAUGAGUUGGGCUUGAAUUUAUUUAUCUUGGAUAAAGUUUAUGAUCCAACAAUAAUUAACUGCUGUUGUAAAUAAUUAAAGAUGGUAUGUCUAUUAUAAACGUUGUUAUCAUAAAGAUAAAGAUAAUAACAUGGCAUAUAUUAAAAGCAUGCCGUAGAUAAACAUUAUUUUAUUGUUUAAUAACAACAUAUAGUUUUGGAAUGCUGUGAUAACACUUUUUGAAAGCAUAAUUUAGGUGCCAUUAAUAUUGAGUUUUAUAUGCCAUAUUUCAUAUGCCAUUAAAUCAAAAUCCUAAAAAUUAGGGAAUUAAAUAAUUUUUUGUGUUUACUCCCAAUUAGAUGAGAUCUCUCUCUCUUUGCAAGUUAAUCUCUAACGAUAGGAAAUUCCUUAUUUUUCUAUUUCACUCACAUAUAAAAAAUCUCAUCUUCCCUUUUCAAUUCUUAUGGUUCCCAUGUCAAAAUGAGCUCUUUCUCUCUACCUUGAUACGCUUGACGCUCUGUACUUCAAUCAACAACAUAUUUUUUUUAAUCAAUCAUCAAUUUGCUUAAACUUGUUUAUCAAUUACUUGAAACAUCAAUCGUCCAAAAUCCUCGAUAGGUAGUUAAUUUUUUUCUUAAUUUCAUUUGAUGAAGGUAAAUCAAUCAAUUUAACUUUUUAAUUUUUUUUAAACCCUGUAUUUUUAUUAUUUUACCAUUAAGAAUAUUAUGUAUAAUUUUUUUUAAGCACCUUGUUUUGCAAAUUUUUCUGUUUUCUAUUAUUAUAUACUACAUUUAUGGCUAAAGAACAAUUAACAAGAAGAUUAGUUGAGGGAUUUGUGUCGUCAAGUGUCCAUUGUGAAUUAAUUGAUGAAAUGAAAUCUUGAAAAAGGUAUCAUCUUACAAUAUGUACUUAUAGCAUUGGCACUAAUUUUUAUAAAAAUUUUAAGUUGAAGGUUAUAUUAUUAUCAUGUAUUAGUCUGAUUAUAUUUUUUGGUAUGUAAAGGUUUUAUUUAAUGUUAUUGCAGGUCUUUGGACAGAAAAAAAUUAAUCAUUUUCAGAGGAAAAGGAACUUCAAAUCAAGGAUGGUGAACUAUUGUUAAACAAUAAUAUGUUUUUCUAGCAUAGUGAACUUCAAGUCUUUGUAAAUAUUAUUGUAUCAAAUGUCAUAACUUUAUUAUUAUUUUUUCCCUAUGUUGACUUUAACAAGUUGAAAUAAGAGGUAUUGCGAAAUUGUCUAUUUAGAAUUCAUUGUACAAUUUUUCUUUUUUGUCAAACUAAUUGAUGAUGGAUGAGAUUAUGUGUCGUGUAAUUGUAUGUACUUUUUAAUUAUAUGUAUGUGAAGGUAAGCAAAAAAAAAAAAAAAUUAAUUGAGAGUAUAUCGCUUCAUAAAAAAAAUAAAAAAUCAGCUUCACACUACGGCCAUUUCCAAAGUAAUCAUAAAGUUUAGUAUAAUGGAAGGGUAUAAAUGUCGUUAAACUAAUUAAUAAUGACAUGUUUUUCUUGCCUUACAUCAUUUUUAACGACAACAUCAACGACACUGAAAUUAUGCCAUUGAAAGUACAUCACUUUCUAUGGGGAAAAAGGGCAGUGGGUCUCCUAACGUUUGGAGAAAAAGAUAUAAACCCAUUAACGUUUCAAAAAAGACAUAUAACCAUCUUUUUAUUAAUAAACUAAGAAAUAGAACUGCGCUUCACAUGACUUUGAACAAUUAUUAAUAAUAUUAAUUUACAUAAUUUUAUACUAGUUUUAAUAUUAUUUUUAAAAAUAUUAAUAUAAAUUAAUAGAAUAUUAAUAUUAGCCUCUCAGUAUGUUCCCUUCUUCGGCAGUGAAUCCGAGAGAGGUGAGCAUUGCAAUUUACAAAUUAAGGUGAGGCAGAGGAGAAGAGUGGUUAAAAAUGUUUAUAAAUUAUUGUUUAAUUUAUGAUCAAGAAGAUUUCAAUUAGAGAAGAUAGUAGGUCUUUUGAUGAACUGUUACAUAUUGAUUGUGUAAUAACAGACAAAUUAGUUAUGAGAAGUUGAAAAGCCAAAUCUGAAAGAAAAUUUCUCUAUUUAUUAGAUAAUAGAGAAUAUACAAAUAUGAGAAAUAGUGAUGUCACAUCACUUCUAGUAGUCCCAACUUUAUAUAAAUAUGUAGAUUCUGUUUGUUUUAAUAGUAAAUUUAUUUUUAAUUUAAAAUUAUUAUUAUGUCUCCAUAAUAACUAAAUUAAUAUAUUGGCUUAAGACAUGUCAUGUGUACAAUGAAAUCACAACUUUUUAUUUAAAACUUAAAAUUAAGAUAUAGUUACCUUUUACCCAAAUUAUUCAUUAUUUUUAGAGUGAAUUUUAAUUUUAUCCAUUACUUAUCAUUUCUUAUUGGGAAGGGUAUAUUGAUAAUUUAGAGUGGAUAAUUUGGGCAAAAGGUAAUUAUAUUUCAAUUUUAAUUUUUACAUAAAAAAGUUAAUCAUUUCAUUAUACACAUCAUCAACGACAUGUCUUAGGUCAAUAUAUUGAUUUAUUCAUUAUAGGGACAUAAAAUUAAUUUUAAAUUAAAACUAAAUUUAUAAAAUGGCCAAAAAACGGGUGGGCUAUAGCCCUGGUGGGGGGCGCGGGCAAAGUUCGUCCGCCGGACUUGGAAUGGCCCCAGACUUUGCGAGCGGCCUCCGUGUGCCAAAAAUAGGUCAAGGGCACAGCCGCGCCCAAAAAUUAGCGCCCGAAGGUCGGGGUGCCAAAACCCCCCAGCGGAAAAAUGGCCAAAAAACGGGUGGGCCAUAGCCUUGGUGGGGGGCGCAGGCGAAGUUCGUCCGCCGUACUCAGAAUGGCCCCUGACUUUGCGGGCGGCCUCCGUGUGCCAAAAAUAGGCCACAGGCACAGCCGCGCCCAAAAAUUAGCGUCCGAAGGUCGGGGUGCCAAAACCCCCCAGCGGAAAAAGGUCCAAAAAACGGGUGGGCUAUAGCCUUGGUGUGGGGCGCGGGCGAAGUUCGUCCGCCGGACUCGGAAUGACCCCAGACUUUGCGGGCGGCCUCCGUCUGCCAAAAAUAGGCCACGGGCACAGCCGUGCCCAAAAAUUAGCACCCGAAGGUCGGGGUGCCAAAACCCCCCAGCGGAAAAAUGGCCAAAAAACGGGUGGGCUAUAGCCUUGCUGGGAGGCGCAGGCGAAGUUCGUCCGCCGGACUCGGAAUGGCCCCAGACUUUGCGGGCAGCCUCCAUGUGCCCAAAAUAGGCCACGGGCACAGCCACGCCCAAAAAUUAGCGCCCGAAGGUCGGGGUGCCAAAAACCCCCAGCGGAAAAAUGGCCAAAAAACGGGUGGGCUAUAGCCUUGGUGAGGGGCGUGGGCGAAGUUCGUCCGCCGGACUCGGAAUGGCCCCAGACUUUGCGGGCGGCCUCCGUGUGCCAAAAAUAGGCCAGGAGCACAGCCGCGCCCAAAAAUUAGCGCCCGAAGGUCGGGGUGCCAAAACCCCCCAGCGGAAAAAUGGCCAAAAAACGAGUGGGCUAUAGCCUUGGUGGGGGGCGCGGGCGAAGUUCGUCCGCCGGACUCGGAAUGGCCCCAGACUUUGCGGGCGGCCUCCGUGUGCCAAAAAUAGGCCACGGGCACAGCCGUUCCCAAAAGUCGGGGUGCCAAAACCCCCCAGCGGAAAAAUGGCCAAAAAACAGGUGGACUAUAGCCUUGGUGGGGGGCGUGGGCGAAGUUCGUCCGCCGGGCUCGGAAUGGCCUGAAUUUACAAAAAAAAAUGAGGUUAUAUGUCUUUUUUGAAACAUUUAAAGACUUUAUGUCCCUUUUUCCAAACGUUAGGGGGUUCACAAUCCUUUUUUUCCUUUUUAUGGCUCAUGAAUCAAUGACAUGAUAGUUUAUUCCAUCUUAAUCAUAAAACGGCAUUUUUUAGAGGCCGUUAAAAGUCUCUUAUGUUGUAGUGUAAUGAAUUAAAUAAUCAUUUAAAUAUAACCCAAACAAAACAAAGAGUGCUUUCUCAGAAAAUUGAAUUGUAAUUUUGUCCACCAUAAGACAAUAUACAGGAUAGCUCAUAUGGUUGGGCUUUGACGGAGAAAGUAAUGAACAAAAUGGAAUAGGAUUUUAAAAUACCAGAAAAUACAUUGAAAAUUUUGAAGUUGGGAUAUGAUGAGGUGAAUGAUAUGAAAUAUUUAUAUAUGAACAAUUUUGUAUAUUUUAAUAUUUAUGUCCUCAUGAGUCUUAUUGAGUAAUUUUUAAAUAGUUUUAUUUAACUAAUAAUUGAUUGAUAUGGGUUAAAAAAUUGAUAUGCACAUUUUGCCCACCCUUCUAUUUUUUUAAAAGUAACUAAUACACAAAUAAAUUUGGAUUAAAAAAAAUUAAUGAUCGAGAUAUGAUAGAUUAUGAUGAUAUGAUACAUUAAUUUCAACCCAUUGAUGUUGUGACAUUUAUUUUUCUUUAUCCUCUCCCCUUUUCGUCAGCAUUCUUCAUUUUCUUCAUUUCCUUCAUUGUUUUCUCUCUCUAUUUACCAAGAAUCUACACUCCCUUUCAUAGUUAUUUUUUUCUAUUUCUCCUUCCACUCAAAUUUUUUCAGUUUUUCUUAUCAUCAACUAUUGAAAAGAUUUUCACUUGCGCUAUUGCGCAAAGUAAGUUAAGACCCAGUGAAGGGCCCGGCAGGGGGAGGGGGGGGGGGGGGGGGGCCGGGAAUAAAAUAAAACAUCCAAUUGAUUGUUGAAAUAUGUAACUUUCAUUUUUGAAUCAACCACGAAUUACAAAAUCAGUAAUAUUUUUAUUAUUGUUUAGUAGAAUUUUGCGUUACACUCCAAAUAGUCUUGUUGUGCAAAUUUCUCUCUAUAUCCCCAACUAAAGAAUUAUUUUUCGUCGUUUCUUCAACAUUUCUUCUACAAUUUGUCCAUCAAAGACUAAUUAAGUCAAGUUCAUGCUUUUGAGUUCCAUGGUCAAAACAAUUAAGCUUGAAAUUAAACGAUUUGAUUAAUUUUCCUCAUCGACAUGUGCGACUCAAAACCAAAAGAAAUUUAUUUUCAAUUGAAAUCAGAUGCUUAGUUUUCUUUGCCUGCAUCUACACGGCAAAGGAAAAGAUGUUAAUGGACAUGAUGAGAUAUAGAGGAGACAAAGAAUGAGACGGGAACUAGAGAAGUCGUUGGACCCAAAACGAGGAAAAAAGGAAAAAAAAGAAAAAAAUAAAUGAAAUAGAUUUCAAUACACAUAUUUUUCAUUUUAGUAGUGCAUGUUUUUAUUUACUUUUUUUAAUAAUUUAGUGAUAUUCACAGUUUGAGAAAAUGAGAAUCUACUCACUAGAGAUCUAUUUUUAUUACAAUUUAUUUAAAUACAAAUUAAAAUAAUAUAAUUGUCAAUAUAUAAAUACAAAUUUAUACAGUGAAUUCUCUUCUAAUGAGGAAGUCAUUCUCUUAUUGAAAUGAAGACCAAACUGAAAUACAGAAUCAUUUGAAAAAAAUAGUAUUGAAAUAUAAUUUGUUUUAUGUAAGUAAACUAUAAAGUUCUUUGAUAGUAGUAAGUGUGAUUUAUUCUAAAAUUUUGAUGAUAAAUGUUUAUCAUAAUUUAAGAAUUUUGUAAAACAAAAACAUUAAUCUUGUGUAUCGUAGGAAAAAAAAUAUGUCGGUAAGGGUUGUUUUGAACGUUGCAAUUAAAUAAUUUAUUGAGCAUUUAGCAUUAAGUGUUGAAUGAAACUUUUUUGCCUAAUUUUAUUCAAACAUUAAUAUUUGAUAAAUUCUUAAUGUUUAAGUUAAAACCAACGCGCAUGAAGUAGCUAAAUUACUGAAAUUAAAAUAAGUUUAAAGUAUUAGAUAAGUAAAAACAAACAGACAAACAAACAAACGGCCAUUUCAAUUCAUGUAAAAUUUAUUUCCGUAAAACACAAAAUUUUAACCUUAUUGUAGGACAAACCUAUAUUACUCCUGUUGUAUCAAUGAAAUUAUAAAGAUAAAAAUGUCAAAAUUAUUUAAUUUAUUUAAAACUUGAGAUAAUGAAUACAAGCAUGGCUCUAAAUUCAAAUCUCAGCUGAUGUAAAAUUAAUGAUUAUUAUCUUUCUAUUACUCCAACUAUGUCAAGGUAAGGGGCGGAGCCCCAUUCAGACCAAAAGGUGCCAACGCACCUGAAUAAUUUUGAAAACUUAAUCCCAAAUAAAAUAUGAUAAUAUCAAGAGUUUUUGGUGUAAAUCUUCAUUUUGGUCCUUGCAAGACUGCACAUUCUCUCAUAAAUUUUAAACUUUAAAGAAAAAUGUUGUUUAAUUUAUAUGAUCCGACAAACAUUAAUUCUGAUAAUAACUUGUACCUUUACAAUUAUUGAUAUAUUUUUUAACAAAUUCUUUUAUCUUUCCUUUGCCAAAAAAAGUGAGCUACUUUUUUUUUUUGUUGAUAUUUUAUAGACUUCUUCUUUUAUUUACAUUAGUAUUAUCAUUUUUUUUAAUAGGAAAGAAACUUUUAUACUAUGAAAAUAAAACUUUUAAGUGUUACAGCUUAUUCAAUUGAAAAAAUCAAGUAUGAAAAAUGUAUGUAUUUCCCUACGUUACUGUUAAUUGACUCGUAAAAUUACGAUUUUGCUAAUUCACUCGUAAAAUUGCCAUUUUGACCUUAUUUAAUUUUUCCACACCCGUCGGACGUAUCUUGGACGAGGAGUAAAUUACAUGUAGAUAAGGUGGGAAGUAGGAGUAGGGAUGACAAUUUAACCCGGAUCCGGACCGGACCCGGAUGAACCCGGAUAAUCCGGUCCGGGUUCAAUCCGUACCGGAUUUUUAUCCAGAUGUAAAAUUACUAACCCAGAUAUUUUCGGUUCCGGGUCCGGUUUUGACUGAACCCGUAAAUCCGAAACCCAAACCCGGAUAUAUUAUUUUAUACUAUUUCUUUAAUUAUGUUUAAUAUAAAUAGAAACAUUAAAAGAAACCCUAGUUUCAUCACUUUCACAGCUGCUGCUGCUGAAAACCGAAGCCAAAAGCGCCAAACAUUUCCUUUCUCUUCAGCUCGUGCUCGUCUCCUCAUCAUCGUGCUUCGCCUUCGCGGAUCUAUUCUUCAUCAUCAUCAUCACCAUGAAACGCCACCGUCGUCAUCAUCAGCGGCAUCAUCAAACGCCACCACCAUCAUCAUCAAACGUUGUGUUCAUCAUCAUCAGCCGUCGUUGCGACCAGCACUAGCUCCGAUACAGUCAGAAGUUUACGAUUAGAAACCAGCGGCCUUUGUCGGACGCCGAUUCUUGAAGUUGAAGUUCAUGAAUCGUGAGUUUCGGCAUUGUUAUGUGAUUUAUGCUUCGAAAUGUUUUUGAUUCUUGCUGAUAAUAGAUUCGAAAUAAUAUCUUCAACAUUUGAACUUUGAAUUGUAAACUUAUGUUAUAGAUUUAUAUUUGUGGAUGUUUUAUUGUUCAGAACCAUUAAAAUUUAGGGCAGGUAUUUGUUUUGAAUGUUCUGGAAUCUGGAUAUGCUGUUUUAAUUUUUUAAUUUUUUUAUUUACUGAUCCGGGUUCAAAACCCGUAAUUCAGAAACCCGGAUUUUACCGGGUUGAACCCGGACCGGACCCGGAUACAAAAAAUCCGGGUUUAUAUCCGGAUCCGGAUUACAAAAAUAAUAUCCGGGUCCGGAACCGGGAAGGCCGGACCCGGACCCGGACCCGAAUUUUGCCAUCCCUAAGUAGGAACAACUCCAGCUCAACUCCAAUCCAAAUCCAUUUCAUUUGACCUUGAAAUGGCAGUGAAAGCAACUUCCAGUAUCCAGCUACUAUAAAAGAAAGUGAAGGGAGGGAUGGUGUUGAGUUUCAAAUAAAGAGAAAUCAAAAUAUUAGCUUCAAUUCAAAGAUGGAUUUGGAUAUUUGCUGCGUACUAUGGCUUGUAUUCACAUUGUUUUGCGUGAUGGCUUUAAGUUUCAAUUCCGGUGGACGACGCAAGCAUCUUCCACCGGGACCAAGGCCUUAUCCGGUGAUCGGAAACCUGCUGGAACUGGGUGGUAAACCUCACAAGUCACUGGCCAAGCUUGCCAAGACUCAUGGCCCUAUAAUGAGUCUAAGACUUGGCCUGGUGACCACAGUAGUGGUUUCUUCUCCAAGCACGGCCAAAGCUAUCCUCAAAGAACAUGACUCAUUAUCCUGUGAUCGAAAGGUCCCUGAAUCAAUCUUGUCCCAGCCAUACCGGCACCAUGAAUUCAGUUUGGUCUGGCUGCCAAUCUCAACACUGUGGAGAAGUUAUCGAAAAAUGUGCAACAUGCAUAUUUUCACUAGUCAGAAACUCGAUGCCAGUCAAGACCUUCGGCGCAAGAAAAUGAAAGACCUUCUUGCCUAUGUUGAAGAAAAUUGCCUUGCGGGUAAGGCAAUAGAUUUUGGCCAAGCUGCUUUCAAUACGUCAAUUAAUUUGUUAUCCAACACAAUAUUUUCUAUUGAUUUGGUUCAUCCCAAUGAGAGGAAGUUUAAGGAUACAGUUUGGGGUAUGAUGGAAGAAGCAGGAAAGCCUAACUUGUCCGACCAUUUUCCUCUCCUCAAAAAGCUUGAUCUGCAGGGUAUAAGACGCCGCAACACACUUUAUGCUGGCAAGAUGUUCGAGGUGUUGGAUCGCUUGAUUGAUCAACGAUUGAAGAAAAGACAAGAACAUGGUUGCAGUAUUAGCACCGAAUCUAAAGAUAUGUUAGACACUGUCCUCGAUAUUAUCCAAGACAAGAGUGAAAUGAUUGACACAAAACAUAUCAAGCACUUGUUUGCGGUAAUGUUUCUUUUUCUUUUUCUUAAUUUCUCGUGAAAAUGGCAAGUGAAUUAACAGAGUUCAUAUACCGGAUUUGCUUAUUGCGGGGAAUGACACAGCUUCAAUUACAAUGGAAUGGGCAAUGGCAGAAUUACUCCACAACCCUGAGGCUCUAUCGAAAGUAAAAUUGGAGUUAGAACAAACCGUUGGUAAAGGCAACCCAAUUGAGGAAUCUGACAUCACUCGUUUACCUUAUCUACAAGCAGUUAUUAAAGAAACUUUUAGGUUGCAUCCGACAGUUCCCUUACUAGUCCCUCGUAAAGUCUCAGAAGACAUAGAAAUUGAAGGCUUCAUAGUGCCAAAAGGCGCACAAGUAUUUGUCAAUGUAUGGGCUAUUGGCAGAGAUGAAAGCAUAUGGGACAACCCUCAUUCUUUUAUGCCCGAGAGGUUCUUGGGGUCAGAUGUUGAUUUUAAAGGCCAGAAUUUUGAGCUAAUCCCCUUCGGAGCUGGGCGGCGAAUUUGUCCUGGUUUGCCAUUAGCAAUCAGAAUGUUAUAUCUAAUGUUGGGUUCACUUAUUAAUUCUUUUGAUUGGAAGCUUGAAGAUGAGAACACGGACAUGGAGGAAAAAUUUGGCCUCACCAUAAAGAAGGCUCAACCCCUUCGUACUAUCCCUAUUGCCAUUUAGUCCCAUUCUAUAGUUAGCUUUUUGUUCUGGUGGAGUGAAUUUAGUUUUAGCAAAUAAAGCACUAUGUUGUUGCUAUGUAUUCAUCGUUGUUGUUUAUCUAUUUUUCUUAUUAUUUAUUGGCAACUAUCUGAUCGAUCACCUAAAUCCGCUUUUUUGAGUGAAUCAUUAUUGUAAGCAAAUACGAUGUAGAACUUUGAAUGACAAAGGAGACAUGUUUUUGGCCACGAUUUUUUUAGCCACGUAAGCCAAGAGAGAUUGUUAUGAAAAAUGUUCAGUUUACUUAAACAAAGUUGGACAGCCAACGGGAAAAUUUCAUGACCAAUGAUUUCUUUAGGCCAAAGCUUGUUUUUCUUUAGCAGAUGCUUGUUUUAGCCACAAAAACUGUUGGUGGUAUGUACUUGUGAGGAAUGGCAAAUGUAAAGAAUUACAAUAAUAAUGGUGGAACUUUAUUGUGUAAAGUAAUGUAUUUAUAACUUUGUAUGUGGAAGAAAAUAAUAGUAAUAGGUAAACUGCAGAAAAUAAUGUGUACUUCAAGGGACGUUACAAAUGUCGCUUUCCUUAAGACGUUAUUUGCCCCCACCAAUUGAGUGAUGCACAUGGGUUAAACAAAUACACCUCUAGGAUACAGUGAAGCACUUGUUUGUUUGUUUGUAUUGUGCAUCGGCGAAAACAAACCAGAAUACUCUUAAAUGUUGCAAGCCUGCCAAGAACAAUAUAUUGUUCCUACAGAAAACAAAAUAUUGGAUUUUUUAAUGCACAAAAAAAUGAGUGUUUUGUGAUGAAACUCGUUUUUGGAAAGAGUGUUGAGAAAAAAGUGGUGUGGGAUCAUUAUUUUCAUCAUUAAAUGUCUUAAACAUGACCUCUAUUUAUAGAUAAACUUGUGCCCCUUCGUUUAGGUUGUCAUCUUUCAUGAUACCCCUUCAUUCAUGGCCAUUGGAUCAAGAUUUAAUUUUAAUCAAUGAUCCAAAUUGAACCAUAACCAUUUCAAAUGAAAUAUCACCAUGAAAUGAUGCAUCUCCAAGUGACAUGUCACCAUGAAAACUUAUAUCCUUAAGUGAAAAGAUACUUUUUCUAUAAGGCACAAUUAAUUGGAUAUGUCUUUAUAAUAAGACACCAUUUAUUUAGACAUGUUUUUAGAAUAAGAUACCAUUUAUUUUGAAAAUUUUCCAAUAAUCCCCCACCAUUUUCAAAAUAAAUGAAUUUUGAAAAAUUAUCUUGCACAAGCUUGGAAAACUUAUGUAUAGAUGAAUGUGUCUUUUGGACUUGAAACUUCACUUAGUGACAACACACCAAGUUAAUCAAGGUGGCAUGGUAGACAAGCUUUGAACCAACGACCUUAUUUGACUAACCAGAUAUAUCUCACACAUAAGUUUUCAAAUUCUCAAGUAUUGUUUAGCCGACAUGUGGAUUGGCCUUGUGUUUAUAUCCUGUUUUCAUGAGCGCUUUAGUAACUGGCCAAGUUACAUAGGAAGCGGUACCACCUCCUACACUCACAUAGGUAGACUUAUCUAAAAUAUCCAUGUAACUAAAACAUUUAUUAGUCUAUUAAAAGCUAAGUAGCUUAACAUUUCCCAUAUGUUAGAGGUAUCAAGCACUGACUUUUGGGACGCGUCUUAAAAUAUUAUAGUGCUUGUUAUCACAACAUAUGAUGUACUUUGCUCAUUGAACCCAAGAUAUUGAUGCUUCAAGUGUUGGGUUGAGUUUCCAUCAUUGGUGAUAAGAUGAUGCUGGCUUCAGUCCCAUUCCUUUAGAAGUUUUCAAUACAAUAUCCCAUGCAAGAUCUUUAGUUAAGGGGUCUGCCAAAUUUUGGUAUUAUUUCACAAAGUCAAUUGUGAUUACUCAUUUGUAAGUAAUUGUCUCACAUAACUAUGUCUUAGACCAAUGUGCCUAAACUUUCCAUUAUGGAUUUGACUGUAUGCCCUUGACAAAGUUGCCUCUAUCACAGUGAAUGGAUACAUGAGGCAUUGGUUUAGGCCAAAUAGGAAUUUCUAUAAGCAAAUUCCUUAACCAUUCUGCUUCCUUGCAACAAGAAGCCAAAGCUAUAAAUUCUGCAGCCAUGGUGGAGUCUGCUAUACAAGUUUGCUUCUUUGAGCCCCAUGAAAUAACUCCUCCACCAAGAUUAAAAAUCCAACCGCUUGUGGAUGUUGAUCAUCUCGAUCAGUAAUCCAACUACCAUCUGAUAAGCAUAUAAUAAAUACAUAUUUUACCCUUAAUUAUAUAAUUGUUAAUUAUUUAUAUUUGUUAUCUUUAAUUAAUUAAAUUAUUUUGUUGAAUAGGGAAUUAAUUGGAGAUUAUAGAUAAAAAAAAAAAGAAAUAAAGGAGCUCAAUUUCGGAAGCAUCAAUUAAUUGAUUUUGGGAGCAGUUAUGCAUAUAUGUAUGUUAAUUCAAGCCGAGGAAACCGAAUUCAACAAAUUCUUUCAUCAUGCACAUGCGGACAAAGAAGAGAAAGUGAUGUUAGCUUUAAAAGUGGCUAGCACAUGAGGAUUAAAUGAAGCUUAAUUGGGCUUUGCAUAAGUGGGCCGAUCGUUAACUUGUGUGAGGCAGUUUAUUUGCAAUCAAAAUUUGAAAGGAUUCAACUAACUAUAAAAGUCGAACUUUGGCUUUUGAAAGGAACAGCUGCCGGAGGAAGCAAAUGGAGACGCAAGGCAGAGAGAAGAAAACCGGUAGUAGCAGUUCAAUUUUCAUGGCUGAUUUUAUUUUAUUUGUUUCUCCCAAUUCAAGUAUAUCUAGCUAAUUUUCUUAUACUGAGGUAAAUGAUGAAACCCUAUUCAAUGAAAUAAUUAUCUUUUUAUUUAAUUAAUUCCCUGUAUGUGUGCUUUAAUAUUUAUGGUUCUUGAUUAAUAUUUGAUUAAAUCUAAGUUUGGAUCUAUGAAGUCUAUACAUGAUUAUAUUUGAUCCUGUGUCUUUCAUUAAACUGUUUACACAUAAUGCUUAGGGAAACUUUGACUCUUUGUUAUUCAAUAUGUUUACAUGGGAUGCUUAGAUAUCAUACUAUUAAGAAGAAAAAGCAAGAUUAAUUUUAUUUGAGUUUAAUUGUUAUAUUCAUGAGAUGACAUAGAUUGAUUUUGAGUUGUCACUCUAAAAUUUGGGAUUAAUUGAUAAUUAGGUAAUUACUAAUUGAAUAGUGGUGGAUUCUGAAACCUUGGUAACUUUUAUCUUACUGAAUUCUCAUUUGCUUUAAUUGUUCUCUUAGUUUAAUUAGUUUUAUUUCUCUUGAAAACUCGAUUUGCUCAACUAGGUUAGAAUUAAUAUUAAUUUUAGAUUUAAAUUAGACUUUUUAAUUUAUAACAAUCUCUGUGGGUUCGACCUUAUUAUCACUAUUCUAUUUUUAGAUUCGUACUCUUGCAAGUAUAUUAAAUUUUUUCAUAACAACAUCCCAAAAUCCUUCCAAAAUCGAAGGAUAUCCAGUGUAAUAUAUACCAUAAUCCAUUGUAUGUUUUAAAUAGUUUAGAAUUCUAUGGCUUGGAUUACUAGUAUAUCUACUCAGCUUUCCCACAACGAAAGCAAUGCUAGGUCUAGUGCAAGUCAUCGCAUACAUAAGACACCCAAUAACACAUGCAUAUUCUAAUUAGGAUACUGCUCUUCCAGUGUUAGGGUACAAUCUUAUGUUUGAAUCAAAAGAUGUUGACACAUGCUUACAAUUAUAAUAAUUAAAUUUCUUUAAAAUUUUCUUAAUAUAAUAUGAUUAGGUCAAUACUAGGCCAUGCUCAUUUUGUUAUAAUUUUAAUCCCCAAAAUCACAUCCGCUAGCCCCAUGUCUUCCAUAUCAAAAUUAAAUGACAAUAAUGAUUUAGUGAGUUUAAUGCUCUCACUAUCAAUAACAAAAAUUAACAUGUCAUCUACAUAUAAGUAAAUAAUCACACAUUUGUUUCCAUUGAAUAUGCUAUAUACACAUUUAUUAGAUUCAAGAAUAUUAAAUCCAUUUGAAACAAUCACUUUGUCAAACUUUUCAUGCCGUUGCUUUGGAGCCUGUUUAAGACCAUAUAAUGACUUGACUAGUUUACAAACUUUAUGUUCUUGUCCUGACAUAACAAACCCUUCUGGUUGUUUCAUGUGAAUUUCUUCAUCUAAUUCUCCAUUUAAGAAAGUUGGUUUUACAUCAAUUUGAUGGAUUUUCAAAAUGAUAAAGUGAAGCCAAAGCAAUCAAGACUCGAAUAGUAGCAAUUCUUGCAACAGGUGCAUAAGUAUCGAAAUAAUCAAGGUCUUCUUUUUGUGUAAAGCCUUUCGCUACUAGUCUUGCUUUAAAUCUUUCAAUGUUCCAUCAACUUUCUUCUUCAUUUUGAAAAUCCAUUUACAACCUAUAUGAUUAGAGCUAGGUGGUAAAUCAACUAGUUUCCAAGUCUUAUUACCCAUAAUAGAGUCAAUUUCAUCAUUAAUGACCUCUUUCCAGAAGGCAACAUCUUGAGACUCCAUUGCCUCUUCAUAGGUGAAGGGAACAAAAUCUAUAGUAGGUGUGAUCAUAUUUUGUUUAAAUUAUAUUUAAGUGAGAGAAUUGAACCUCACAGUGCAAGUAUGUCGUUUCUUCCAUCUGACUUCAAGGAGUCUUUCUCAGCCUCUUUUUUUAGCUUUUCCUAUCAUCAUCAGAAAUAAAUUAGAAAUAGCAUACAGUUGUAAUAUACUAAGGCUAAACUAAUUAAAGAAUAUUUAACUUUAUUGAAGCUCCUCACCAUUUUCAUAACAAUCUUCUCAGUUUUAGGGUAAAUCAAUCAAAAUAUAAAAAGAUAAGGGAAAAGAGAUUCAAACACGGAGAUUUUUACAUAGUUCGUCCAACCUCGCCUACGUCCACGCCUCCAAGCACACCAGGCUUGAGGAUUCCACUAGUUAAGCCUUCAAGGCUUCAAGAACACUUAUAAUUGACUUAUAAGGUGUCAAUCAACCUUUACAUGAAGAGAUUAUCCCCAAUCUCUUAACCCAAGUGUAUCCCAACACUUACAAUCACUCAAACAAAUAUUACAAAUUUAGUUUUCUCUCACACAAAGUAUAUGAUUACAAAUCAAUGCCCAAAUGUAAGAAUAAGUGGAACAUGAAUGUGUUUUUGACUCAAUGAAGAUUGUAUUCUUGAUUAUAAGCUCAAUGAUAACGUUGUGAUCAACCCUUGUUUGAAUUUGAAUGAGCCUAUUUAUAGUUGGAGUUGAAAUAUAGCCGUUGUUGACUUUCUGCGCAAAAUCGAAUCGCCGUUAACCAUUAACGGUUAACCGUUUUUACUUGUCCAAGCGACCGUUGAGCUGAAAUUUAAAUAAACAGUUGACCAUUUGCCAUUAUCGGUUUGCCGUUAAUUUCUAGAGACCUGCAAAACAAAUUUAUGCUAUUCGUUCUUACUAAAUGGUUAAAGGUUAGCAUGGAAUGACAUUCUGAAAAUUAUCGGUUAGCUGUUUGACGUUAAUGGUUCGCCGGUUAUUUCCAGCAACACGCAAAAUAGAAUAGGCUUAUCCGUUUGUCUUCAACGGUUCAAGGUUAGCACCUAUUUCCAUUUUGGAAAUUAUCGGUUCACUGUUUGAUAUAAACGGUUAGCCGUUUAAUUCCAAUAACCUUUCCUGCACACUUGUGUUGCCCAUUUUUACUAAUCAGUUCAAGUUUAAGAAAAUACUCAUCUCUAAAAUUUAUCGGUUAGCCGGUUCAUUUAGGGUGAUGCCUUUGAUGCAUUUAGGGUUUUCUGUAAAAAGAUUCAAAAUGAAAAGGGAAUGACUUUUUUGAAAAUCAUGCAUUUAAGAAUUUUGGUAAUAUUUUAGCAUUAAGCGUCAAUUUUCAUCACCUAGGACUCCACAACAAAAUGGAGUUGUUGAGAGAAAGAAUAUGUCUAUUCAAGAAAUGGCUAGGAUUAUGUUGAAUGAAAUGCUUUGCCUAAGUAUUUUUGGGCCGAAGUCGUCAACACCACUUGUUAUGUUUUAAAUCGUGUGUUGAUUAAGCUUUAUCUCAAUAAGACUCCCUAUGAGUUUUGGAAAGAUAGAAAACCCAACAUUGGAUAUUUUAAAGUUUUUGGAUGAAAAUAUUUUAUUUUGAACACAAAAUAUAAUCUUGGUAAAAUUUGAUCCAAAAUCUGAUGUUGGCAUCUUUCUUGGGUAUUCAAACUCAAGCAAAGCUUAUAGAGUUUAUAACAAAAUAACUUUAGUUGUGGAAGAAUCUAUGCAUGUUACGUUUGAUGAAUCUAACUCCUCUUUUGUGAAGAAAGUUGUUGUUGAUGAUGAUGCAGAUGAAGAAUGACAAGAAGAUUCAUCAAAUGAUAACCAAAAUGAUACACCACCUGGAAAUCAAGAGGAGCAACAUGAAGAAACAAAUGUGGAGCCAAAUAAAGAUACUUCUCAAGCACUCCCCAAGGAGUGGAGGUAUGUUUCUUCUCACCCUAAAGAUUUAAUCUUAGGAGAUCCUUCGCGAGGUGUAAUCACUACAUCAUCACUUAGGAAUACAUGUGAGCAUGCUGCAUUCAUAUCUCAAAUUGAACUGAAAGCCUUUGCUGAUGUUGAAAACGAUGAAUCUUAGAUCAUGGCAAUGUAAGAGGAGUUAAAUCAAUUUGAGAGAAAUAAUGUGCAGGAAUUAGUUCCCCAAUCGGAACAUCAAUCUGUUAUAGGUACUAAAUGGGUAUUUAGAAAUAAAAUGGAUGAAUCCGGUGUGAUUAUGAGAAAUAAAGUUAGAUUAGUGGCUCAAGGAUACAACCAAGAAGAAGGAAUUGAUUUUGAUGAAACAUUUGCACCUGUAGCUAGAUUAGAAUCCAUGAUGUUGUUAGCAUUUUCAUGUUAUAAAGAUUUUUAUUGUAUUUCAAAUGGAUGUCAAAAAUACUUUCUUAAAUGAUUAUAUUAUGGAGGAAGUUUAUGUAAAACAACCCCCUGGUUUUGAAAAUGAAAAAUUUAUGUUUAUAAGUUUUCAAAAGCAUUGUAUAGAUUGAAGCAAACACCUAGAGCAUGGUAUGAUAGGCUUAAAAAUUUCUUGUUGGAUAAUGGUUUUUCAAUGGGAAAUUCAUAUACUACUCUCUUUGUUAAGCACAAGAACCAAGAUAUACUUGCUGUUCAAAUUUAUGUUGAUGGUAUUAUCUUUAGUUCUACUAAUGAGUCUAUGUGCAAGGAGUUUUCAUUUUUGUAUGAGUAAGGAAUUUGAAGUGAGCAUGAUGGGAGAAUUAAAGUAUUUCCUUGGACUUCAAAUCAAACAAAACAAUGAGGGAAUCUUUAUCAACCAAGCUAAAUAUGUCAAAGAUCUACUCACGAAAUUUGGCAUUGAUGACACAAAGACCAAGAGCACUCUAAUGAGCACAAUAAUUAAGCUUAACAAAGAUGAGAAAGGUAAAGAAGUUGACAUCAAAAUAUAUCGAGGUAUGAUCAGAUCUUUACUUUAUUUAACUGCAAGUAGACCCGAUAUCAUGUUUAGUGUAUAUUUGUGUGCAAGAUUUCAAUCAUGUCCCAAAGAAUCUCAUUUGCUUGCUAUCAAAGAAUUUUUCGUUAUUUGAGUGGAACCAUAGAUCUUGGUCUUUAGUAUCCUAGAGGAACUUAUAUAGAUUUAACUUGUUAUUCGGAUGCCAAUUUUGCCGGUCACAAGGUCAAUAAGAAGAGUACUAGUGGAACUUGUCAUUUCCAAGGUCAUCCACUUGUUUCAUAGUUUAGUAAGAAAUAAAAUUUGGUUGCACUCUCAACCAUCGAGGCAGAAUAUAUUGCCGUAGGUAGUUGUUGUGCAUAAGCUCUUUGGAUGAAACAAAUACUUAGAGAUUAUGGCAUUAAUCUUGAACAAAUUCCUAUCAUGUGUGAUACUACUAGUGCUAUAAACCUAUCAAAGAAUCUCAUUCAGUGCUCUAGAACAAAGCAUAUAGAGAUUAGACAUCACUUCUUAAAAGAUUAUGUUUAAAAGGGAGAUAUUGCAUUAGAAUUUAUCUCUACGGAAAAAUAACUUACCGAUAUUUAUACAAAACCCCUUUGUGAAGAACAAUUUUAAAAAAUUCAGCAUGAAUUUGGGAUGAUGAAAUUUUUCGCAUUAACAUCUCUAAUUAUGUUAUGGAGGCUAUUAAAAUUGAUUGAUUGAUGAUUGUUGAUGACUUUGUAUUGCCUAUGCAUGAUAAAUGAGUGAUAUGCUUGAAUUAUUAAUCUUUGAAUGCUUACAUGUUUUAUGACUGUGUGAUGUAUAUGCAUGAUAAAUGUAUUAUAUAUUUGAAUUUAUAAUCGUUGAAUGUUUAUUAUCAUGAUUCAUGCAUUAAAAUGGCUUUUCAAAGUGUUCGGGAUCAUAAAAUGGUCUUGGAAUCGAUCAAAAUUAAAUUUUCACAUUGACGGUCCCUUUCUCAUAUCUAAAUCAAUUUCUCUUUGUAAAUAUAUAUUCUUGGUCUGGUUUCGAUAUUCGUUAGGUGAAUAUGUGGAUUCAAACAUGAUUCUGGGACUGUACAAUUAAAUGGGUUUUUGGAAUUAAGUUUUUAGUGAUUAAAAUCUAAACAUUGUUGAGUUUUGAGCUUUCGCGGUUGAUUUGAGAAGUGGGAUUUUGCUUCUGUUGAGUUCUUAAUGCAUAUUGAGCACAUAGUUCUAAUUUGAGUAAUAGAAAUUGUUGUAUUAUAAUUUUUGGUAGAAGUUACAGCAAUGAAAGUUUAAUUGAGGAGUCAGGUAUUGUAAGUUCUUUUGGGAUUUGGUUUGCUUUUUGAUUCUGUCCGUUACUUCCUUUCUUGUUAUAGGUUGGAUUAAUGGAGAGCUUUUGCUUAUGAGAAUUGUGUUUGUAAGGUUCACGAGAAUUGUUUAUGUGAUGAUAACUGUGUGAUUGAUAAGAGAUUGUGUGUUUUGGAUUUUAUCUCAUGGAUUUAGAGUUGGACUGUGUUUGGAAUUCGAAUAAUGUGUUCAUGCACAUAUGAUAUUUGAUGAAAUUCCAUAAGAUUAAUUCAAUUAUUUAUGUUUUUUAGUCUGAAUUAAGUAGAGCAAAAAUUUUAUUAUGAGUUGAUUUCUUGAGUUACUAGCUAGACUAGGUAAAGCAAAGAAAUUGUCUUCGUGCACUUUAACUCUUCCUCCUCCUCCA
rnacentral:lncRNA from 1 species